rnacentral:lncRNA from 1 species
UGGCAAGUUUCUAAAAACAUAAUAAGUUUGGUGACAAAAAAAUCUAUUUUCCCUAUUUUAACAUAUUUUUUAUGGGAUUUAUUUAUAGGAUUCUUUGUACUUGGCAUCUCUUGCACUGAUCCACUCUAAUGUUCUGAGAAUCCGAUAUGAAAGGCAUUAUUGAGUUUUAACUAUACACUUCUCCUUUUUAAUUUUCCUAUUAUAUAUACAAGGAUAACAGUUUUGGAAUAAGCACAUACUUUAUUAUAGAAAAAUAUAUAGGUUCCUUGCACUUAUCUGGAGGUCAUGGUUUGUUCUAUGGUGUGUAAAACAUGUAGCGGUUUGGCUUCCUCCACUGCUGGUCUCGCUUACUUUGGUAAUUCAUGUUUGUUUUUACUAUUUCAGGUAUACAUGACAGUGUUCUUGUCAUAGAAAAUUAUGGGAUAACUGAGAUUUGCUUUUUUUGAAUUUGUUUAUGUUUAUCGUUAGUUGAACAAGUCUUAGUUAGCCAAAGAGACUGUUAUAUAUGCUGCUUGAACAUAUAUGUUAAGUUGUCGAUAAAUUUUUUUGUUAUAUGUGCUGGCAUAGUCAAAUUUUAUAUGAUCGGAUUGGUGAACUUGAUAAAAAUUUUGAGCACAGAAGAAAAUCUAGAACUAUAUUAGAAAAUCUGGUAACGAGCAAUAAGAAUACAUGUGAAAUUUUGUACACUUCCUUAUUGUUUGGUACUUGUGUUGUCAAGUACUGUCUUCAUAUACUCUUAUUAUAUAUGGCAGGGAACUAGUAUUGAAAAGGCACCAAUAGAUCGUGAUACCUCUCGCAGCAAUGAUGAAGAUGAUGACGAAGAUGAUGAAGCGGAGGACUUCCCCCUUCAUUAACUGCACAAGGUUUAUCAACGACUUAACUUUUGGAACAAAUCUUUUGAGACUUGCCUAUAAAGACUAAACAUUUCUGACGUAGAUGUAUGUUUUGCGUACAAAAUCAGUCUGUAGUACUUAGUCAGUCUGUAGGGCCGAAGGCAGCCUUUAACUUUCGUGACUAGACGUUUAGUAGGUUGAACAUAUUUUGCUAAACAUUCUGCGGAACCUUGCAGAACCUCUGGUAUUAAGCUUCCUAUAUGGUCUGAAGAUGCAUGUAUUUGAAGCAGUAGUUUAUCUCUUACAAUUUUUGCCUUGGUUGAUUUUGGUUAGAUAGUCAUAUGAUUGGAUUGGUGAUUCGAAUAAAAAAAUUUACAGAUGGGAUUAUGACCGGAACAAAAAGGUCAUGCUAAUUUUUUUUAAAAUAUUUUUUUAAUAUAUUUGGCGGCUUACGGUCGUAAUUAUAUUAUGUAAGUAACCGAAUACAGUCAUAUUUGGCUCAUUUUAUUCGUCUAAACCGGUCAAAUUUAUAAAUGUGACCACCGAAUAACAGUCAAGUUUAUAAAUGUGACCAUUGAAUAAUAGUCAAAUUUAUAAAUUUGACUACUACAAAAAUAGUCAAAUUUAUAAAUAUGACUGAUCAACUAGUCAAAUUUAAGUACAAAAAGCGGGAAAUUUGAAUUUUAUUGAAAAUGUAGCGGGAAAUUUGAAUUUGACGAAAAAAUUGAAGACGAAAAAUCAGAGUUAAAAAUGACCGAUUGAAGUCAAAUUUAACCGGUCAUAUUUAACCGGUCAUAUUUAAGCAGUCACAUUUAAUUAAAUAUGACCGAAAAUGUUAAAUUCCACUAAGCUAUUAGAGACCAACAAAUUCUAGCCAAAUUUAGCUAAAUUUGAUAGCGGGCAGUCAAAUUUAGUUAAAUAUGACCGAAAAUUGACUGUCAAAUUUACCCGUUUUUGUUGUAGUGGCGGCUGGGAUUUUUAUGCUUAUAACCUAUGGUCUUUUAAUUAAUCCGAUGCAUCAUUUCGUGUUUAUAUGUGUUGCCAACUAAAAGUUGAAUACUUUAAUGGCCUACUAUGAAUAACAUAUUUUGCUAAAUAUGAAAUUUGUUUGUAGUGUCAUUUGUAAGUGCAAUUUAGUAUUUGUUUUUAUAGCAGUCACAUUGUUAAAUCAAUCUUUGAUCCUUUUAAUUAUGUAUCAAACAAAUUUAUUGACCAAAAAUAUUGGUAUUUAUCUAUUAGCAUAGCUUUUAAUUUUAUUUCCUUUUAAAAAUUCUUUGGAUUGGGUACUAAAUAUAUGUAAAGAGGCUUGUGUGCUAUUAUUUCUCCACCGCAUGUGAGAGUGUAUUUGAACGUAUUUCAUUUUAUUUUCCGAAAAAUGUCAAUAUUCCCGAAAACAUUGGUUAAAAAGGGAAAUAGAUUUGAGAGGUAAAAUAAAAUGAUAAAUUUCUUCAGUUCCGUAAAAUGUGUAUCAAUAUUUUUAUUCAUGAAUAUCAAAUAAUCUUUAUUAUUUCAAAAAAGUGGGGUCAUAUAUAGUUUAUUUGUAUAAAAUUUGAACAUCAAUAUGUUAUUAAUAUAGAUAUAUAAGUAUACUACACAUUUGGAUUUGAAUAUAUGGAAAUUUUAGCAUAAAUUAUACCUAUUCAAAUAGUUUGUUUGAAUAAAAUAUAUAAAGCAUAAAAAUUGUAAAAUAUAAAUAUGCGACACACAAUAAAUAGCAAAAUAAUAGAAUGAAGAAAAAAUGUUGUUCACCGAAGAGGAUUGGAUUAAGAGAUUAAACAAGAUGUCAGGAGAUUGCCAAUCAAAUAUUAAAGCACGGAGUGGAUGAGGCUAGCAGAACCGGACAGAUGACAAUGCACGAACCGAGGGUGCAGGAAGUGAUAGGAGCUUUGUAAGGUGUUUCAACUGCAACCAGUUAUGAAACAUAAGGAGAGAUUGGUCGCGAAAGGGUAUGUUCAAAAACAAGGUAUAGAUUCUGAGGAGGUUUUUGCACCAGUUACACGGAUGGAAACAGUGAGACUAUUAUUGGCUUUACAAGCAAAAAAUAGCUGGGAGGUUCAUCACCUUGAUGUGAAAUCAGCUUGCUUGAAUGGUGAUCUUAAGGAAGAUGUAUACGUAACGCAACCAGAAGGAUUUGUCAAACAAGGAAAGGAGCAUCUAGUGUACAAGCUAAUAAAGGCUUUGCCUGGACUUCCUCAAGCACCACAAGCCUGGUAUGCAAAAUUAAGCAACUGUUUAGAAAGCCCCGGUUUCACAAAAUGUCCGUACGACCAUGCAUCACUACGCCAUAAGCGGCAUGAUGCAAUGGUUAUUGGAAAGUGUUACAAGCAUUUCGUUGCGGUAGGUAAGAAAUUUCUAUGAUAUUGUGUUAAACAGUGAAUAACUUCUUUAGUUAAUAAAUAAAAUACAGGUUUAUAUUCAUUAAAUAUAAACCUUUAAUAAUAAAGGCUGUAAACCAAUAUAAACAACAGCCACCAAUAUAAGUGGUGGUAUAGGUAUAAGUUUACUAUAUUUAUAUUCAACCCAACAAUACAAAUAGGAUUGUAUAAUUUGUAAUCAAUUAAGUAGAAGAGUUAUAUCUUUUAUAAACACAUUUUAUUCUCUUUUAUCUUCCCUGCACUAUCAGAACAAUUAUCUGAAAUAUCCAGCUAACAUUUGGUAUCAGAGCUCUAAGUUCAAAAGGGCCAAUAUCUUAUUUCUGCAGAAAAAUAAAAUAAUGGCGUAUUCUGGUUCAAAUCAGCAACAAAUCAUUCCCAUUUUUAAUGGAGAAAACUAUAAAUUCUGGAACAUUAAAAUGAAGGUUGUUCUCCAAGCAACCCAACACUUAUGGAAUGUCGUGGAAAAUAGCAUACCUAAAGAUGGGGAGACUGCCACCACAUCUACACCAACAUCAACAUCAACACAGAUUGAUUGGCCACAAAGAGAUGCAGAAGCACUAGCCAAAAUUCAUCUUGCAGUCACCGAUACAAUAUUUCCAAGAAUCAUGAAUGCAACUUCAGCAAAACAAGCAUGGGACAUCUUGAAAGCUGAAUUUGAAAAAUUAAUAAAUAAAAUACAGGUUUAUAUUCAUUAAAUAUAAACCUUUAAUAAUAAAGGCUGUAAACCAAUAUAAACAACAGCCACCAAUAUAAGUGGUGGUAUAGGUAUAAGUUUACUAUAUUUAUAUUCAACCCAACAAUACAAAUAGGAUUGUAUAAUUUGUAAUCAAUUAAGUAGAAGAGUUAUAUCUUUUAUAAACACAUUUUAUUCUCUUUUAUCUUCCCUGCACUAUCAGCACAAUUAUCUGAAAUAUCCAGCUAACAUUUGGUAUCAGAGCUCUAAGUUCAAAAGGGCCAAUAUCUUAUUUCCGCAGAAAAAUAAAAUAAUGGCGUAUUCUGGUUCAAAUCAGCAACAAAUCAUUCCCAUUUUUAAUGGAGAAAACUAUAAAUUCUGGAACAUUAAAAUGAAGGUUGUUCUCCAAGCAACCCAACACUUAUGGAAUGUCGUGGAAAAUGGCAUACCUAAAGAUGGGGAGACUGCCACCACAUCUACACCAACAUCAACAUCAACACAGAUUGAUUGGCCACAAAGAGAUGCAGAAGCACUAGCCAAAAUUCAUCUUGCAGUCACCGAUACAAUAUUUCCAAGAAUCAUGAAUGCAACUUCAGCAAAACAAGCAUGGGACAUCUUGAAAGCUGAAUUUGAAGGAAACGAGAAAACGACAAAAAUAAGGCUUCAGAAUUUGAGACGAGAAUUUGAGAACUUGAAAAUGAAAGAAGGAGAAACAAUCAAAGAUUACUCUUCCAGAGUAAUUAAGCUGGUUAAUGAACUGAAGUCAAAUGGAGAAAGUAUAACUGACCAACGGGUUAUAGAAAAAAUGUUGGUUAGUUUAUUUGAAAAUUUUGAUACAGUUGUAACUGUGAUAGAAGAAUAGAAAGAUCUCACACAGUUAAGUAUCUCUNAUUUGGUAUCAGAGCUCUAAGUUCAAAAGGGCCAAUAUCUUAUUUCCGCAGAAAAAUAAAAUAAUGGCGUAUUCUGGUUCAAAUCAGCAACAAAUCAUUCCCAUUUUUAAUGGAGAAAACUAUAAAUUCUGGAACAUUAAAAUGAAGGUUGUUCUCCAAGCAACCCAACACUUAUGGAAUGUCGUGGAAAAUGGCAUACCUAAAGAUGGGGAGACUGCCACCACAUCUACACCAACAUCAACAUCAACACAGAUUGAUUGGCCACAAAGAGAUGCAGAAGCACUAGCCAAAAUUCAUCUUGCAGUCACCGAUACAAUAUUUCCAAGAAUCAUGAAUGCAACUUCAGCAAAACAAGCAUGGGACAUCUUGAAAGCUGAAUUUGAAGGAAACGAGAAAACGACAAAAAUAAGGCUUCAGAAUUUGAGACGAGAAUUUGAGAACUUGAAAAUGAAAGAAGGAGAAACAAUCAAAGAUUACUCUUCCAGAGUAAUUAAGCUGGUUAAUGAACUGAAGUCAAAUGGAGAAAGUAUAACUGACCAACGGGUUAUAGAAAAAAUGUUGGUUAGUUUAUCUGAAAAAUUUGAUACAGUUGUAACUGUGAUAGAAGAAUCGAAAGAUCUCACACAGUUAAGUAUCUCCGAGUUGAUAGUAUCCCUACAAAUUCAUGAAGACAGAAUGUCUCGAAGAAAUGAAGCAUCUGGAGAAGGAGCUUUCCAAUCUAAGCAUAAAAUAUCUCCUUUUAAACGGAAUAAUAAAGGAGGCACAUCAAAUCAAUGUAGUCCUAUCUAUACCAAAAAUGCUGAGAAAAAGAGUAAAUUUCCUCCAUGUUCUAUAUGUAAGAAGACAAACCAUGCAGAAAAGAAUUUCUGGCACAAAGGAAAACGCCAGUGCAAUUAUUGCAAAAAAUUCAAUCAUCAUGAAAAUGAGUGUAGACUCAAAAACCAACAAGCAGGAAGAUCCGAAACAAUUGAUGAUGAAAAUCAUCUAUUCUAUGCUUGUCAGAAUGGAAAUAGUCAAAAGGAUGCUUGGCUCAUUGACAGUGGUUGCACAAACCAUAUGACCAAACAUUCACAUGUUUUCACCAAAAUAGACCCAUCUAUUAAGAUACCGGUAAGAAUGGGCAAUGGAGAAAUGGUGAAGUCUGAAGGUAAAGGUACUGUUGCCGUGAAAACAAAGAAAGGAACAUAUCAAAUUAAUGAUGUUCUUUAUGUUCCAAAUUUGGAUCAAAAUUUACUUAGUGUCCCACAAAUGAUGCAAAAUGGAUAUUCAAUUCAUUUUGAAGGAGACACAUGUGAUAUAUAUGAUCCAAAGGGAAAUAACAUCGUUCGUGUCAAAAUGCAGCAGAAAUGUUUUCCCAUUCAGUGGCAAUAUAAAGCUGAAGAAAAAUCUAUGCAGGCCAAAGCAAAUGAGCUAACAUGGCUCUGGCACAAACGCUACGGGCACUGCAAUUCAAAAAGUUUAAAGCUGCUUUCAGAUAAAAAUAUGGUCAAAGGAAUUCCUCUAAUCUCUGAAACUACUGAUGUAUGUGAUGCAUGUCAGUUGGGAAAAAUGACAAGAAAGCCUUUCCCUUCUGGUCAAGCAUGGAGAGCAACAAAGAGAUUAGAGUUAAUACAUACAGAUGUAUGUGGCCCCAUGAGGACUCUUUCACUCGAAAAUAGCAGGUACUUCAUCUUAUUUAUUGAUGAUUACUCCCGCAUGACGUGGGUAUACUUCAUGAAAGAAAAAUCAGAAGUAUUUAAAAUUUUCAAUAAAUUCAAGAAUUAUGUCGAGAAGAAAAGCGGUUGUCAAAUCAAAAAUCUAAGAAGUGAUAAUGGAACGGAAUAUACCUCAUCAGAAUUUAACAAGUUCUGUGAAAUGGAAGGUAUACAUCGUCAACUCACUGUUCCUUAUACACCACAACAGAAUGGUGUCUGUGAAAGGAAGAACAGAACUGUGAUGGAGAUGGCGAGGACAAUGCUAAAAGAAAAGGAAUUGCCAAAUAAGUUUUGGGCAGAAGCUGUUUAUACUGCAGUGUAUCUUCAGAAUCGGUUAUCAACAAAGGCCGUUAAGGAACAAACACCUCUUGAAGCAUGGUCAGGAAGUAAACCAUCGGUAAAUCACUUAAGAAUAUUUGGAUGCAUAUGCUACAUCCACGUGCCUAGUUAGAAGCGGCGCAAACUAGAUGAGAAAGCCGAAAAAGGAAUUUUCCUCGGUUAUAGCUCACAGUCCAAGGGUUAUCGAGUGUACAAUCCACAAUCCAAUAAAUUUCAAAUCAGCAGAGAUGUUGUAUUUGUUGAGAAUGCUUCUUGGAAUUGGGAGCAUAAUGACAUUAAUGAAAAGUAUGUUGUGACAGAAACAUUUAAUCCUAAACCUGCAGCACCAGUUGUAGUUGGUCAGCAUGAGCAACAUUUCCAGGAGGAGUCUGAUAGUAGCUCAGACACAGACUCGCCACGAUAUGAAUAUGACAGUUUUUCUGAUUCACCUCCCUUAAAAACAAGAAGAAUUUCAGAUUUAUAUGAAAAUACUGAAAGAUUAUCCGAUCUAGAUCCCGAGCAAGUUCAAUUCUGUUACUUUGUCUCGGAUGAACCAAAUAAUUAUGAGCAGGCAUCUCAACACAAAGAAUGGAGAGCUGCAAUGAAAGAAGAAAUAUCUAUGAUUGAAAAGAACCAUACAUGGGUGUUAGUUGAUAAACCACCGCACAAGGACACUAUUGGUGUAAAGUGGGUAUUCAAAAUCAAGCAAAACCCAGAUGGUUCUGUUCAAAAAUACAAAGCAAGAUUAGUCGUGAAAGGUUAUUCCCAACAAUUUGGAGUAGAUUAUAAUGAGACCUUUGCACCUGUUUCAAGACAGGAUACAAUCAGAACAAUUCUUGCUCUUGCAGCACAGCGUAAGUGGAAUAUUUACCAGCUCGAUGUAAAAUCUGCUUUCCUAAAUGGAUUCCUCGAAGAAGAAAUCUAUAUAGAGCAACCACCAGGAUUCAUAAUAAAAGGAAAGGAGGACAAAGUCUUGAGAUUAAAAAAGGCUUUGUAUGGACUGAAGCAAGCUCCACGAGCAUGGUAUAGCCGAAUCGAUAAAUAUUUUCAUCAACAAGGAUUUAAGAAAAGUCCGAAUGAAGCAACCUUAUACAUUAAACUGGAAGGACCUGACAUACUCAUUCUUUCCCUUUAUGUUGAUGACCUUAUUAUUACCGGAAGUAACCUUUCAAUGAUUACUAAAUUUAAGGAACAGAUGAUGAAGAUGUUUGAAAUGACAGACCUCGGAUUAAUGAACUAUUUUUUAGGAAUGGAGAUUGAUCAAAGAAAAGAAGGCAUCUUCAUUUGUCAGAAAAGAUAUGCAAGUAACAUCUUGAAGAAGUUUAAGAUGGAUAAAUGUAAUCCAAUUUCAACUCCUCUGGCUCAAAAUGACAAAUUGAGCAAAGAUGAUAACUCAGAAGAAGCGGAUGUUAAGCGUUAUAGAAGUAUAAUCGGUAGUUUACUAUAUUUAACUGCUACCAGACCAGAUUUAAUGUUUGCUACAAGUAUAUUAUCCAGAUUUAUGCAAAACCCAAGGGAAGUACAUAUGAAAGCUGUGAAAAGGGUACUACGCUAUGUAAAUGGUACUACAGACUUUGGAAUAUGGUUCAAACCUACUGAAAAUCCCGAACUGAUUGGAUAUUCAGACAGUGAUUGGGCGGGAUCAGUAGAUGAUAUGAAAAGCACCUCCGGAUACGUAUUUUCACUUGGUAAUGGUGUAUUCACAUGGCUAAGCCAAAAACAGGAUACAAUUGCUCAAUCGACAGCCGAAGCAGAGUAUAUUGCAGCAUGUUCGGCAGUAAAUCAAGCGAUAUGGCUUAGAAGGAUUCUAUCAGAACUGGGUGAAAAACAAAAGUCAGCAACUAAGAUUUAUUGCGACAGCACAUCGGCAAUUGCUAUUGCAAAGAACCCGGUUCAACAUAGAAAGACAAAGCAUAUCAAGAUAAAAUACCACUUUGUUCGAGAAGCUGAAAAUAAAAGAAAAAUCAGCCUAGUUCACUGCAGUACAGAAGAUCAACUAGCUGAUAUUUUUACAAAGCCACUUCCAAAAGCAAAGUUUGAAUCUCUAAGAAAUAAGCUUGGCAUACAGAAGAAGUUCUUCAAGGAGGAGUGUUAAACAGUGAGUUAAUAAAUAAAAUACAGGUUUAUAUUCAUUAAAUAUAAACCUUUAACAAUAAAGGCUGUAAACCAAUAUAAAUAACAGCCACCAAUAUAAGUGGUGGUAUAGGUAUAAGUUUACUAUAUUUAUAUUCAACCCAACAAUAUAAAUAGGAUUGUAUAAUUUGUAAUCAAUUAAGUAGAAGAGUUAUAUCUUUUAUAAACACAUUUUAUUCUCUUUUAUCUUCCCUGCACUAUCAGCACAAUUAUCUGAAAUAUCCAGCUAACAUAUUGUAACACUGCUGAUUUGUUGUGACAAUAACUACUCCCUCCGUCCCAUUUUAAUUGACACUUAUUCCUUUUUGGGACGUCCCAAAAAGAAUGAACCUAUUAAACUUACUAUUUUUGAACACUACUUUUCACUAUUACACCCACUACUUUCUUCCACUAUCUCUAUUCUAUAAUAAUAUAAACACUAUUACACCCACUACUUUCCUCCACUAUCUCAAAUCUAUUAUUAAAAUUUUGAUGGGUCCCACCACUUUACCAACUUUUCAACCUUUUUACUACCUUUUUCUUAAUCUCCGUGAAAGUCAAAGCAGUUCAAUCUUUUCGGGACGGAGGGAGUAUAAAGCUAGUGUUGUACUGGAGUGACGGUGUUGCACAACAUGUAACACUAGCACCGCGGUUACGAUAGUUAAUUUUUCAUUUUUCAAAUUGAUAAAGUCAAUAUAUUUUUAUAAACUAGAAUUAGAAUUAUAUUUUAUAUUAUUUAUAACUAUAAAAUGUCUUAUAAAUAUUACAAAAAAGUUUCAAAAUUUAUUAUCUUUCCUUUCAGAAAUAAUUAGUAUUAUAUUUAAAUAAAAUAAGACAUUCAAUAUAUAAAAAAUUAUAAAACAAAGUUUUAUAGAAAAAUUAAAAAGAAAAUACAGCGCUGUUAUCGAGGUUAAAUGUUUCCCCCCUAAACUAAAACACUCAAUAUUAUUUCCCCCCUUAACCAAAAACACUCCCGAUGGACCCAACCCACUCUGGUCUCCAAACACCACCACCUCACAUCUCCCACUCUCCUAUCCCGUCUCUCUUCACUUCCUCCCUCUCUAGUCUCCCUUCACCCUCACUCUUCAAUCUCCCUCUUUAGAUUUUCACUCUCACCCAGUCUCUCCCUCACUAGCUUCAUAUAUUGUCUCCGAAUGGUAAUUGAAUACACAAGCACACACAAUUUCUCCAAUUAGGGUUACUAACUUUCGAAUUUUCUCAAUUUACAGGUUGGUUAGGGUUUCGUAAUUGGGGCUUUUGUUUAUAAGGUAAAUACACACAUUAAUUGGGGCUUUUGACUCUUUUAGUUUCUAUAAACUGUUGUAUCUAAGCUCUUUUACUUUUUAUUUUAGGCGAUUUAAAGUUGUUGAGUUUUAAAGCGGUUUUAAGGUAUUUUCUCUGUAAUUUUAUGGGUAUAUGUUUGAUUUUAUGUGAGAUUUAUUUUUGUGUGUUAUUUAGUUAUUUGGAUGUAUUUUCAUGUAUGUUGUAUAUGAAUCUGAUUUUUUUUUUGUGUUAUUUAGUUUUUUGAAUGACUCUUGCUAUUUAUGUAUUUGAUGUUUUGUGUUUUGUUUUAAUUUGUUGAGGAGCUUAGAAUCUGAUUUUAAAUUUUUUUGUUAAAUGUUAGAGGAGAUUUUCUACAGGUGUGGUGGGGUACAGAUACAGGGUAUUUAUGGGUCUGGUGGGGUACAGAUACAGGGUAUUAAUAUGAGUUUCCUUUUGUUUUUAGCUUUGUACUUUCAUGUUUUAUAAACUUGGAUUCGAGAUUGUCUUGUGUUUGAUUAGUAACUAUCUUUCAGGCAAUUUAAAGCUAUUGAGGAUCUAAGUUGUUGAGGUUUGAAGUGAUUAAAGUCGAGUAAAGUUUAAAGCUGUUGAAAAUUGAAUUGAAGGUACUUUUUCGAAUUUUAUGUGUAUUUGUUUGAUUUUAUGCAUAGGUUUGAAAUUCUGGUGAUGUAUAUGCUUGCAUGAUUGAUUUUAUGUGUUGUUGAUUUCUUUUUGAUAUAUUCUUAUAUAUGUACAUGCAACAUCUACAUGCGAUGGUGAUAUCUUCUUUGGCUUGUAAAUUUCCCCUUAUAAAUUAGACUUUGUUGUUGACAUGGAGGUGUGGCUUGUUUUGCUUAAUAUAAUUGUAAUUCAGAGUAUAUAUUAUGUGUUGUUGAUUUUUUUUGUGAAUCUAUUUUUCAAGUAUGUAUUACUUUCAGCUUCGUGGCAUGAUAAUCUGUCAUUUUGUAUGCUAAUAACUUUGGUUGUUUUGUUAAUUGAGCUCGUGAAGUGUGAUAAAUUGUUAAUUGGUGUUUUCCUCCAUUUGAUAGACCUGUAGACUUUAGACUAUUCUGGUGAUGUAUAGCAUGUUUCUAGCUACUUAUUAUCCCUCUAGUUCUAUUAGUAUAAAUUAAAACCUCUUAUACUAUUUUCUUAAAAACAGUACCUUACUUUUGUACAAGUUCAGAUAAAAACAUAAAAUUCAAGGCGUAAAAUAGCAAGUAACUAAGUACGAAUGUCAAUUAGUGUAAGUGUUUUUAAAUAAUAUAUAAGUAUGGUAUUAAUUUCAGCUUUGUAGGUGCAUUCUUCGAAUCUCUGAGGACCUAGGUUCACGAUGGAACAUGUUAAUGAUUAUAACUGGAUAGGACUUCCAAGAUACAGUAGCGAAUAUAAAGAAGGGAUAAAAGCAUUUGUGGAAAAGGCAUUUCCUCUUUUUGCCGUAGGUAAUGAAAUGAAAUGCCCCUGCAGAGAUUGUGAUGAUCGUAAGUGGAGUCAUCAAGAUGUAAUUUAUGGUCAUCUCAUCUGCAGAGGACCUUCCCUGUCACAAGUGCAAUUGAUUUGUAAGGUUUCAGAAGUCAAAGUAGGAAAUAGUACUGAAUCUAAGGACUGUGAAGCGGGGGCUGGUUUCGGGGAUAACUUACACCACCGAUCAUGGUGAGCAACAACGAAUUGCUCAGAGAGUUGCAUUAUCUAAGGAGACAAUCCUGAGACUGUCAAGAACUCAAAGAUCGAGUAGGGCAAAUCGAGUCUUCCUUACCAAGAACACGUCGUUCUGGGAAGCAACCUCUUGAAGAAGGAAGUUUGUUAAGCUGUCAUGACGGGAGAGGACACGUAAUUACUCCGCGUUACUUGUUUGCAUCUGACGGUCAGAUUACGGUUGGAGGAGAUGAUAGGCGAUUGAAAAAUACCAGGGACAACAGAAGGCCUCCUCAUUAAGAAGAUAGGCCACCAUUGAUAGUCACCGGAAGAUCCACAAGAAUGGUGGACUCCUUGGCGGAUCGACUCGAGGGCAGAGUUAGCAAGGCAGAUCUACUCACCAUAAUCAGAGAACUAGAUGAUAGGCCCGAGGAGGUUAGAACUACAUCAAGAACCGCGCCCACAUGGCGAGGCGACUAUCAGAUAGGGCCACCACAUGGUCAAGAUCCAAGAAGCUAUGAAAAAUCGACGGGCCGAGAUUCUCAGGGCUUCGGUGGCAGGACUGAUCGGGACCCAGAACACAACUCGACAACAGGUUCCACUUUCUUCCCGUCUUAUAUGUUAAUGUGGUUAAAAUUUCAUACUCUGUUUCGGUCACCUAUGUUAAUGUUGGUUAUUGUUAUGAUGAAUUAUUUUAAUAGAUAUUUUUCGAUGGAUACUUAAAACCUUUUGAAAACAAAGUGAUUAUGACAUAUUGCCUAUCAUAUUUUUUUACUGGAGUUUGAUUUGAUUUAAGCAAUGUCAUUAUUUUAAGAAAAUAAAUAUAAUCCCAGUUUUUAAUCAUUUCUCAUCAACUCUACAAAGAAAAUAUGGGGAAGACAAAUGGAUAUUUGUUCCUAAAAGUGUAAGUAUAUAUACAUGAAAGUUUGUAAUUUUUUUUUUACCAUUUUGACCUUUAUAGAUCAUUUUAUAUGUUGUAUUGUUGUGUGCAUAUACAUUAAAGAAUUUGGUAUGUGAGUUAAACAUUAAAGAAUUUGGUAUGUGAGUUAAACAAAAAAAAUCUAUCUUAAAUUAACUUAAAGAUAUUUUAAAUAUAUAUUUGUUGUUAGGAUUUCGGAGAAAAAAUCAAUGUGUGCGACAAUAAAAUUGUGAGCUAGCUGCAAAUUUUUUCAAGAUUUUAUAUCAUAUCUAGUAAAUUGACAAUGUGCAGCGUCAUUUACCACUUGUACAUAACCUAUUUCCUCGUUUUCAAACCCCUCCUCCCUUCCACCAGAGGACCACCUUAGGAAAAAUAAACAUACUAGAUUAGUCACAAGAUUAAACAAAGCAAACUGAGUUUGUACAUGAAAAUAAAGGAAGCAAUGGGUCUUGCCCUUCAAAAACUCAUAAAACAAGAUCUGAAUCGAGUCUUCCUUACCAAGAACACAUCGUUCUGGGAAGCAACCUCUUGAAGAAGGAAGUCGUUGUCGUGACGGUAGAGGACACGUAAAUACUCCGCGUAACUUGUUUUCAUCUGACGGUCAGAUUACGGUUGGAGGAGAUGAUAGGCGAUUGGAAAAUACCAGGGACAGCGGAAGGCCUCCUCAUUAAAAAGAUAGUCCACCAUUGAUACUCACCGGAAGAUCCACAAGAACGAUGGACUCCCUGUCGGAUCGACUCGAUGGCAGAGUUAGCAAGGCAGAUCUACUUGCCAUUAUCAGAGAAUGAGAUAAUAGGCCCGAGGAGGCUAGAACUACAUCAAGAACUGCGCCCACAUGGCGACGCGACUAUGAGAUAGGGCCACCACAUGGUCAAGAUCCAAGAAGCCAUAAAAAAUCGACAUGCCGAGAUUCUCAGGGCUUGGUGGCAGGACUCAUAGGGACCCAAUCUUGAUCGAGGAGCGACGAAGUUUCGGGAACACUCGCGAGCAAGAGAGGCCUCAGACCCAGAACACAACUGGACAACAGGUUCAAAUUUCUUCCGGUCUUAUAUGUUAAUGUGGUUAAAAUUUCAUACUCUGUUUCGGUCACCUAUGUUGAAGUUAGUUAUUGUUAUGAUGAAUUAUGUUAAUACAUAUGUUUUAUGGAUACUUAAAACCUGUUCAUAAUAUUUUUUACUGGAGUUUGAUUUGAUUUAACCAAUGUCAUUAUUUCUAAAAAAUUAAUAUAACCCCACUUUUUAAUCAAUUUUCAUCAACUCUAGAAAGAAAAUAUGAGGAAGACAAAUGGACAUUUGUCCCUAAAAGUGUAAGUAUAUAUACAUACAUAAAAUUUGUAUUUUUUUUUACCUUUUUGACCUAUAUAGAUCAUUUUAUCAGUUGUAUUGUUGUGUGCAUAUAGGUUCCUGUGUCAUUCAAUAAGAGACCCGACAAGAGUUGUAGGCUUAGAUAACUAAUUAAUUAUNNNNNNNNNNNNNNNNNNNNNNNNNNNNNNNNNNNNNNNNNNNNNNNNNNNNNNNNNNNNNNNNNNNNNNNNNNNNNNNNNNNNNNNNNNNNNNNNNNNNNNNNNNNNNNNNNNNNNNNNNNNNNNNNNNNNNNNNNNNNNNNNNNNNNNNNNNNNNNNNNNNNNNNNNNNNNNNNNNNNNNNNNNNNNNNNNNNNNNNNNNNNNNNNNNNNNNNNNNNNNNNNNNNNNNNNNNNNNNNNNNNNNNNNNNNNNNNNNNNNNNNNNNNNNNNNNNNNNNNNNNNNNNNNNNNNNNNNNNNNNNNNNNNNNNNNNNNNNNNNNNNNNNNNNNNNNNNNNNNNNNNNNNNNNNNNNNNNNNNNNNNNNNNNNNNNNNNNNNNNNNNNNNNNNNNNNNNNNNNNNNNNNNNNNNNNNNNNNNNNNNNNNNNNNNNNNNNNNNNNNNNNNNNNNNNNNNNNNNNNNNNNNNNNNNNNNNNNNNNNNNNNNNNNNNNNNNNNNNNNNNNNNNNNNNNNNNNNNNNNNNNNNNNNNNNNNNNNNNNNNNNNNNNNNNNNNNNNNNNNNNNNNNNNNNNNNNNNNNNNNNNNNNNNNNNNNNNNNNNNNNNNNNNNNNNNNNNNNNNNNNNNNNNNNNNNNNNNNNNNNNNNNNNNNNNNNNNNNNNNNNNNNNNNNNNNNNNNNNNNNNNNNNNNNNNNNNNNNNNNNNNNNNNNNNNNNNNNNNNNNNNNNNNNNNNNNNNNNNNNNNNNNNNNNNNNNNNNNNNNNNNNNNNNNNNNNNNNNNNNNNNNNNNNNNNNNNNNNNNNNNNNNNNNNNNNNNNNNNNNNNNNNNNNNNNNNNNNNNNNNNNNNNNNNNNNNNNNNNNNNNNNNNNNNNNNNNNNNNNNNNNNNNNNNNNNNNNNNNNNNNNNNNNNNNNNNNNNNNNNNNNNNNNNNNNNNNNNNNNNNNNNNNNNNNNNNNNNNNNNNNNNNNNNNNNNNNNNNNNNNNNNNNNNNNNNNNNNNNNNUACAGGUUUUGCAAAAGAAAUUUGUGUAAAUUUUAGGAAAAAAUUGUUCAUUCGUGCUAGAACUAUAGGUCAUUUAUGGUUUAUGUCCAUAAACAAAAAAACCCUAUUUUUGAAACCUAAACUUUAAAGAAAUCUUAUUAGUCUAUUUUUUACCGAUGAACUUGAAUUAGAUUUUUUGAAAGUUUAGGUUUCAAAAAUUUGGUUUUAUUUUACGGAUCUAAACAAUAAACGAUCAAUAAUUCACCGAUGAAUUAAUUAAGUUUUUCUAAAAUAUUCAGGAACUCCUUUUGCAAAAGCUGUAUUCAGUGACACCCAUGACACGUCCAUCUCAAUCUGCCAACGAGACACUCACGCGGCACCAACUAUGCUUUUUGUUCCACAUUAUUCAGUAGGAAUGAAGAAUCCAGAUAAAUAAAGUAUCUCAAAACGCCCUGGUAAAAAUCAUAAAUAUUACAAAUGUAAAUUCAUCAAAAAUAUAGUCCUUUCAAACAAAUUUCUCGACUAUGUCGUUAUACUGACAGCUUUGAUAACUCAAAUAAAUAACAAUAUACGAAUAAUGUCACAUUUCUCAGAAAUAUCAUUACACACACAAAUUUCUCGAACAUAUUACUAUAACUGACAACUAGUAGUGUCGUGGAUAUUAACUCUUAUGUUGAUAUUUUCCGGAAGGAAAAGGUUGUAUCCUUUUCGAUGGACAAAAAUACAAUGAAAAGGAAGAAGAAGAUGGUGGCGGAACUGUCAAAAACGAUAUCGUUUCGAUUGAUGAAAAUACAGUGAAAGGAAGGAAGAAGACGGUGGCGGAACUGUCGGAAGAGAUAUCUGCGAUGAAAUAUUGAUGCGUCUUCUGAUUAAAUAUGUGGUAUGUUUUAAAGCACUUUCUAAAUAUUGGAAAUCUCUGCUCUCAGCACCCAAAUUCAAGAAACAACACCUGAUUCGUAGUGCAACUCAAAAUCUUAACGUUCAUGACUAUAUGAUAGCUAAGAAGUACUACACAAUCUACAUGCUUUCUCACUACAAAGAAAUAUAUUUACUCCCUGCAAGUAACUAUCAAUUAAUUGGUUCAAUAAAUGGCUUAGUUUUUCUUGACAAUGGUCGAAACUUAGCCUUAUGGAACCCGACUAUUCAUCAGUAUAACGAAUUCACACUUCCACCAAGUGGUGGCUAUAAUUUUUGUUAUAAUACGGGACUCGGUUAUGAUGCUGCAAAUGAUAAUUACAAGGUUGUAGUUCUGUCGGCUGAUCUGAGGUCUGCCAGUGUUUACGAGUCUCGUUCGGAUUCCUGGAUUGACAUAAUUAUUGCUCAUAACAUGUUCUCUAAUAAUGCACUUGAGAAAUGGACUCCAACUAUUAUUGUAAAGGAUUGUCUUUACUGGACAUGUUCCAGACUAUCGAGCGAUGAGAUGUUUUUAUUAUCAUUGGGUGUAGUAAAGUUUGAUGCAACAAGUGAAAAAUUCAAGUUGCUGCCUGAGUUCCGCUCUAAUAUAUCGGCAAGUCCAAAGCAUUAUGAUUUAAUUUAUAAAUUUAUAUCAAAUCAUAAUUCUCUUGACUUGCCAAUAUAUUAGAGCGGAACUCAGGCAGCAACUUGAAUUUGUCACUGGUUGCAUCAAACUUUACUACACCCAAUGAUAAUAAAAACAUCUCAUCGCUCGAUAGUCUGGAACAUGUCCAUUAAGGACAAUCCUUUACAAUAAUAGUUGGAGUCCAUUUCUCAAGUACAUUCUUAGAGAACAUGUUAUGAGCAAUAGUUAUGUCAAUCCAGGAAUCCGAACGAGACUCGUAAACGCUGGCAGACCUCAGAUCAGCGGACAUAACUACAACCUUGUAAUUAUCAUUUGCAGCAUCAUAACCGAAUCCCAUACUAUAACGAAAAUUAUAGUCACGACUUGGUGGAAGUGUGAAUUCCUUAUACUGAUGAAUAGCCGGGUUCCAUAAGGCUAACUUUCGACCAUUACCAGGACAAACUAAGUCAUUUAUUGAACCAAUUAAUUGAUAGUUACUUGCAGGGAGUAAAUAUGUUUCUUUGUAGCGAGAAAGCAUGUAGAUUGUGUAGUACGUCUUAGCUAUCAUAUAGUCAUGACCAUUAGGAUUUUGAGUUGCACUACGAAUUAGGUGUUGUUUCACGAAUUUGGGUGCUGAGAGCAGAGAUUGCCAAUAUUUAGAAACGGUUUUAAAACGUACCACAUAUUUAAUCGGAAGACGCAUCAAUAUUUUUUUGCAGAUUAUCUCUUCUGGCAGUUCCGCCACCGUCUUCUUCCUCCCUUUCAUUGUAUUUUCAUCAAUCGAAAACGAUAUCUUUUCUGACAGUUCCGCCACCAUCUUCUUCUUCAUAGAGAUUCCCAAUAUUUAGAAACGGUUUUAAAACAUACCACAUAUUUUUUUUCAAAAAAAAAAAAAAAAACAUACCACAUAUUUAAUCAGAAGACGCAUCAAUAUUUUAUCGCAGAUUAUCUCUUCUGGCAGUUCCACCGCCGUCUUCUUCCUCCCUUUCAUUGUAUUUUCAUCAAUCAAAAACGAUAUCUUUUCUGACAGUUCCGCCACCAUCUUCUUCUUCCUUUUCAUUGUAUUUUCAUCCAUCGAAAAGGAUACAACCUUUUCCAUCUUGAAUAAUAUCAACAUAAGAGUUAUUAUCCACGACAGUACUAGUUGUUAGUUAUAGUAAUAUGUUCGAGAAAUUCGUCUGUAUAAUGAUAUUUCCGAGAAUUGUGACAUUAUUCAUAUUUUGUUAUUUAUUUGAGUUAUCAAAGCUGUUAGUAUAGCGAUAUACGAGCGUUUUGAGAUACUUUCUUUAUCUGGAUUCUUCAUUCCUAAUGAAUAUUGUGGAACAAAAAGCAUAGUUGGUGGCCUGAGUGUCUCGUUGGCAGAUUGAGAUGGACGUGUCAUGGGUGUCACUUUGAAUACAACUUUUGCAAAAGGAGUUUCUCAAUAUUUUAGAAAAACUUAAUCAAUUCAUCUAUGAAUUAUUGAUCGUUUAUUAUUUAGAUCUCUAAAUAAAAUAACACCAAAUUUUUGAAACCUAACAUUUUAAAAAAUCUAAUUCAAGUCCAUCGGUAAAAAUUGGACUAAUAAGAUUUCUUUAAAGUGUAGGUUUCAAAAAAUAGGGUUUUUUUAUGGACAUAAACCAUAGAUGACCUAUAGUUACACCUAUGACACGUCCACCUAGACCUGCCAACCAGACACUCAUACCACCACCUAUGCUUGUUCCACCAUUUUCCUUAGGAAUAAAGAAUGGCGACUAAUAAAGUAUCACAAAAUGCCGCGGCUAAUAUCAUAAUAUUACAAAUGUAAAUUCAUCAAAACAAUUUGUCCUUACCAGAUUUUCAUCUAAAGUUCAUCUUGUCUCCUUAAAAAUAUAUGGUCUAUAUUCUAUUGUAGUUGUACUUUAUACAAAAAAUAAUUAUAAAUUUAAGAUGUGGCACUUCAUGAAUCUCAUUAUAAUUAACAUGCAAUGGAACUUAUGACGUUACAAAAGACACCAUACCACUUCUAGAAAGUACACAUACCAUCCUAGCCUCUCUUUUCGAGAUUGACAUUAAAUUUAGUGAGACAUUCUGAAAUCAAGCAUAGAUUGAAUAUUUAAAGGUGAAAUACUAGAUAUAAUGGUCGUAAUUAAGAAUGCAAGUGAUACUACACGAUGCACGUCAAUAUAUGAGGAGUAAAGUUUGCACCAAGAGAGACUACCACCCUAUGACCUCAAAAAAAACAAAAUAUGCCUUAAAGCAUCUCACCUUGAGAUGAAUCAAAAAGAUUAAUCUCUUCAGCCGUUUAUUAAUAUAUACAACCGGUUUUAGACAGGGUCCUUAUCCCCCGACUCCCAUGUUGUUCAACUAAUACUAGCAAAGAGUCUUCCAAAGGUUUUCGUGUAAUCACAAUCACACAAGAUUUGAAAUAUAUGGAUACACAGGUAUUGCAUCUAGAUACAAGGUGGUUAACCCACAUAAGCCUACAACUCUUUUCGGGUCCCUUACAACAUAUAAAAUGAUCUAUAAAGGUCAAAAAGGUAAAAAAAAAUACGNAAUCUCUUCAGCCGUUUAUUAAUAUAUACAACCGGUUUUAGACAGGGUCCUUAUCCCCCGACUCCCAUGUUGUUCAACUAAUACUAGCAAAGAGUCUUCCAAAGGUUUUCGUGUAAUCACAAUCACACAAGAUUUGAAAUAUAUGGAUACACAGGUAUUGCAUCUAGAUACAAGGUGGUUAACCCACAUAAGCCUACAACUCUUUUCGGGUCCCUUACAACAUAUAAAAUGAUCUAUAAAGGUCAAAAAGGUAAAAAAAAAUACGAACUUUAUGUAUGUAUAUAUACUUACACUUUUAGGAACAAAUAUCCAUUUGUCUUCCCCAUAUUUUCUUUGUAGAGUUGAUAAGAAAUGAUUAAAAACUGGGUUAUAUUUAUUUUCUUAAAAUAAUGACAUUGCUUAAAUCAAAUCAAACUCCAGUAAAAAAAUAUAAUAGGCAAUAUGUUAUAAUCACUUUGUUUUGAACAGGUUUUAAGUAUCCAUCGAAAAAUAUCUAUUAAAAUAAUUCAUCAUAACAAUCACCAACAUUAACAUAGGUGACCGAAACAGAGUAUGAAAUUUUAACCACAUUAACAUAUAAGACGUGAAGAAAGUGGAACCUGUUGUCGAGUUGUGUUCUGGGUCCCGAUCAGUCCUGCCAUCGAAGCCCUGAGAAUCUUGGCCCGUCGAUUUUUCAUAGCUUCUUGGAUCUUGACCAUGUGGUGGCCUUAUCUGAUAGUCGCCUCGCCAUCUGGGCGCGGUUCUUGAUGUAGUUCUAACCUCCUCGGGCCUAUCAUCUAGUUCUCUGAUUAUGGUGAGUAGAUCUGCCUUGCUAACUCUGCCCUCGAGUCAAUCCGCCAAGGAGUCCAUCAUUCUUGUGGAUCUUCCGGUGAGUAUCAAUGGUGGCCUAUAUUCUUGACGAGGAGGCCUUCUGUUGUCCCUGGUAUUUUUCAAUCGCCUAUCAUCUCCUCCAACCGUAAUUUGACCGUCAGAUGCAAACAAGUAACGCGGAGUAAUUACGUGUCCUCUCCCGUCAUGACACCUUAACAAACUUCCUUCUUCAAGAGGUUGCUUCCCAGAACGACGUGUUCUUGGUAAGGAAGACUCGAUUUGUCCUACUCGAUCUUUGAGUUCUUGACAGUCUCAAGAUUGUCUCCUUAGAUAAUGCAACUCUCUGAGCAAUUCGUUGUUGCUCACCAUGAUCGAUAGUGUAAGUUAUCCCCGAAACCAGCCACCGCUUCACAGUCCUUAGAUUCAGUACUAUUUCCUACUUUGACUUUUGAAACCUAACAAAUCAAUUGCACUUGUGACAUGGAAGGUCCUCUGCAGAUGAGAUGACCAUAAAUUACAUCUUGAUGAUGCCACUUACGAUCAUCACAAUCUCUGCAGGGGCAUUUCAUUUCAUUACCUACGGCAAAAAGAGGAAAUGCCUUUUCCACAAAUGCUUUUAUCCCUUCUUUAUAUUCGCUACUGUAUCUUGGAAGUCCUAUCCAGUUAUAAUCAUUAACAUGUUCCAUCGUGAACCUAGGUCCUCAGAGAUUCGAAGAAUGCACCUAUAAAGCUGAAAUUAAUACCAUACUUAUAUAUUAUUUAAAAACACUUACACUAAUUGACAUUCGUACUUAGUUACAAUUGCUAUUUCACGCCUUGAAUUUUAUGUUUUUAUCUGAACUUGUACAAAAGUAAGGUACUGUUUUUAAGAAAAUAGUAUAAGAGGUUUUAAUUUAUACUAAUAGAACUAGAGGGAUAAUAAGUAGCUAGAAACAUGCUAUACAUCACCAGAAUAGUCUAAAGUCUACCGGUCUAUCAAACAGAAAAAACAACCAAAGUUAUUAGCAUACAAAAUGACAGAUUAUCAUGCCACGAAGCUGAAAGUAAUACAUACUUGAAAAAUAGAUUCACAAAAAAAAUCAAUAACACAUAAUAUAUACUCUGAAUUACAAUUAUAUUAAGCAAAACAAGCCACACCUCCAUGUCAACAACAAAGUCUAAUUUAUAAGGGGAAAUUUACAAGCCAGAGAAGAUAUCACCAUCACAUGUAGAUGUUGCAUGUACAUAUAUAAAAAUAUAUCAAAAAGAAAUCAACAACACAUAAAAUCAAUCAUGCAAGCAUAUACAUCACCAGAAUUUCAAACCUAUGCAUAAAAUCAAACAAAUACACAUAAAAUUCGAAAAAGUACCUUGAAUUCAAUUUUCAACAGCUUUAAACUUUACUCGACUUUAAUCACUUCAAACCUCAACAACUUAGAUCCUCAAUAGCUUUAAAUCGCCUCAAAGAUAGUUACUAAUCAAACACAAGACAAUCUGGAAUCCAAGUUUAUAAAACAUGAAAGUACAAAGCUAAAAACAAGAGGAAACUCGUAUUAAUACCCUGUAUGUGUACCCCACCAGACCCAUAAAAUCACUUUAUAAAACUCAACAUCAUGGAACUUUAUAUAAUCACUUUUCUACUACCCUGUAUCUGUACCCCACCAGACCUGUAGAAAAUCUCCUCAACAUUUAACAAAAAAAUUUAAAAUCAGAUUCUAAGCUCCUCAAAAAUUUAAAACAAAACACAAAAACUCAAAUACAUAAACAGCAAGAGUCAUUCAAAAAACUAAAUAACACAAAAAAAAUCAGAUUCAUAUACAACAUACAUGAAAAUACGUCCAAAUAACUAAAUAACACACAAAAAUAAAUCUCACAUAUAAUCAAACAUAUACCCAUAAAAUUACAGAGAAAUUACCUUAAAACCGCUUUAAAACUCAACAACUUUAAAUCGCCUGAAAUAAAAAGUAAAAGAUCUUAGAUACAACAGUUUAUAGAAACUAAAAGAGUCAAAAGCCCCCAUGAAUGUGUGUAUUUACCUUAUAAACAAAAGCCCCAAUUUAUGAAACCCUAACUAGCCUGCAAAUUGAGAAAAUUUGAAAGUUAGUAACCCUAAUUGGAGAAAUUGUGUGUGCUUGUGUAUUCAAUUACCAUUCGGAGACAAUAUAUGAAGCUAGUGAGGGAGAUCUAAUGUUUGAACCCUAAUCGGAGCUAUUGAGGGAGAGACUGGGUGAGAGUGAAAGACUAGAGAGGCAGAUUGAAGAGUGAGGGGGAAGAGAGACUAAAGAGGGAGGAAGUGAAGAGAGACGGGAUAGGAGAGUGGGUGAUGUGAGGUCGUGGUGUUUGGAGACCAGAGUGGGUGAGGUCGAUGGGAAGUGUUUUUGGUUAAGGGGGAAAACAAUACUGAGUGUUUUAGUUUAGGGGGAAACAUUUAACCUCGAUAACAGCUCUGUAUUUUCUUUUUAAUUUUUUUAAUAAACCUUUUUUUUACAAUUUUAUAUAUAUUGAAUAUCUUAUUUUAUUUAAAUAUAAUACUAAUUAAUUCUGAAAGGAAAGAUAAUAAAUUUUGAAAUUUUUUUGUAAUAUUUAUAAGACAUUUUAUAGUUAUAAAUAACAUAAAAUAUAAUUCUAAUUCUAGUUUAUAAAAAUAUAUUCACUUUAUCAAUUUGAAAAAUGAAAAAUUAGCUAUUGUAAGGGAGGAAGUGAAGAGAGACGGGAUAGGAGAGUGGGUGAUGUGAGGUCGUGGUGUUUGGAGACCAGAGGGGGAAACAAUACGAGUGUUUUAGUUUAGGGGGAAACAUUUAACCUCGAUACCAGCGCUGUAUUUUCUUUUUAAUUUUUUUAAUAAAUUUUUUUUUACUAUUUUUUAUAUAUUGAAUGUCUUAUUUUAUUUAAUAUAAUUCUAAUUCUAUUUAUAAAAAUAUAUUCACUUUAUCAAUUUGAAAAAUGAAAAAUUAGCUAUUGUAACGGCGGUGCUAGUGUUACAUGUUGUGCAACACCGUCACUUGAGUACAACACUAGCUUUAUAGCUAUUGUAACAACAAAUCAGCAGUGUUACAAUAUCAUAGAAAUUUCUUACCUACCGCAACGAAAUGAUUGUAACACUUUCCAAUAACCAUUGCAUCAGGCCACUUAUGACGUAGUGAUGCAUGCUCGUACGGACAUUUUGUGAAACCCCGUCUAAACAGUUGCUUAAUUUUGCAUACCAGGCUUGUGGUGCCUGACGAAGUCCAGACAAAGUCUUUAUUAGCUUGUACACUAGAUGCUCCUUUCCUUGUUCGACAAAUCCUUCUGGUUGCCUUACGUAUACAUCUUCCUAAGAUCACCAUUCAAGCAAGCUGAUUUCACAUCAAGGUGAUGAACCUCCCAGCUAUUUUUUGCUUCUAAAGCCAAUAAUAGUCUCACUGUUUCGAUCCGUGUAACUGGUGCAAAAACCUCCUCAGAAUCUAUACCUUGUUUCUGAACAUACCCUUUCGCGACCAGUCUCUUCUUAUGUUUCAUAACUAGUUGCAGUUGAAACACCUUACAAAACUCCUAUCACGUCCUGCACCCUCGGUUCGUGCAUUGUCAUCUGUCCCGUUCUGAUAGCCUCGUCCACUCUGUGCUUUAAAAUUUGAUUGGCAAUCUCCUGACAUCUUGUUUAAUCUCUUAAUCCAGUCCUCUCCGGUGAACAACAAUUUUUCUUCAUUCUAUUAUUUUGCUAUUUAUUGUGUGUCGCAUAUUUAUAUUUUACAAUUUUUAUGCUUUAUAUAUUUUAUUCAAACAAACUAUUUGAAUAGGUAUAAUUUAUGCUAAAAUUUCCAUAUAUUCAAAUCCAAAUGUGUAGUAUACUUAUAUAUCUAUAUUAAUAACAUAUUGAUGUUCAAAUUUUAUACAAAUAAACUAUAUAUGUCCCAGCUUAUUUGAAAUAAUAAAGAUUAUUUGAUAUUCAUGAAUAAAAAUAUUGAUACACAUUUUACGGAACUGAAGAAAUUUGUCAUUUUAUUUUCGGAAGUGGAACCUUAAAAAUUAAUUUUCAAAAAGUAUAUUAGUUAAAUUAAUUUUACCUCUCAAAUCUAUUUCCCCUUUUAGCCAAUGUUUUCGGGAAUAUUGACAUUUUUCGGAAAAUAAAAUGAAAUAUGUUCAAAUACACUCUCACAUGCGGUGGAGAAAUAAUAGUACACAAGCCUCUUUACAUAUAUUUAGUACCCAAUCCAAAGAAAUUUCUAAAGGAAAUAAAAUUAAAAGUUAUGCUAAUAGAUAAAUACCAAUCUUUUUGGUCAUUAAAUUUGUUUGAUACAUAAUUAAAAGGAUCAAAGAUUGAUUUAACAAUGUGACUGCUAUAAAAACAAAUACUAAUUAAAUUGCACUUACAAAUGACACCACAAACAAAUUUCAUAUUUAGCAAAAUAUGUUAUUCACAGUAGGCCAUUAAAGUAUUCAACUUUUAGUUGGCAACACAUAUAAACACGAAAUGAUGCAUCGGAUUAAUUAAAAGACCAUAGGUUAUAAGCAUAAAAAUCCCAGCCGCCUAGAAACAAAUUUAAUGACCCGGUAUGUAAUCAACAACACUCAACAUAUGGAUCACUUAAUAGAUAAUGGAUCACUUAAUAGAUAUAGUGCGUGGAUUAAUCUCAUCAAGCAUCAAAAGGCUCCCAGUUGUGCGCAGAAGUUACACAAUGUUCCAGCCUCUACAUAUUCUUGUAUCUGUGGAGAACAAAUAUUAAAGGGAGUAGGAUUUAAUCAUUUCUAGCUAUAACAAGUAUAAUGAAUUGACCAAUGAUUUAUAGGUCACGUGAUAUCCCCGCGUUCUAUUUAUAUGAGUGUAUGAGUGUGCUUAAUUAUAUAAAAUAUAGGUACAGUGAAACAGAUGACAAACACCUGGAGAGCUCUUCUUAAUUUGUAGUAAUAGUUCCCUGAAGUUUUUUGACUAAUUGGGAAAGGUAAUGAUACACUACAACAAAACAGGGUAUUUACGACGGAAAUUAAGCCUAAUAUCCGUCGUAAGUUUACAAUUUACGACGGAAUAUUUCCGUCGUUUUUGCUCAAGUAGUAAGUUCAAAAAACCGUCACAAUUUUCUUCUAGCGUCGUAAGUUCAUUAUAGCGUCGCAAGAAUUAUCGGGCGUCGUAAGUUAAUCUGGUGGGGCCCACAAUCUCAGCAAAUUCAUUGUUUAAACUUACGACAGAAAGGCCGUCGUAAGGUGGCCAUUUUACGACGGAAAUUUCCGUCGUAUAUUAAUUGUGGGCCCACGUGUUCAAUUUUUGGUUCUAUUCUUGCGACGGAAACUUCCGUCGGUAGUUAUCUUACGACUGAAUUUGUUUAAGAACAUCCGUCGUAAAGUAUUGGGAAAUCUAGAAAUUAUGACAAAUAUUUCCGUCGUAAGUUUAGAUUUAGAUUUUGAGGAGCCUACUGUUUUCUAUAUUUCUGCCAUUUUAUACCAUUCGAGAAUGGUACAAGAAACCUGUCCAUGAUAAUAUUCAAUACCCAACAGACAUUUUAGCUAUUAUACUAAUCCAAGCAAAUAAUCAAAAUCCCUAAUAACAUAGUUUUCAUUAACAAAACAUCCCAAACACAUAUUCAUACACCAACAAAAGACUAAAACAUCCCAAAAACAUAGUCAUACACAAACAUAGGAUUAAAACAUCCAAAAACAGCCCCACAAAUUCAAUUACAUUCACACAACUUAAUAUUAACCCUUAAUAACCGGACCUCCCCUAGAGACAACAACAUAUGGAUGACUCAUGUCACGGUCUUCGGAGUCCGUGCUCUCAUUCCCACUUCCGGCUUUAUCAACAUCAUCUUCAUCCCCGGUGUCGAUAACCUUGCCCUACAAUAUACACCCAAAAAUAAUUCAGUAAAAAUUGAAUAGAAUCUCAUUUUUAUUUCUAGAUAGAAACAUGCACUGUAUGUUUAUUUUGUUUUCUUUAAUGUACGCCCAUGUCUAUAAUUUAGGGUGUGUUUAUUUUUCAUGUAUUUUGUCUAUGCUUACAAUUAGCCAAUCUUACUUGUCUAUCUAUGUUUACAAUUAGCCAACCUUACUUGUCUAUUUGAACAGGUGGAAUUAUAGUUUAUAGGCAAGUUUGUGUCCACAACAUUUAUGAGAAUAGGAUUUCCCUAUUGCAUCAUUUCUGAUAUAGUAGUAUAAUAGCUAACACAAGCUUUUUUAUUUUACUCUUUAGCUAGUUAUAGAUGAUAUGCAUCUGAUAUGUUUCAGAGCUUGUAAUUAGAAUUAUUAAGGAAACAAUAAUUUGUAGUUAUAUAUAUAUAUAUAUAUAUAUAUAUAUAUAUAUAUGUAUAUAUAUAUAUCAUAAUUACUAUUAAUUCUAAAUUGUGUACCUUAUCAGCUCCAGGUUCGUUUGUUUUAUACAAAUUGUUCAGUACUUCUACUGCAACCUGGAUAAUUGCUGCUUGUGUUUCUUUUGCAAUUGGAUGGUCAGCAGGAAGAGAAGUCUUCUCAGCUUCUACAGCUUCACGUGCUAAAACACGGACUGCUCUGGUGUGAGAGAGAACUGCUCGGGAUUGGCUCGAGCCUGAGUAAGCUUCUCUUCAACUACUCUCAAGAACAAGUCAUCUUUCUUCCCCUUUCCGGGGUGGUGGUGCACGUCCCUCAGGCCCUGUGAUAAUUAGAUCAUUGUAUUAACCGAUAAGUGUAUAAGCUAUAUAUACACAUCUAAUUAAAAAACCAAAAAUAAUAUGAAAGGGCUAAAAUAUGUAAAACAUAAAAAAUAUACCACAAAUAUCAGAGGCACGGAGCCGCGGAUGUCCUUGAAUCGAGUUCUUCUUAAUACCUCCCACUGCCUCGAUCCAAAACUGAAGAUGUGUGCUUUUAGGGUCAAUACCUUUCUUCGUACAUAUAGCAACAUAACGAUCCUGAAAAUAAAAAAAUAUAAUUUGUAUAUGUAUGUGUGUGUGUCAAAAAAUAGUAGUGGUCAGUAGAUACGUUCCCAAUCAGAGCAUAAAACACUUUAUAGUCAUUCUAGGAAUUAAAUUAAAUCUGAUCUUGAUCAGAUUUAAUUACUCACAUUAUAUUAAAAUAUAAAAAGGUUAUUCUUAUGAACCAAUAUUUCAGCCUACAAGCAAUAAUACACUGGCAAGAACCAACAGAGAAAGGGACACAUGCUUGGAAAUAAAACUUUACAUUAUUAAUCUCCUAAAAAAGAAAAUUGGGCUUGGGAUUCACGACAUAAAAAAUUAAAUGAGAUUGCAUUAUAAUACAAAUACUUACAAUAAUUUUCUUGGCUGCUUUCGUAAUCCCCUUCCCUUUCUUUUCCUUGUCUUUAUAUGUGUGACAUUCCUUGUAGACAAAAGUUUUAUCGAGCUUCCCGUCGUGUUUUUUCAUAUAAUCCUAUUUCUUGAUUACACAAUAAAGAUGAAUAAAUUAAAAAAAAUAUGUGUGACAUUUUUUGUAUUUUGUAAAGCAACCUUGAUUUAAUUUAUAAACCUCUCUUAAACAUAAUUUGUUUAAGUGCAGCUAUGGCUGACAAAUAUUCAAUAAUAAAAAAAAAAAAACCAUACCCGUUCACGAUGGUUGAAAGAACGCGCGCCACAGGUGUGAGGCGCUUUCACGUUGCUCCGGGCUUUCUUACCAGCAUUGGACUUCUUUUUGAAUUCGUCGGUAACCCAAUACUCACAUAACCUGGACCACACACCAGGUUUCACAUAUCCAGGCCUAUACUUUGCAUAAGACCCUCCAAAAGAAGCAAUAAGCUCGUCAGCCCUUUCCUUGUCAUCGGCAACUGUACGCCGCAUGUUGUCGCGCAUGUGUGCUAGUAUAGACGCUCUUGCCUCCUGCUCAGUGGCAAUAUUUGAAUCCCACGUGAAGUAGCGCUAGGACAGAGAACAAAUAGACCAUUAACAAUGAAGAUAAAUCGACAUAAUCACACAAAAUUUCAAGAUAUACAAAGAUGUGACUUACCAAGAACUCAUCUAUGCACGUUGUCCAGAAUGUUGGAGAUUUUUUAUCAAUAUCUCGCACGCCAACACAACCAUCUGGCCAAAACAUACGUGUAACCGCCAAUAAGUUGCGCUUAGCCUGUGGACAAUCUAUCCUGAAAUGUUAUCAGGAUAGAUAUUUAUAUUACAUAUUAAAUAAUUCUAAAAAGAUGAAAGUACGUGAAAAUGGAUGUAAUUAUAAAAUAAAUUCAUUCCAAAACUUUCACUCUAAAAGUGAGAUUAAAAUGAAAAUUCAUUUACCUUCAAUUAUAUUUACUUGCUUUCUCUUCUAAAAAAACAGUGCCUAAACUAUUUAGGCGAGCUUAAACUCUGCUGACUCUGGCUAAUUUAGACUUGUACUUGUAAUAUCAAGACCUCAAAAGUAUGUGCCUGUCCUCAUGCCCCCAACACAAACAAAUAGCAUUACUGUAUCUAUGUAGUAUCUUUUGACUAAUCUUUAAUGCUGAUUAUCAGGUAAUUAUAUAUUAUACUUCAGCUCCAACAUUUUAGCUAACCACUCUCUCUUCCUUUUUAAUUGAUAUAUAUAUGGUGAUAACUGAUAAUUUAUGGGGGACCCAAUGCUAAAAUCCAAACAAAGCUUUUCAUGCACAGGUUUUUAUACCAUUACAUAUUACCAAUGAGAAGAAAAGCUACGAGAAUAGUUUGGAAAAAAGUAAGAACCAGUAGGAUUAAGGUACUGGUUAUGUUUGAUGUAAACCGCAGUUGGGCUUGCAGGAUAUGUUCCAAAUCCACCAGAAGAAUAUCCACGUGUCCUGUGAUUGCGCGGAUCAGCAUCUUUCCUGAGUGGUACAUUAAUCAUCGUCCCUUCGUCAUCCCAUAGAGCACAUUCAGAAUUUUCUUCAUCUCUGUCUCUAUGCCUACGCUUCCGCUUUUCUAAGAACCCCUUAUGCAAUCCAUAAAAACUGGAUUUCCUACUAUGCGGUAGUUGCUUAGCUUUAACUUCACCCAUACACACAUGACAAGCCAUCUUUCCAUGGGUUGACCACCCACUAACCAUACCCAAUCCGGGAAAGUCACUGAUAGUCCACAACAAAGCUGCUCGCAUCAUAAAAUUAGUCUUCGUAGAAGCAUCAAAUGUACGUACACCAACCUGCCAUGUAUUUAAAUAAUUUAUAUAAUUAAAAGUAAAUAAAAAAUAAUCUAUAUUUUUAGUUGAAAAAUAAGUAGCAUCAAAUGUGUGUACACUAACCUGCCAUAAAUCAAUCAACUCAUCAAUCAAUGGUCUAAGAUAAACAUUUAGAUUCUUGCCAGGAUCAUUCGGCCCAGGUACUAGUAGUGUCAUGAACAUAUAUGGAUCCUUCAUGCACAUGGUAUGUGGAAGGUUGUACACAAGCAGUACAACUGGCCACACUGAGUAUAUUGUAGAUGUAGCAUUACUGUAUGGGGGAAAUCCAUCAGUUGCAAGACCAAGUCUAACAUUACGAAAAUCUGCUGCAAAAUCAGGAUACGUCUUGUCAAAUUCUUUCCAUUCUUCUCCAUCUGCAGGAUGACUUAGAACCCCUUCAUCCACAGUCCUGUACUUAUGAUAUUUCAUAUGCUCCGCAGUGCGGGUAGACAUGUAAAACGCUGCAAUCGAGGAGUGAUUUUAAAGUAUCUUAAUACCUUCCUCGGAAUGGUAUUAUUCCCCACAUGUGUUGCAGCUUUGUAUCGACUCAAGUUACAAAACUUACAAUUUUUCAAAUCUUUAUCAUCACCAUAAAACAACAUACAAUCAUUCUCACAUGCAUGUAUUUUUUCAUAUCCCAAACUCAGCUUUUUAACCAUCUUCUUGACAGCAUAAUAAUUGGAAGGGAGCUUAUGCCCCACAGGGAACACGUCCCCAAGUAAAAAGAGCAACUCAUCGAAGGCUUUAUCACUACAUUGGUUACGACUCUUCCAAUGUAGUAAUCUUGAAACAAACUUCAAUUGUGUGUACUUGAUAUUGCCCGGGUAUAUUGGCUCCCCAACAUUGUUCACAUUGUCUAAAAAUUUAGUUGCUUGCUCGUUCGGGUUCUCGGGAAUGUUAUUCUCCUCUUCGAAAGCGUCCGGCCCAAAAGCAUCCCUCAACAUCUCAUAUUCAUCAUACACAUCAUCGUGAUCAUUCAUUUGUUCAUUUCUCGACCCGCUAGAGUCGCCAUGAUAGUGCCAUAUGGUAUAACUCUCGAGAAAACCGGUUGCAAAUAAGUGAAACUCGACAUCGGGAAUGAGUUGGUGUAAUAGAUUUCUACAUGUAUUGCAAGGACAUCUAAUAAGAAGGUUCGGAUCAUCCGAUUCUUUAGAAUUACUUCUUGCAAAUGCCAAGAAAUAUUUAACCCCCUCAUUAUAUUCAUCCGUAAAUCCAUAACCACCGGGAAUUAUUCGUCGAGUGAUCCAACUUCUAUCAUAAGACAUCUAUAUAUGCAUGAAUAAAAUCAUAUCAAAUUCAAUAUGCAUAUAAACAAAAAUAGAUACAAACACAAAUCAAACACAUGUAAAUAUUAAAUGAUUCUAUCAAUGCACAUAUUAUUAAACUAUAGAAGAAUAAGCAAAGAUUUAUCAUAUACUUACAUUGAUUCAAGUGUUAAUGACCCUUGUUAUGUCAUAUCUUGUAUGAAAUCAUAAGGAGAAGAAUGGUGUUUUGAAAAAGAAGUGGCAAAUUAGAAAGAGGGCAGUAGUGAUUAUUCAGGACAAUUUACGACGGAUAGAACUCAUUCCGUCGUAAGUUAAUUUAAAUAUAUUAUUCUUCAACGGACAAGUCAAAAGUUACUGGUGGUAUUAAAUGUGGUAGGUGAAUUUACGACGGAACGAACACAAUCCGUCGUAACUUCCAGCACAAAAACGACGUCGUUUGAAUCAAUGUAAUAUUCUCGAUUACUUUUAAAUCAAAAAAAAAAUUAUAUAUUUGAAUUUACGACGGAAGUCACAUAUCCGUCGUAAGUUCGUAAGUUAUCCGUCGUAAAUGACGCAUAUUCUUGUAGUGAUAUGUCACUACAGCUUUCCACCAAUCAAUUUCUACCCCCUCUCUCAUUAAGUGGUAGUUUUGGGAGUUGUAUGUUUUGUUUGUUUACUUAUCAUGUUAUUUUAUUUUGAGGGUAACAAGAUAGAAAACCAUAAGAAUUAAGAGAAUGCUUCAAGGAGGCUUGGUAUGUCACUGACAAGUAUGUGAGCGAAAUUAGGGAUAGUGUGUAAUAUUAAAUGAUAAUAAAAUAUAUAUAUGCGGGCCAACAUCGGUUGUGAUUAAAAUAAAAAACAUAAUAAAAAUGUGCAUGCUUCAUAAAUCUAAGUCAAAUGAAACCUAUAACUAAGCUUCAAGAGGGUUUUGUUAUGCAAUAUAGUUCAACUUUCCAUAUUCAUUAAUAGUGUAGUACUUAGAUGCUGUUUGGUUGGAGAAAGGUAUGGGGUUGGAAUUAACUAUUGUAACCGCGGUGCUAGUGUUACAUGUUGUGCAACACCGUCACUCCAGUACAACACUAGCUUUAUAGCUAUUGUAACAACAAAUCAGCAGUGUUACAAUAUGAUCAAAAUUUAUUACCUACCGCAACGAAAUGCUUGUAACACUUUCCAAUAACCAUUGCAUCAGGCCACUUAUGGCGUAGUGAUGCAUGCUCGUACGGACAUUUUGUGAGAUUCGGGCUUUCUAAACAGUUGCUUAAUUUUGCAUACCAGGCUUGUGGUGCUUGACGAAGUCCAGACAAAGCCUUUCUUAGCUUGUACACUAGAUGCUCCUUUCCUUGUUUGACAAAUCCUUCUCGUUGUGUUACGUAUACAGCUUCCUGAAGAUCACCAUUCAAGCAAGCUGAUUUCACAUCAAGGUGAUGAACCUCCCAGCUAUUUUUUGCUUCUAAAGCCAAUAAUAGUCUCACUCUUUCAAUCCGUGUAACUGGUGCAAAAACCUCCUCAGAAUCUAUACCUUGUUUUUGAACAUACCCUUUCGCGACCCGUCUCUCCUUAUUUUUCAUAACUGGUUGCAGUUGAAACACCUUACAAAACUCCUAUCAGGUUCUGCACCCUGGGUUCGUGCAUUGUCAUCUGUCCGAAUCUGAUAGCCUCGUCCACUCCGUGCUUUAAAAUUUGAUUGGCAAUCUCCUGACAUCUUGUUUGAUCUCUUAAUCCAGUCCUCUCAUGUGAACAACAAUUUUUCUUCAUUCUAUUAUUUUUCUAUUUAUUGUGUGUCGCGUAUUUAUAUUUUACAAUUUUUAUGCUUUAUAUAUUUUAUUCAAACAAACUAUUUGAAUAGGUAUAACUUAUGCUAAAAUUUCCAUAUAUUCAAAUCCAAAUGUGUAGUAUACUUAUAUAUCUAUAUUAAUAACAUAUUGAUGUUCAAAUUUUAUACAAAUAAACUAUAUGUGUCCCCACUUUUUUGUAAUAAUAAAGAUUAUUCGAUAUUCAUGAAUAAAAAUAUUGAUACACAUAAAAAUAUUGAUACACAUUUUACGGAACUGAAGAAAUUUAUCAUUUUAUUUUCGGCAGUGGAACCUUAAAAAUUAAUUUUCAAAAAGUAUAUUAGUUAAAUUAAUUUUACCUCUCAAAUCUAUUCUCCCCUUUAGCCAAUGUUUUCGGGAAUAUUGACAUUUUUUGGAAAAUAAAAUGAAAUAUGUUCAGAUACACCCUCACAUGCGGUGGUGUAACAAUAGCACACAAGCCUCUUUACAUAUAUUUAGUACCCAAUCCGAAGAAAUUUUAAAAGGAAAUAAAAUUAAAAGCUAUGCUAAUAGAUAAAUACCAAUAUUUUUGGUCAUUAAAUUUGUUUGAUAUAUAAUUAAAAGGAUCAAAGAUUGAUUUAACAAUGUGACUGCUAUAGAAACAAAUACUAAAUUGCACUUACAAAUGACACUACAAACAAAUUUCAUAUUUAGCAAAAUAUGUUAUUCACAGUAGGCCAUUAAAGUAUUCAACUUUUAGUUGGCAACACAUAUAAACACGAAAUGAUGUAUCGGAUUAAUUAAAAGACCAUAGGUUAUAAGCAUAAAAAUCCCAGCCGCCUAGAAACAAAUUUAAUGACCCGGUAUGUAAUCAACAACACUCAACAUAUGGAUCACUCAAUAGAUAAUGGAUCACUUAAUAGAUAUAGUGCGUGGAUUAAUCUCAUCAAGCAUCAAAAGGCUCCCAGUUGUGCGCAGAAGUUACACAAUGUUCCAGCCUCUAUAUAUUCUUGUAUCUGUGGAGAACAAAUAUUAAAGGGAGUAGGAUUUAAUCAUUUCUAGCUAUAACAACUAUAAUGAAUUGACCAAUGAUUAAUAGGUCACCUGAUAUCCCGGCGUUCUAUUUAUAUGAGUGUAUGAGUGUGCUUAAUUAUAUAGAAAAUAGGUACAGUGAAACCCAUGACAAACACCUGGAGAUAGCUCUUUCUUAAUUUGUAGUAAUAGUUCCCUGAAGUUCUUUGACUAAUUGGGAAAGGUAAUGAUAUGUCACUACAGCUUUCCACCAAUUAAAAUCUACCCCUUCUCUCAUUAAGUGGUAGUUUUUGGAGUUGUAUGUUUUGUUUACUUAUCCUGUUAUUUUAUUUUGAGGGUAACAAGAUAGAAAACCAUAAGAAUUAAGAGAAUGAUUCAAAGAGGCUUGGUAUGUCACUGACAAGUAUGUGAGGGAAAUUAGGGAUAGUGUGUAAUAUUAAAUGAUAAUAAAAUAUAUAUAUGAGGGCCAACAUCGGUUGUGAUUAAAAUAAAAAACAUAAUAAAAAUGUGCAUGCUUCAUAAAUCUAAGUCAAAUGAAACCCAUAACUAAGCUUCACGGUUUUGUUGUGCAAUAUAGUUCAACUUUCCAUAUUCAUUAAUAGUGUAGUAAUAUAGUUGAAUUAAUUAUUUACCAAUUCAAACAGAAACAUAAAAGACAAAUCACAAGCCAUAAAUAAACAAAGAAAACUAAGCUAGUACAUGAAAGGUAGCGAUGAGUCUUGUGCUUCAUAUACAUUAACUCAAUUUUACAACUAGAACUAGAAAUCUAGUGUAUGGAAUGAUUACACACUUGAUUGCUGACCAUUCUUUAAUACUUAUAAACUAAGAGCACAGUAUCACACAUCNNNNNNNNNNNNNNNNNNNNNNNNNNNNNNNNNNNNNNNNNNNNNNNNNNNNNNNNNNNNNNNNNNNNNNNNNNNNNNNNNNNNNNNNNNNNNNNNNNNNNNNNNNNNNNNNNNNNNNNNNNNNNNNNNNNNNNNNNNNNNNNNNNNNNNNNNNNNNNNNNNNNNNNNNNNNNNNNNNNNNNNNNNNNNNNNNNNNNNNNNNNNNNNNNNNNNNNNNNNNNNNNNNNNNNNNNNNNNNNNNNNNNNNNNNNNNNNNNNNNNNNNNNNNNNNNNNNNNNNNNNNNNNNNNNNNNNNNNNNNNNNNNNNNNNNNNNNNNNNNNNNNNNNNNNNNNNNNNNNNNNNNNNNNNNNNNNNNNNNNNNNNNNNNNNNNNNNNNNNNNNNNNNNNNNNNNNNNNNNNNNNNNNNNNNNNNNNNNNNNNNNNNNNNNNNNNNNNNNNNNNNNNNNNNNNNNNNNNNNNNNNNNNNNNNNNNNNNNNNNNNNNNNNNNNNNNNNNNNNNNNNNNNNNNNNNNNNNNNNNNNNNNNNNNNNNNNNNNNNNNNNNNNNNNNNNNNNNNNNNNNNNNNNNNNNNNNNNNNNNNNNNNNNNNNNNNNNNNNNNNNNNNNNNNNNNNNNNNNNNNNNNNNNNNNNNNNNNNNNNNNNNNNNNNNNNNNNNNNNNNNNNNNNNNNNNNNNNNNNNNNNNNNNNNNNNNNNNNNNNNNNNNNNNNNNNNNNNNNNNNNNNNNNNNNNNNNNNNNNNNNNNNNNNNNNNNNNNNNNNNNNNNNNNNNNNNNNNNNNNNNNNNNNNNNNNNNNNNNNNNNNNNNNNNNNNNNNNNNNNNNNNNNNNNNNNNNNNNNNNNNNNNNNNNNNNNNNNNNNNNNNNNNNNNNNNNNNNNNNNNNNNNNNNNNNNNNNNNNNNNNNNAAGUAUUGUUGAAUGUUCUCCUUGUGCAGUAGUCACAAUCUCAGUAUCAGCAUCAGCUUUGGCCUUAGUAGCGAAGCCCUUGGUACGUAGAAUAGUUGAAACAAGAACCAUCUGACUAACAUCAUACUUAAGAAGAUGUUGGUGGUCCAGGUAGAAGGUUCCAAACUUUCCCUCGUGAAUGAACUUGACACAGUAUGGAUUUCUGACAACUUGUGGACUGUUAUGAAUUGCACAAUCCAUAAGUCUGUCACGAAGGAGUUCAUUCAGAUUCGAGCUGCGUCUGAUCUUGUUACGAAUCACCCAGAUUUCAGUUAGAGAUAGAAACUUGAAUAAAUCAAUUGAAACCCUGAAUGUUCCGUUUCUCUGAGUAGAAAUAAUGAUCUCCCAUUCAUUGAGAAGAUUCUUGACACCAAUAGUUAUAUAUUCUAACUCGAGAGCAAGAGCACGCAUAAACAUAUCUUCAUUAGGGUUAGCCUCUCUCAGGUCAUAAAUGAAGGAUUUGAAUUUACCAUCAUUGAAAGGUUCCCUUUGAGGUCCAGAGAGGAUUUGUCUUGCAAUAUCCCAGCUUUCACCAACUUUCCUGGAGAUAUCCUCUCUCUUUUCCUUGCACUUAGCAUCCCACAGCUUUUGUUUCUCCAGCUUGACCAACUCAUCAGUUGUCCUCUUUUCAUCUACCAGUUUCUGCAGUUCCUGAAGCUUAGCUUUGCUAGCUUCAUGUUGAGCUUUGAACAUCUUGACCUUUUCCAUGUGCUCAGGAUCUACAGACUGAUCUUCAUUGAAAAGAAAGCCUUCCUCGAAACGACCUUCUUCCUCAACUUCAGUGUUUACUAGACGUGAGUGCUAGUUGUGUGCUUGACUCUUUACAGGAUACCGCGGUCGGACGGCCAAUUUCAAGAAAUGCAUUCUGUGGAGAGAAUGAAUCUAGAGACUGUAUAUUUACCAUGUCAGUGUCCAAAUCCUUUUGGGAGGAAAUGGAUGCGGCUGCAGUUGUCUCCGGUUCUGCCACCCUUUGCUUCUUAUGAGACAGAGCUGCGGGUUCUCUCAGAAUUGCACUCCCACUCCGUUUCCGGGCUACCUUUCGAACAACUGGUGUAUGAGUAGUGUCGGUUGAUGUGUUUGACGAAGAAUCAGUUGUUGAAACGAAAACGUCAGCUUGGUUAUGAACCUGGGUGUUUACAGGUUCAAUGCUGGGAGUCUGGAAAUCAAAUCCAAUAUCACAAUCAAAAUCUGCAAUAUCAAUAUUAAAGGUAUCAGUGAGAUUAGAAAGUACCUGAGCUACCUGUAAAUCUGUCCUGAAGUCCUGUAGCUCUGGAUUGAUAGCAGAAUCAGCAGGCAGAGGCUGAGAGGUGGAUUGUGGUGGAGGAAUGGUAUGUGGAUGUGUAGGUGAAGGUGUUGGUUCAGAUUGAGAGGGAAGAAUGGAGGCUUGUUGGUCUGGGAAGAAGUUGUAUUGUGGAGGGGAUUGGUGUUGAGAUUGGUGAGGAGAAUUGUAAUCAGAUUGAUGAGGUGAUUGUUGAGGUGAAUUGUAAGGAGGGUUGUAAGGAGAGUAAUGUGAGGAUUGGCUGGAUGAUUGGUAGUCUUGGAGGAGUUGAAGUGGUUGAGGGUUUUGUGGAGGAGAUAGUUGUUGCGGUUGUUCUUGUUGUUGAGCUUGUUGUUGUUGUUGUGGUUGAUAUUGUUGCUGUUGUAGUGGUUCUGGAACUUGUACUGGCUGAAAAGGAACACUGAAUUGCUCGAGCAUGAAUGGAGUCACCACCAGUGGUACAUUAUCAUGCUUUUUCUUGUUGACCAGCCUUGUUUGGAUCUUGGCACAUGUCCUCUGAAUAGGAACAACAGGAGAAUCGUUGUACAUGUGCCUAUCAUCAGCAUUCAUCUUGUCAUUCGUAAACAACAUCAGGAAUCUGGGGUAGAAGCAUUCAACUUUGUCAUUCUUCUGAGUAGAUCUCUGUGAAACAGACCCCAUCUUCCUUAUGAUCUCCCUCAGCAAUANNNNNNNNNNNNNNNNNNNNNNNNNNNNNNNNNNNNNNNNNNNNNNNNNNNNNNNNNNNNNNNNNNNNNNNNNNNNNNNNNNNNNNNNNNNNNNNNNNNNNNNNNNNNNNNNNNNNNNNNNNNNNNNNNNNNNNNNNNNNNNNNNNNNNNNNNNNNNNNNNNNNNNNNNNNNNNNNNNNNNNNNNNNNNNNNNNNNNNNNNNNNNNNNNNNNNNNNNNNNNNNNNNNNNNNNNNNNNNNNNNNNNNNNNNNNNNNNNNNNNNNNNNNNNNNNNNNNNNNNNNNNNNNNNNNNNNNNNNNNNNNNNNNNNNNNNNNNNNNNNNNNNNNNNNNNNNNNNNNNNNNNNNNNNNNNNNNNNNNNNNNNNNNNNNNNNNNNNNNNNNNNNNNNNNNNNNNNNNNNNNNNNNNNNNNNNNNNNNNNNNNNNNNNNNNNNNNNNNNNNNNNNNNNNNNNNNNNNNNNNNNNNNNNNNNNNNNNNNNNNNNNNNNNNNNNNNNNNNNNNNNNNNNNNNNNNNNNNNNNNNNNNNNNNNNNNNNNNNNNNNNNNNNNNNNNNNNNNNNNNNNNNNNNNNNNNNNNNNNNNNNNNNNNNNNNNNNNNNNNNNNNNNNNNNNNNNNNNNNNNNNNNNNNNNNNNNNNNNNNNNNNNNNNNNNNNNNNNNNNNNNNNNNNNNNNNNNNNNNNNNNNNNNNNNNNNNNNNNNNNNNNNNNNNNNNNNNNNNNNNNNNNNNNNNNNNNNNNNNNNNNNNNNNNNNNNNNNNNNNNNNNNNNNNNNNNNNNNNNNNNNNNNNNNNNNNNNNNNNNNNNNNNNNNNNNNNNNNNNNNNNNNNNNNNNNNNNNNNNNNNNNNNNNNNNNNNNNNNNNNNNNNNNNNNNNNNNNNNNNNNNNNNNNNNNNNNNNNNNNNNNNNNNNNNNNNNNNNNNNNNNNNNNNNNNNNNNNNNNNNNNNNNNNNNNNNNNNNNNNNNNNNNNNNNNNNNNNNNNNNNNNNNNNNNNNNNNNNNNNNNNNNNNNNNNNNNNNNNNNNNNNNNNNNNNNNNNNNNNNNNNNNNNNNNNNNNNNNNNNNNNNNNNNNNNNNNNNNNNNNNNNNNNNNNNNNNNNNNNNNNNNNNNNNNNNNNNNNNNNNNNNNNNNNNNNNNNNNNNNNNNNNNNNNNNNNNNNNNNNNNNNNNNNNNNNNNNNNNNNNNNNNNNNNNNNNNNNNNNNNNNNNNNNNNNNNNNNNNNNNNNNNNNNNNNNNNNNNNNNNNNNNNNNNNNNNNNNAUCUUUAAGUCCAAAUAACCAAUUUUGCACAAUAACACACGCGCCAAACAGUCCCUUAAAUCGAAAAAUCCCAAAACUUCAAUCAAGAACCCUAGAUUUCGAAAGGUAAGAAACUCAGAUAGUAAGCUUCGAUUAAUCAAGCAAACGGUACUUCCAAGUCAGUAAGUUCAAGAACAGGUGUAGAACCCAGAAAAUCCAACAGCACUGAGUUGAAUCGGACGAAAAUCGGGCAGCACUUCGUGACAAAAUCGAGCAAUAAACGAGUAUCCAGCAAGCUACAAGGCUUGAAAUCAGUUAACACAGCAAGUUUUACACACAAAACUUGAAAAAGAAUGGCGAUUGGGAGAGAAACGAAGUUGGGGAAGAUGAAGUUUUGCUAAGACAAUCGGAAAUUGUCUUGAAGGGUUGUAUAUAUACGACUUUGUAAGACAAAAGGGGUUUCGAACUCGGGGCGACAAUUUCUUGGAAUUGUCUUGCCGAGCGUAGGAGAGGGGUUAGAAAGGAAGUGUAUAAGACAAUGUGAUUGUCUUAUAGAUAGACUUAGUGUGAUAAACUCAGUAAGACAAACGAGGUUUGUCUUACCGAAACGAAAUGGAGGUGUCAAACAUAAUUUGUCUAAGCUAGUAAGACAAUUGGAAUUGUCUUACCGAAAAAGUGAGUUAACCAGUGAUAAAGGAGUCUCAGCAAGACAAAUUAAUUGUCUUACCGAAACCAGAAAGAAACUGAGCAAGACAAACCAAAGAAAAUUGUCUUGCUGAGAAGAAAUGAUAGAAUUUUAAAGAUAAAACUUUUUGUAAUUAAUAUAAAAAUAAAAAUAAAAACAAUACUAUAUAUUACACAAGUAUUUUUGUAAAUUUCAACUUUUAAUUAAAUAUAAAUACUUACGACUUUAAUUUUAAUUCAAUAAAAUGAAUUAACUUAAAAUCAAAUAUUUAUGCUUAAUUAAUUUUGAAAAAUACAAAAUAAUUACAAAUAAUUAUCUAAAUGCUUAGAGAAUAUUACAGGGGAGUGUAUGAGCACUUAGAAAAUUACAGACUAAUAUACAAACAUGCAUAAUUACUCAGAAUAUUAUCAGAUAACAUACAGAAAAUCAUAUAAAAUCUAAUAAAAUAGAUAUAAUUAUACAGAAAAUUCACAAAAAUAUACAAAAACAUAUAAUGCAUAUGAAAAAUAUAUACAAGAGAACUAUGUCAUAUUUAACAUCCCUAACUCACAAACCAGCUUAGAGAAAGUGGAUUCAUCCAGUGGUUUAGUGAAGAUGUCAGCAAUUUGCUCAGUCGUGGGUACAAAAUGUAACACCACUGUACCAUUCAUGACAUGUUCUCGAAUGAAAUGAUACCUGAUAUCAAUGUGCUUGGUUCUUGAAUGUUGAACCGGAUUGUUGGAAAUGGCUAUGGCACUUGUAUUAUCACAAAAUAUGGGAAUUUUGUUUACUACAACACCAUAAUCAUUCAGUUGAUUCUUGAUCCACAAGAUCUGAGCACAGCAGCUUCCAGCAGCUAUAUACUCAGCUUCAGCAGUAGAAGUAGACACGGAGUGCUGCUUCUUGCUAUACCAGGAAACCAACCGACGUCCUAGAAAUUGACAGCUUCCAGACGUACUCUUCCUAUCAAUCCUGCAUCCUGCAUAAUCAGAAUCUGUAUAGCCGGUUAAGUCAAAACCAGUAUUCUUAGGGUACCAAAUACCUAAACCAGGUGUACCCUUAAGAUAUCUAAAGAUUCUUUUGACGGCUAUAAGAUGUGAUUCUUUAGGAUCAGCUUGGAACCUAGCACACAAACAUGUUGCAAACAUGAUAUCUGGUCUACUUGCAGUAAGAUAAAGUAGAGAGCCAAUCAUACCUCGAUAGCUUGUGAUAUCAACUUUCUUACCAGAUUUAUCCUGGUCAAGCUUUGUGGCAGUGGCCAUGGGUGUCUUUGCCGGUGAAGAGUCUUCUAGAUUGUACUUUCGAAGAAGAUCUCUGACAUACUUGGAUUGGCAAAUGAAUAUUCCAUCUUCCUUUUGGCUUACUUGAAGACCAAGGAAGUAGGACAGCUCACCCAUCAUACUCAUCUCAUAGUUACUCUGCAUCAACUUAGCAAAUCUCUUGCACAAGUUAUCGUUAGUAGAACCAAAUAUAAUAUCAUCAACAUAUAUUUGUACAAAUAUCAUAUCCUUAUCAUGCAAUUUGUAAAAGAGAGUUUUGUCUAUGACACCUCUAGUAAAAUUGUUUUCAAUUAAAAACUCAGAGAGAGUGUCAUACCAUGUCCUUGGUGACUGCUUGAGUCCAUAGACAGCUUUGAAUAGGAAGUAUACAAAAUCAGCAAACUCUGGAUUUUCAAAGCCAGGGGGCUGUUCCAGAUAUACUUCUUCUUCUAGCUUUCCAUUCAGAAAUGCACUUUUCACAUCCAUUUGAUAAACCUUGAAGUUGGAGUGUGCAGCAAAUGCAAGAAAUAUUCUGAUGGCUUCAAGACGAGCAACUGGAGCAUAGGUUUCAUCGUAAUCAAUUCCUUCUUCUUGUGAAUAACCUUUUGCAACCAGUCUGGCUUUGUUUCUCACAACAAUGCCAUCACCAUCUAACUUGUUACGGAAGACCCAUCUAGCUCCAAUUGUAGAUUUUCCUUUUGGUCUUGGAACCAGGGCCCAGACUUCUUGUCUCUCAAAUUGAUUGAGUUCUUCUUGCAUGGCAAGAACCCAAUCAGGAUCAGCAAGUGCUUCAUCUAUUUUCUUUGGUUCUAAUUGUGAAAGAAAACCAGAGAAUAGACAUUCAUUUGUCGUAGCACUUCUAGUCCUUACACCAACAUCAGGAUCACCAAUAAUCAGAUCAAAGGGAUGAUCUCUGCUCCAAAUCCUUUCCCUUGGAAGUUGUGUCCUUGAUGAUUCAGCAGUAUUAUCAUUAGGCUGAUGUGUAUGACUAGUUGAUCCACCAGCUCCCCCUGAGUUGUUGCCAGGUUGACUUGAUGAUCCACCACUAGCAUCAGUGGAAUCUCCAGCAUUAUUGCCAUUUCCUCCACCAUUGCCUGGAUCAUUAUCAUUGUUGUCAUCACCUGUUGCAACCUCAGGUGGCACAUCAUCAUCUGAAUCAGAAUCUGGAUAGUUGUCAAACUUCAGAGAUUCAGAUGGAUCAGCAGAUUGUAAACUUGGUAGUUUAGUGUCAUCAAAUGUUACAUUGACACUAACUUUCACUGACAGAGUAUCAAUUACAAAAACUCUAUAAGCAUUAUUUGUAUAACCAACAAAAAUUGCUUCAGAUGCCUUUGGCUCAAACUUGUUCAAGUUCUCUUCACCAUCCUUGAGAACAUAACACUUGGCUCCAAAGACAUGAAGAUGUUUGACAUAAGGUUUCUUGUUGUUAUACAGAUGAAAUGGAGUUUUCAUAUGAUCCUUGUUGAUCAAAGUUCUAUUCUGGGUAUAGCAGGCAGUAGACACAGCUUCAGCCCAAAAGUACAGAGGAAGCUUUGCUUCAGCAAUCAUAGUCCUUGCAGCUUCGAUCAGUGUACGAUUCUUUCUUUCGACGACUCCAUUCUGCUGAGGAGUCCUUGGUGCUGAAUACUGCCUUCUAAUUCCCUUUUCAGAGUAAAAGUUGAUUAGAGUUUGAUUCUUGAAUUCUGUGCCAUUGUCUGACCUUACAGCUUUGACUGGCACACCUUUAUCCAAUUCAACUAACUUUAUAUGAUCAAUCACUGUCAACGGGGUUUCAUCCUUAGAAGCCAGGAAGUAAACCCAAGUAAAUUUUGAGAAGUCAUCCACAAUAACCAAGGCAUAUCUUCCUCCAUCAAUGGAUGCAACAUUCACAGGGCCAAACAGAUCCAUAUGCAACAAAUGAAGUGGAUCUGUAAUGGUAUUGAUGGUUUUGCCUUUGUGAGAUGCUCUCUUCGCUUUUCCUUUCUGACAAGCUUCACAAAGAUCAUCAGUUGAGAAUUCCAGGGAAGGCAACCCUCUCACUAGAUCUCUCUUGACUAGAGAGUUCAUGGUUUUGAAGUUGAGGUGUGAGAGCUUCUUAUGCCAUAACCAACUAUCUUCAGCUGACGCUUUGGCGUAGAAACAGUGAACUUCGUUUCCUGGGCCUAAAGACAAAUCAGCUACGAAUAUAUUGCCUUUCCUUAUGCCACAUAGUGAAGGACGCUUAUCCUUGAUAUGUUUAAUGAUACAUAUCUCUUUUUCAAAAUGAACAUAAAAACCUUUGUCACAGAAUUGACUGACACUCAGGAGAUUAUGUUGAAGUCCUUCAACUAUUGCAAUAUCUUCUAUGAUGAUCCUUCCAAUUUUGUACUUGCCAUAUCCCACAGUACGACCUUUGCUAUUAUCAGCAAAACGCAAAACUACACUGUCGGGCCAGCUCCUUCUCUUAUGUCUUCCAGCAGGGAUCUAUUGCCAGUCAUGUGCAUUGACGCUCCACUGUCAAGCACCCAAGUAACUCGAACAACUCCACUGGCACCCUGCAAAAGACAACUUGAUUAAAUAUUCUUUGGGACCCACACUUGAUUGGGUCCAGCAAACUUAAAGAACUGAUUUCUAUUAGGUAAUACAACAGAGCCUCUUGGACUGAUACUUGGUUCAGAUUUGACUGAACUUACUUCCUUAACAACAGCCUUAUAAACCUUGGUUUUAGGCUUUGGAACAUAAGUCUCCUUUCUCUUGUGAGAAGGACUAGCAGUCUUUGAUCUAGCAUGCUUGUUGUUUGUGUGUUGUCUAGGUGAUGUGUUUUCAUUUUUCGCAUGCAAAUUUUUAAAAUAAGCAGACAUCAAGUUGAAAGCACAAGUCAUACAAUUAUCAACACCACAGUAUUUAUGACAUGCAUCAAAAGCAGGAACAUCAGAAGUAUCAGUCAUAGUAGUAGGAACAUCAAUAGAUUCUACUCUAACCUUGUUAUCAGAUUUAAAGUUCUCAGUAGAAUGACAUCUAUUGUUCUUGUUCCUACUAUUAACAAAAUUAUUGGGCUUGUUGAAUUUAGUUCUCUCAGAGUUGACACCUAAACCAGCUUUAGGCAACCUAACAUUGCCUUUCACUUUAAUUGGUUUCAGGUUUGUCAGAAUCUCAUCUCUCAUCUCAUUACUCUCUUUCAUUUUAAGGUCUUCCUGUUUUAGUUCAUAUCUAAUGACAACAGGAGUCUCUAAAAGAGGUUCAGCUUCUGAGGUUUUAAACAAAGGUUUAAGGGAAUCUUUCAAAACAAAAGGAAUCCCUCUCUCUUCAGCACUCUUCUUAAAAGGAGUAAUGUUACUAGCCUUACCUACAGAUUUGUUAUAGUCAAAGCCUAUUCCAACAGUUCUCUUGAUCUCUUGUUUAUCAUUAAGUUCUUUGACUAUCAUGGAGGCAUCCUUAAAGGCUUUACACUUAACUUUCUCUUCGUCUAGCUGAAGUCUUAAAGCAAUCUCACCUUUCUCUAGAACUUUGACUUUAGCACAUUGUAAUCCUAAAUCCAUAGUCAAUUGUUCUAUUUUAGGUUUUAAUACUUUCAUCUCAUUCAUUUUAUAAGCAUGAAUUUCUAAGACUAAAGUAUCAAUUUUAAGAUUAGCAGCUUUCAUCCUUUUAAUAGCAUCAUCUCUUUCAAGUCCUAAUUGCAUAAACAGUUUAGGGCAUGUAGGAUCUACCUGAAAGCUUCCAGCAGGAGGAGGUGAAGAUGAUCCAGCAUUAGCCAUGAGAGCAACAUUCCCUAUCUGCUCUUCUUCAUCACUGUCUGUAUCAUCCCAGCUUUUCCCUUCUGCCAGAUAAGAUUUGCUUUUGAAACUUUGACUUCCAGAAGUACCCUGAUGCUUUCUCACUAGUGCAUCAUACUUCUGCUUCAGCUCAUCGUACGAAUCUUUUCUCUUUCCUUGAACCUUGGGCUGUUUGCAUUCAGUUGCAAAGUGUCCAGGUUCACCACAGUUGAAGCAUUUGAACUUGCUUCUAUCCACCAUCUCAGUCUUGUAUCCUCCUUUGCUCGUAGAAGAUGAAUAACCUCCUUUCUGAAACCUGUUCACAGUGGGUUUGUACUUGUAGGAGGGAUGUUUCCUGAAUCUCAUGUUUCCAAACUUCUUGGCAAACAGAGAUAGAGAUUGAUCUUCUAAUUGUUCUAGCACUUCUAUUGUAUAGAACUCUUCGUCACCACUGGAAGAGGCAGUCUGACCCAUCUCAGGUAUAACAAAUUCCUGAGUGGUUUUAGAAGGAACAACAAGAUCCUUCUUCUCUUCCGGUACAGGUGNNNNNNNNNNNNNNNNNNNNNNNNNNNNNNNNNNNNNNNNNNNNNNNNNNNNNNNNNNNNNNNNNNNNNNNNNNNNNNNNNNNNNNNNNNNNNNNNNNNNNNNNNNNNNNNNNNNNNNNNNNNNNNNNNNNNNNNNNNNNNNNNNNNNNNNNNNNNNNNNNNNNNNNNNNNNNNNNNNNNNNNNNNNNNNNNNNNNNNNNNNNNNNNNNNNNNNNNNNNNNNNNNNNNNNNNNNNNNNNNNNNNNNNNNNNNNNNNNNNNNNNNNNNNNNNNNNNNNNNNNNNNNNNNNNNNNNNNNNNNNNNNNNNNNNNNNNNNNNNNNNNNNNNNNNNNNNNNNNNNNNNNNNNNNNNNNNNNNNNNNNNNNNNNNNNNNNNNNNNNNNNNNNNNNNNNNNNNNNNNNNNNNNNNNNNNNNNNNNNNNNNNNNNNNNNNNNNNNNNNNNNNNNNNNNNNNNNNNNNNNNNNNNNNNNNNNNNNNNNNNNNNNNNNNNNNNNNNNNNNNNNNNNNNNNNNNNNNNNNNNNNNNNNNNNNNNNNNNNNNNNNNNNNNNNNNNNNNNNNNNNNNNNNNNNNNNNNNNNNNNNNNNNNNNNNNNNNNNNNNNNNNNNNNNNNNNNNNNNNNNNNNNNNNNNNNNNNNNNNNNNNNNNNNNNNNNNNNNNNNNNNNNNNNNNCAACAAAUUAGCAGUGUUAUAAUAUCAUAGAAAUUUCUUACCUACCGCAACGAAAUGCUUGUAACACUUUCCAAUAACCAUUGCAUCAGGCCACUUAUGGCAUAGUGAUGCAUGCUCGUACGGACAUUUUGUGAAACCCGGGCUUUCUAAACAGUUUCUUAAUUUUGCAUACCAGGCUUGUGGUGCUUGACGAAGUCCAGACAAAGCCUUUAUUAGCUUGUACACUUGAUGCUCCUUUCCUUGUUCGACAAAUCCUUCUGGUUGCGUUACGUAUACAUUUUCCUCAAGAUCACCAUUCAAGCAAGCUGAUUUCACAUCAAGGUGAUGAACCUCCCAGCUAUUUUUUGCUCCUAAAGCCAAUAAUAGUCUCACUGUUUCGAUCCGUGUAACUGGUGCAAAAACCUCCUCAGAAUCUAUACCUUGUUUUUGAACAUACCCUUUCGCGACCAGUCUCUCCUUAUGUUUCAUAACUGGUUGCAGUUGAAACACCUUACAAAACUCCUAUCACGUCCUGCACCCUGGGUUCGUGCAUUGUCAUCUGUCCGAAUCUGAUAGCCUCGUCCACUCCGUGCUUUAAAAUUUGAUUGGCAAUCUCCUGACAUCUUGUUUAAUCUCUUAAUCCAGUCCUCUCCGGUGAACAACAAUUUUUCUUCAUUCUAUUAUUUUGCUAUUUAUUGUGUGUCGCAUAUUUAUAUUUUACAAUUUUUAUGCUUUAUAUAUUUUAUUCAAACAAACUAUUUGAAUAGGUAUAAUUUAUGCUAAAAUUUCCAUAUAUUCAAAUCCAAAUGUGUAGUAUACUUAUAUAUCUAUAUUAAUAACAUAUUGAUGUUCAAAUUUUAUACAAAUAAACUAUAUAUGUCCCCACUUUUUUGAAAUAAUAAAGAUUAUUUGAUAUUCAUGAAUAAAAAUAUUGAUACACAUUUUACGGAACUGAAGAAAUUUAUCAUUUUAUUUUCGGCAGUGGAACCUUAAAAAUUAAUUUUCAAAAAGUAUAUUAGUUAAAUUAAUUUUACCUCUCAAAUCUAUUUCCCCCUUUAGCCAAUGUUUUCGGGAAUAUUGACAUUUUUCGGAAAAUAAAAUGAAAUAUGUUCAAAUACACUCUCACAUGCGGUGGUGUAAUAAUAGCACACAAGCCUCUUUACAUAUAUUUAGUACCCAAUCCAAAGAAAUUUUAAAAGGAAAUAAAAUUAAAAGCUAUGCUAAUAGAUAAAUACCAAUAUUUUUGGUCAUUAAAUUUGUUUGAUACAUAAUUAAAAGGAUCAAAGAUUGAUUUAACAAUGUGACUGCUAUAAAAACAAAUACUAAAUUGCACUUACAAAUGACACUACAAACAAAUUUCAUAUUUAGCAAAAUAUGUUAUUCAUAGUAGGCCAUUAAAGUAUUCAACUUUUAGUUGGCAACACAUAUAAACACGAAAUGAUGCAUCGGAUUAAUUAAAAGACCAUAGGUUAUAAGCAUAAAAAUCCUAGCGGCCUAGAAACAAAUUUAAUGACCCGGUAUGUAAUCAACAACACUCAACAUAUGGAUCACUUAAUAGAUAAUGGAUCACUUAAUAGAUAUAGUGCGUGGAUUAAUCUCAUCAAGCAUCAAAAGGCUCCCAGUUGUGCGCAGAAGUUACACAAUGUUCCAGCCUCUACAUAUUCUUGUAUCUGUGGAGAACAAAUAUUAAAGGGAGUAGGAUUUAAUCAUUUCUAGCUAUAACAAGUAUAAUGAAUUGACCAAUGAUUUAUAGGUCACGUGAUAUCCCCGCGUUCUAUUUAUAUGAGUGUAUGAGUGUGCUUAAUUAUAUAAAAAAUAGGUACAGUGAAACCGAUGACAAACACCUGGAGAGCUCUUCUUAAUUUGUAGUAAUAGUUCCCUGAAGUUCUUUGACUAAUUGGGAAAGGUAAUGAUAUGUCACUACAGCUUUCCACCAAUCAAUUCCUACCCCCUCUCUCAUUAAGUGGUAGUUUUGGGAGUUGUAUGUUUGUUUUGUUUACUUAUCCUGUUAUUUUAUUUUGAGGGUAACAAGAUAGAAAACCAUAAGAAUUAAGAGAAUGCUUCAAGGAGGCUUGGUAUGUCACUGACAAGUAUGUGAGCGAAAUUAGGGAUAGUGUGUAAUAUUAAAUGAUAAUAAAAUAUAUAUAUGCGGGCCAACAUCGGUUGUGAUUAAAAUAAAAAACAUAAUAAAAAUGUGCAUGCUUCAUAAAUCUAAGUCAAAUGAAACCCAUAACUAAGCUUCAAGAGGGUUUUGUUAUGCAAUAUAGUUCAACUUUCCAUAUUCAUUAAUAGUGUAGUACUUAGAUGCUGUUUGGUUGGAGAAAGGUAUGGGGUUGGAAUUAGAAAUAGCGUAAAAGUGGUAUGGGGUUGAGUUAUAAUUUAUGAUAUCAUGUAUUUUGUUGGUGAUGGGAUAAAUAUGGUUGAAUUAAUUAUUUACCAAUUCAAACAGAAACAUAAAAGACAAAUCACAAGCCAUAAAUAAACAAAGAAAACUAAGCUAGUACAUGAAAGGUAGCGAUGAGUCUUGUGCUUCAUAUACAUUACUCAAUUUUACAACUAGAACUAGAAAUCUAGUGUAUGGAAUAAUUACACACUUGAUUGCUGACCAUUCUUUAAUACAUAUAAACUAAGAGCACAGUAUCACACAUCAAAAGAUUAUCAAAAUCUAUGGUUUUGAACCUCAAAAGGAAAGAAUUCAUAAAAUAACAAUCAAGACCAAGAGGCAGGGUGAGCUUGUUGUCAUUUCAUUAUACAUCAAUGAUCAAACCAUAAUAAUUCUUCAAUAACUCAUACUUUUAGGAUACUGAUCUAAUACUAUUACCGAGUCCAUUCAAAAGUGCCCUAUCAAAAUCUAGUGCCAUAUAUUUUAAUCACCUUUGAUAUUGAUAUAUAAAAAAUUGAAAAUCAUUACCUCCCCAGUAGCUUGCUAUGGUUUGAGACAAGCGUGCAUCCUAUAUGAAUCCCAAAGGAAGCUUGAUUGUACGAUCUGCCAAAUGAAGUGAAAUUCUUGUCUUUUUGAGCUCUCCAAGACCAAGGGAUAAAUAUCAAGUAGGUCACUCGCUUCGUCCAAAUGUAUCAAUUAAGUCACUGAUUCCCAAAUUGACUCAAAUGAGACACUCAUUAGAAAAAUUUGUAUAAAAAAUAUCACUCUAUCGUUAGUCGAAAUUUUGAAAGUAUUAUAUAUUGAGUUUCGCACAUUUUUUAUGAAUGGUAUUACAUCUAAAUGAAAGAUUCUGAGUUCUAGUAUUUUAGAUAAUAUUUUUAGAUUUGCAAAAAUUUGCCUCUUGCAAAUAGAGUAUGGCAUCAAACUUUCACUAGCCCCCAAAUCAAAUAAGGCUUUACCAUUCUCCAUCUUUCCAAUAGUGCAUGGCAAUGAAAAUCUUCCGGGAUAUUUUAAUUUUUGCCGAAUUGAUUUUUGAAAACCGCACUACACUCCAAAUUGAGAGUAAUGGUUUCCACAUCAUCAAGUUUCCGCUUUCUAGACAACAUCUCGUUCAGAAAUUUGGCAUAUAAUGGCAUUUGUGCCAAAGCAUCGGUAAAAGGAUUAUUUAUAUGCAAUGCCCAAAGGUUUGCAAGAAUUUUUCAUACUAUUUCUCCAACUUCUUGUUAUGCAGCCUUUGUGAGAAAGGGAUUAGAGGGAUUAGGUUUUGGUUCUGCUUCGGAGCUGCAUAUGAUGGAUUAACAACAUGAUUGUUGUUGUAAGAAAGAUUGUUGUUUGGCCUAUGAUUUGGAUUGUAAUAAAAAUUAUUCUGAACAUGCCAUGAUUGUCUUCCUUGGAUGACACAUGUUUCCUCUGGAAAUUGUUGUGCAUGUGAGUACUGAUUAGCACCAGGAUCAUUAUACCCUUACAUGGGAGAGGAAAUAGCAUUGACAUUUACCCUUUGUCCAUGAACAUCUUGAGUAAGAGCAUCCAAUUUCAGAGUGAGCAAGUUCAUUAUCUCGGUGUUUUGUGCUCAUUUAACCGAGCUUGUACCACUAGGUGCCCAAGCAUAGUUAUUUGAAGCCAAUUACUAGAGAAGUGCCUUAGCUUGAUGAUGAUGAACAUGUGCUUUCUUAAAAUUUCCUCCAGCUGCCACAUCCAAACUCAGCCGAAUAUUAGAAUUCAAAGCUCCAUAGAAAGUACUCAGAACCAUCCACUCCUUAUAACCAUGAUGUGGACAUUUUCUCAACAAUGUCUUGUAUCUUUCCCAUGCUUGAUACAAGCCUUCACCUGGUUGUGCUUUGAAAAUAAGAAUAAUUGCUCUCAUUUGUUGUGUCUUGUCAGAUGGAUAAUAUUUUGAAUAUAUGAUGGUUGUGGGUUUCGAUUUUGAGUCCCUGAUUUUUUGUAUUUAGGGGUUGUGGGUUUCGAUUUUGAGAAAUGCAUUUUGUGGAUUUUGAAUAUAUGAUGCCGCUUGUGGGUGUUGAUUUUGUGGGUUUUCACUAUGCUUGUGGGAUGUUCUAUUAUGACUGUGUUUCACUCUAGAUUUUUGUAAAGCAUAAUGUAACAAAAAUGUAAUUACGAUAACUCAACGCAACAAAAGGACAUGAAACAAUAUGAAAGUAUAAUACAGGAAUCUACAGGUUGGAGAUUCGAUACGAACAGACAAAGACAAUCAAGAUAUCUGAGACGAACAUCAGUCCACUCAAAGAAGUUCAUUAAUAUGUUCAAGCCUCAGUGAAGAAUAAAGCACAAUCAGUUUCUGCUAUCAAGAUUGCCAGAAGAUCAACUAUCGAAGACCAGAAGAUUCCAGUAUACAAAGAAGUUCAUUAAUAUGUUCAAGCCUCAGUGAAGAAUAAAGCACAAUCAGUUUCUGCUAUCUAGAUUGCCAGAAGAUCAACUAUCGAAGACCAGAAGAUUCCAGUAUACUUAUUUUGAUUAUUUAUAAUCAAAUUUAUCGAAGCAACAUCUAACCCGGAAUGAUUGAUCAUGUAUAUUAUCAAGCUAAAGGAUUCAAGGAAUUAUUUCAGUUCGAGUCGUUCGUGAACCAGACCAGUGCACAGGGCGUCAGGACGUACGAAAGUAUUCAGUGGAUUCGAUCAACGAAUUAAUUGAUCAAGUCAAAUGAGCUAUUCCUGAAAGUGGCUUCAAGAAAUUGAAAUUAAAUAUUUAUAUAUAUGUGUGUGUGUAUAUAUAUAUAUAUAUAUAUAUAUGUAACAUUAAUUGAUAAUUACUUGAAUAAGAAUUUAAUUCAAGCAAUUAAUAAAUCNUAAUUCAAGCAAAUAAUAAAUCAAUUAAUAAUAUAUAUAUAUAUAUAUAUAUAUAUAUAUAUAUAUAUACAUAUGUAUAUAAUACAAAGAGAAAAAUUCUAGGUCAACUCUCAGUCAACUGAGAGAUAACAAGGAGAAUUCCUCAAAGGGGCGCAAGUUUUGUGUUACUUAGAAUUAAUUCUAAGUACCACCACAGUGGAGCUAUGAAGCGCGAACUUUGACCAAAAGUCAAAGGCGCAACCUCAGUCACUUAGAAUUAUUCUAAGUACAUCCUUCUCCAUUGUCUCCUUGGCGCAAUUUUCUGUCAGCGCAACGUUUGACCAAAAAGUCAAGGCGCAAGUUUUCUCCCAUGAAAUCUCUCUAAGUAAAUCUCACAGGGGAGCACCGUGUUGGCGCAGACUUUGACUCAAAGUCAAAAUUGGCGCUACUCACAGUAAAGAUAGUCAAGCGCAACUUUGGACUCCUGAAAAUAGUUUAAGUCGCAAAAGAGGGGAACUUUGUUGAGGCGCAACUUUAAUUAUUUGAAGUUAGUUUUUGUUUUGGACAAUUCAAUUUAACUACAGUUAAAUUGAAUUCGUCCAGGACGAACUCAAGUCGUCCAGGACGAACUCAAGUCGUCCAGGACGAACUCGUUAACCAUGGUUAGAUAUUGGAAGCCUAUAAAUAGAGCUUUGUGUUUUCAUUUGAAAACAACCACACACUUUGUAAGUGCACACACUAUACACAUUCUUUAGAUAUUGGAAGCCUAUAAAUAGAGCUUUGUGUUUUCAUUUGAAAACAACCACACACUUUGUAAGUGCACACACUAUACACAUUCUCGAGAGCAAAGUUAGAAUAUCGUUUUAAUCGAGAGUUUGUAUUAGAGUGAUCGUAGUCUCUGCAGCCGACACUUGUGUUGGAAUUUGUAGCACCCGAGGAUUAUUUUUUAAUACAAGAAUAUUCCCCGACUUGCUGGAGUUGUUUAUUUACGAUUGAUUUAAACUGCACUUAAACAGAAUUAUUCCGCAAUUAAAUUAAAUCGAAGAAAUUGGAUCAGACGUAUUCAACCCCCCCCCCCUCUACGUCUGAUUGGACCUAACAACUGGUAUCAGUGCCAGGUUGAUCGAUAUACAGAUCUGAGAUCCGUUACCAAUCUGAAAAGCUAGUUGUCCGUACAAUCGUAAUUUUAUCUGAUAACAAUGUCGACACACAAGUUAGGAAUCAAAGUACCUCCAUUUGACAAGGAUGACUACAACAACUGGAAAAUGAAGAUGUUGCUGUAUAUCAGAGUUGCUAAUCCCCUGUACAUUGGGAUUCUGGAAAAUGGUCCGUUUAUGCCAAUGAAGAUUAUUCCUGAAUCUGUUGAAAAUGGUGUUCGCAUUUCACAAAAGUCUGUUCCCAAAGAGAAAAGCGGAUACACUGAGACUGACAAAGAAUAUAUUGCACAUGACCAUAAUCUACAACUCAUAAUUGUUGAAUUAAUGACCAAGACUAUGACACAUCUAAUUCUGAGUCUUAAAACAUCAAAGCAGAUGUGGGAUACUGUUGAGGCAUUGAUGGCGGGAUCUGAAGAAGUCAGGGAAAACAUAUACGACAUGUUGAUUGCCAGAUAUGAAGCAUUUCAGGCAAUACCUGGAGAGAACAUUUCUCAAAUCUACGAGAGGUUCAUGUUACUGUUAAAUGAACUCACUCUGCAUGGAAAGACUUAUCCACAGAAAAAGAUUAACAGAAAGUUCUCAUUUGUGAUGCCACCUCAUCUAGUUGUGAAGACUGAGACCAUCCGGGUAUCUAGUUGUGAAGACUGAGACCAUCCGGGAAAGAAGCGACUUCAGAACUAUGACUUUGGAAAAGCUGUUUGGAAAACUGAAGACGUUUGAGAUGGAACUUGAACAGAGAAAGAUCAUAUAUGGUGGUGGAUCAACAGAAUCCAAGAGUAUGGCCUUACAGAAGACCACUGCACUUAUUGCUGAUCAACCAUACUUUGGUUAUCAACAAUUAGUUGAAUAUGGUAUCAAUGAUCACACUGUUGCUCAGAGUGAUUGUUCAUCCAUCAAAGCUGACUAUCCUUCUACCAUUACUGAGAUUGUAGAAGCUGAAGUUGAUGAAGUUUCUGAUGAACCGGAGGAUGAGUUCUACACUCAAGAAGAGCUGGAGCAGCUGGAAGAUAAGUCAAUGGCUUAUAUGGCUGCAAGGUUCAAGCAUAUCAAGUUCAGGAAGAACCCCCGGUACAAGAAAGCUUCAGGGAACAAGUUUCAGAACAAAGAAGGAUACUCAGGGUCAGGGUCUAGAAGUACUGGCAAUUACAAACCAAACAUGUACAACAAGAGCAAGGUCAGAUGCUACAACUGCAAUGACUUAGGGCACUUUGCAACAGAGUGCAGGAAACCCAAAGCAGCUCCUGUCAGAAGCAACUCAUAUGAUAAGAAGAAUUCUUAUGAGGAUCUGAAGAAAGAGAAUGAGAAGCUAAAAGCUAAGUUGGAAGCAAUGGUGGCCAAGCACAAAGGAAGGGCUUACAUUGCUGAGGGAAAAAGCUGGGAUGACACAGAUUCUGAUGAUGAACCUGUCCAGAGCAAUUAUGCAUUUGCAUUAAUGGCUGACACUGUCGAGGAAUCUCCAUCUCAGGUAUCUCCUGAAAUUUCUGUUGAUGACAUGACUACUGCUGAUUAUAAAAAGACUAUAAAUGAACUAGGUCAAGAGAUGUAUAACUUGCACACUAGUUUAUUAGCUUCAGAAUCAGAUAACUGUAGUCUUUCUCUAAAGAUAGCUAAACUUGAAGAAAGAGUAGAUGAAUUAGCUUUAGAGAAACUCAUGAACACUAACCUUAAAGAUAGAAUUGAAUAUCUAGAGAAUAAGGAGAAGUGUAGUGCAGAAAUUGAGGAGUCCCUUAGGUCUCAGAUUGCUGACCUAGAAACUAAGCUUAGGGCCUAUCAGAAUUCUGCUUUUCUACAGAAAGAGAUCUUGGAUAGUCAAAGGGUUGAUAAGAAGGUUGCUAUUGGCCUUGACUAUAGUUCUUUGGAAAGUGCUAAAAGAAAGAAGAGAAAAGAGAAUGAAGGCAUAUUUGUUUCAGCGGGAACUGAGAAUGCUCCUGAAGGAACAAAUGUACCUAAAAUUCUAAAGAACACCAAGACCCCUAUCUUUAGAAAGGCACAAACAGAACCUCUGAUAGAAGAAGACCUUGUCAUUAAGGAAGAGUUGAAAAAUGAGGAAGUUGUUAAGCCUCAAGUAAAACAGGAAACACAAGACGUACCUUCUAAUCCCCAAGUUAGAGAAGAUUCUGAUAAAACCGGAUUAGGAAGUACUAGUUCCAACAAAAAGAAGAACAACGGGAAUGGUAAGCUAGAUGCUCAGAAAACCAACUCUAGGACUCCUAGUGCUAGAAAGGUUUGUAACAACUGCAAUUCUACUAAUUAUCUUACUCAUGCAUGUAAAAUGACUAAAGUAGAUACCCAUGUCACUAGCAUGCCUAAUACUGUUAACAUGAAUGCUGUUCAUUUGCCAUGUGGUAGAGUAGGUUGCAUGCAAUGUGCUAUGAAUAUGAUGUCUGCAUGUUUUACCAUGUUAAAUGCAUCUUUUUCUGCAUCACCUACCAUGAAUAUGAAUAUGCCUGCACCUUCUGUUGCCCCUGUGGCAAAGACUGCUAGUCCUUCUAAGAAGAAGGAAACUCCCAACUCCAAGUCUAAAAGCACUUCUGCUAAGACUAAAAAGGAGAAGAGUCCAGUCACCCCUGAACAAACACAUGUUAAAACAGAUUCGUUGAUACUCCUGUUUCUACUAAACCACCUGGACCCAAGAACGUCUGGGUGCCAAAGAAAGUUUAAUUCAUUUGUGAAUGCAGGGCACGGGAAAGAAAAGCAAAGUUGUGUGGGUUCUUGAUAGUGGUUGUUCAAGACACAUGACUGGAGAAAAGUCCCUGCUCACAGAUGUGGUGAUGAGAACCGGCCCGAUUGUAAUCUCUGGAGAUGACAGCAAAGGAUUCAAAACAGGAUAUGGUAAGCUGAAAGUUGGAAAUGUCAUCAUUGAAGAUAUCUCUCUGGUAGAAGGACUCAAGCACAACUUACUAAGUAUCAGUCAGUUCUGUGACAAAGGAUACGACGUAAUCUUUCAGAAGAAAGUUUGCUUUAGCCAGAACCGGAAGAACAAGGAUAUUACACUCCGUGGUGUAAGAAAAUCAAGUUUGUUUAUAGCCGGCAUAGAUUCAGCAAGUAAGGAUCAUCAUGAUCACAGUGGUCAAAGUGGAGGAUCAUCAAAUAGAAUUAGCAUCAGUUCAGGGGAGCAAGUCACAUCAGUGGAUCUACUAGUCAUCACACUCAACACAACUAUGAUUAUGGUGAAUCAUCAAGAUUGAAUCUGCCAAGACAAAGGGUAUGGAGUAGAGCCCAUCCUAUUGAACAAAUCAUUGGUGAUCCAGAUACAGGAGUGCAGACUAGAAGAGCAACUCAAAAUGAAAGCAACUUUGCUGGUUUCUAGUCUCAGACAGAACCAAAGAAAGUUGAAGAGGCUCUAAAUGAUCCAGAUUGGGUAUCUGCAAUACAGGAAGAACUUAAUCAAUUUGAAAGGCAGAAAGUUUGGAAGCUGGUGCCAAGACCUAAAGGAAAAUCUAUAAUUGGCAGCAGAUGGGUUUUUCGAAACAAGCUGGAUGAAGAUUGUAUUAUUACUGUGAUUCCAUAUUUUAAUGUGUUUGCAUGUUUAAUUGCAUAACUAAAACUGCAUAUUUAUCUAUAUUUGCAAUUGUAACUAAUUUGAGCGCAGCUUGCAGCAAUCGGAAUUAUGGCCAAAAAACCAAGUAACAAGAAGGCGAAGAAGGUACAAGAUCCUAACUGCAGCACUGAAGCCGUCGAAGUUCUGGAGGUGGAGGUCAAGGAACCAUUGGAGGUGGAGGUCAAAGACCCCGAACCAGAAAAACAAGCAAUGGAUUGUCCGCAAGAAACUGUUACCACUACUGAAACUUAGAAAAAGUCCGGAGGUCCACGAGGUGUACGUGCUAUGCACAAAGUACUUGUGAAAAAAGCUUGUGGAAAGAAGAUAAAAGUUACGUGUGAUGCACAUGGAGUUCCUAAUGGGGAUAAUAGGUCAAAGUUGCAGUCGUACAUUGGCAUGCUUGCAAAGACUAUGGUUCCGAUAGAUAUCAACAGUUGGCCACAAGUAGAUUCAGAAUUGAAAGAGAAGAUAUGGCUGGAUAUUUAGGUCUAUUAAAAUUUUCAAUUAUAAAGUAUAAUUGAUUUACGUUUCAUAUGUUCAUUGUAUAACAUGUUUAAGUCUGAUUUGACAAGAGACUAUGUGAUGCCGUUUAAGGGACAGAAGAAAAAUCUGAAUAAGCCUCCACAAAGAUAUGCUUUUGUUUGCAAAGGUGCUUGGAAAAGAUUUGUGGCCAAAAGGACUGCUUCGGAUUGGGAGGUAAUAGUACAUUUUUAUAGUGCAUUUUUCCUUGCUUGUCAGUAAUUCAGUUCUUAGUAAUAUUGAGGAAAUUUUAAUUAUCUACUUCAUUUAUCGCAAAAAGUUCAUGAAGAUCAAAGUAAUAGAGUAGCUAAGUGUAAAUUUCCACACCCGAGCCCAUCCUAUUGAACAAAUCAUUGGUGAUCCAGAUACAGGAGUGCAGACUAGAAGAGCAACUCAAAAUGAAAGCAACUUUGCUGGUUUCUAGUCUCAGACAGAACNUUUCUAUCUUCGAUAAGUAAUGUUGUUGAUAAUUUUUAUUCAGAUUGCAAAGAAAAAACCAGUGCCUAAGUUGAAUGCAGACGACUUGCAAAAAAUGAAGAGCCUUUUUUCUAGAGCAAACCCAGGUGUGAAAGUACCAAAGCGCUUUAGGUUGUUGUAUAAACACGCAACAAGUUAUAUGCAAGCUACUGGAGCCUCGAUACAAAUCCCUUGUGAUGCUUAGGUUUUUGGACGUCCAAUAACAAUUUAUUUGUUGAAUGAGAAUGUGGUAGCUUUGCUCGAGUUUCAGAUGAUUGGUCAAGCAGUGAUAACAACCUUUAUGCUGUAAGUAAUAUAAUUUUUUUUGUUUUUCUAUUCUGCAACGAGAGGUAUAUAUUGGAUUCUAAUGCAAAUUUUAUAUCUUAGGCACUUGCAUAUUGAGUUAAGUAAUUCUAAGGAUAUAGAGAAAUUUUCAUUUUGUGAUCCGAAUCCAGCAUUGAAACUCAAUGCUGACUUUGAAGACUACAUUGUCGAACGGCCGGCUAAAGAAGAUGCGGAUCGGAUUUUCUUCCUACCGCAUAAUCACAAGUAUGUAUUUAUUGUUAUUAUUAUUUUUAAGUUCAUGGCAACAGUAAGCACUGGAUUUUGUCACAUACAACUUCUCUUUAUUAAAUAUUUUGGUGUAUAAUUUAAUGGCAACAGUAAGCACUGGAUUUUGUCUAUAAUCUGGGAAGGUCAAAUUUACAUUUUAAAUCCAAUGUCUCAUCCACUUUGCUUCCCAGCACUUGAAAGGGCAUUAACAAUGUAUUUUGAUUUUUCGGUAAAUUAUUUUAUAUAAUUUAAAUUAUGUAGAUUGUUUCUCAAGUUUGACAUGGAUUAAUUCUUUACAGUGCCGUAAGUUCUUUUAACAUGAAAAUCGGUAAAAGCGGCUAUGUGCCCAAAGUAAAUAAUCUUACGGUAAUUUUUAAUUUUCUGCAAGUCGUCCUCAUGCUUCUAGUUAUCCUGCAGAAUUUGUACAUCAUCUGAACUAAUAUUUUAUUCAAAAUGAUGAUAGGGAUCUCCAAAACAGCCUGGGGGCCUUGAAUGUGGCUAUGUUGUGAUGCGGUAUAUGAAUGACAUUACUGAAGAUGAGGGUCUUUCUUUUGUUGAUAAGGUAAUAAUUUGUUUCUUUUUGUAACUGGGGACUGUGGUCAGAAAUUACUGAGUGAAGGCCAUAUAUUUUGAAAUGGUUGUGACUGGAAUGUAACCUUCUGUUGUUAUUUGCACUGGUCAGAGAGGAGUCAUGUAUCUUACGAUGAGGAAGAGCUCGAGGAGGUUCGGUGCGAGGUCCUGGAAUUUAUUCAAUCUCAUGUUUAAUAUAUGGUUGGGGUAUACUUUGCUAGUUAGUAAUCAGAAAUCUUAUCAAGUGUAUAUUCUAGAAUUUGGCUAAAUUAAGUACAGUUAUGCUUGGUGUUGGUGAAUGCAUUAGGAUUGGUGGAGUUAUGGCGAAGUUUAUGGUUUAUAGAUGGUGGUGAAUGUAGGCAUGAUCUAGUAAUGGUAAUUUUUGUUGGAGUUUGGUGAAUAUGGUAGUUUUUGUUGGAGUUUGGUGAAUUAUGGUAGUUUUUGUUGGAGUUUUGGAGAAUUAUGGUACUUUUUGUUGUUGGAGUUAUGGUAAAUGUUUAUUUUGGUAAUGGAAAUUUGGAUUGGUGGUAUUUGUAAUUGGAUGUGUGCAAUUUGGCUGGGUUUUUAAUUCCAAUUUUUUUCAUUCUUAUAUACAGACAUGACAUCAUUUUUUUUUACUGAAACUGAUGUAUAUUGGUUCUUAAAGACAAUGGUAAAACCGAUGUAUAUUGGUGCUUAAAGACAAUGGUAAAAUUUUAAAACAGUGAUGUGAAAAGGGGCUAACGACAACACAUUUCCAACUUAACACCGAUGUCUACAAAUACAUAAACAUCUCUUCACCUUAAAGUACCCAAUGUCUAAAGCUUGCCUAGACAAUGUUAUAAAAUACAAAACCUGAUGUCUAUCUCAUAUUUUCACUUCAAUAUUAUNUAAAAGCGGCUAUGUGCCCAAAGUAAAUAAUCUUACGGUAAUUUUUAAUUUUCUGCAAGUCGUUUUCAUGCUUCUAGUUAUCCUGCAGAAUUUGUACAUCAUCUGGACUAAUACUAGCAGUUUUAAAAGUUUGAUCAUGCAUAAUUUGCUCAAAAGAUCCAAUAAACAUCGGUUUAAUAAAUUAAAAUGAUGUGAUAACAAACAUAGACAUCAACGUUAUACUUAAACACUGAUGUCUAGCUAUGUCAUAUAUUCACUUCAACCUCACAAGUUUUUUCAAGUCAAGAACACAUUAUUACAUAGACUUUUCAAAAGUGUGAUCAUGCAUAUUUUGCUCAAAAGAGGCUAAUAGACAACGGCCAUAAAUCGAUUUCUUUUGUUUUUCACAUAGACAUCACCGACAGCAACAUCGGUUGCUAUGUUCAAUAGAUAACGGCCAUAAAUCGAUGUAUAUUGACAAAUUUCUAGUAGUGUAUAUAGUUUAUUUGUAUAAGAUUUGAACAUCAAGAAGUUAUUAAUAUAGAUAUAUAAGUAUACUACACAUUUGGAUCUCAAUAUAUGGAAAUUUCAGCAUAAAUUAUACCUAUUCAAAUAUUUUGUUUGAAUAAAAUAUAUAAAGCAUAAAAAUUGUAAAAUAUAAACAUGCAACAGACAAUAAAUAGCAAAAUAAUAGAAUGAAGAAAAAUUGUUGCUCACUCGAGAGGACUCGAUCAAGAGAUCAAACAAGGAGUCAGGAGAUAUUGCCAGUCAAAUUUUAAAGCACUGAGUGGACGAGGCUAUCAGAACGGGACAGAUGACAAUGCAUGAACCUAGGGUGCAUGACGUGAUAGGAGUUCUGUAAGGUGUUUCAACUGCAAUUUGUUGGGGCACUAUGAUGCAGAAUGCGAGAGGCGGCGACCGGAUAGAAAUUUUAAACGAGAGGCAAACUUGGCACAUAUUAAGAGGAUUAAAAAUUUUCGUACUGACAGAGGUGUUGAGUUUUGUUCCUCACAAUUCACAACGUUUUGUGAGGAUAGUGGGAUUGUUAGGCACUACCCCGAUCCCUACCACCCUCAACAAAAUGGCAUGGUGGAGCGGAAAAAUAGAACAAUUGUGGUGAUGGCGAGGAGUUUCCUGAAGGCCAAGGAGGUUCCACCUGAAUUUUGGGGUGAAGCAGUGAGUCCGUGUACGUACUUAACAGGCUACCCACACGAGCUCCUUCAAGCUAUACACUGUAUGAAGCUUGGUUUGGAUUAAAACCCGGUAUGAGCCACAUCAGGAUUUUUGGGUGGUGUGUAUUCACUACUACAAAUAAUGCAUUAGACACCGGUCAAACGCCGAUGUCUUUUAAAAAGCCGACCGAUGUCUUCGCGUGCGAUGUUAUAUGUAUGGUAUAUAGACAUCAGUCCUAACCCGAUGUAAAUAUCAUGUUCAGACAUCAGUUUUCUAAAAAAAUUUGAUGUCUUUUGCUGAAAUAUUACCAAUAUAUUGCUUGAUUACAACAUGAAUAAUGAUUUAUUACAAGAUUUGGCACCCUUUGAACACAUACAUCAGAGGGCAAUAUAAACCAUAUGCAUCGUUUUUUUAAAAAAAUUGAUGUAAAAACUAGAUUAGACAUCAUAAGGAAAACAGGACCGAUGUCAAUGAUGUUUUUAACAUCGAUUCUUGUUUAAGGAAUGAUGUAAAUCCUCUAUUCAACAUCGCCCUUUGUAUAUUAGACGAUGUUAACGACUGUUUUAACAUCGAUUCUUAUUUAAGGACUGAUGUAGAUCAGGUAUUCAACACCGCACUUUGUAUACUAUACGAUGUUAAUGGUGUAUUCAAUUUCGCUUUUUGUAUAUUAACCGGUGUAAAAGUACUUUUUAACACCGUUUUUAGUAUAAAAAUGGAUGUAAAAUGGCAUCUUUAGUACUAGAAAAUAGAGUUUUAACACCGUCAUUAAGUUAAGGAGCUGAUGUAAAAGAAUUUUCUAACAUCGGUUUGUUACAACUCUUUGAUAUUAAAGGUUUAUAAGACAUCGUCUUAAAGAUUAAAACUGAUUUAAUAAAGUUUUCAGACAUCGAUUUUUUUAAUUUUUUUAAUAUUAAACAUUUUUUUAACAUCGGUUUGUAACAUACACAUAAUGUCUUUAGUUUAAAAAACAUCGGUUUAAUUUGAUAUUGUAAUGUAAGUGUUCGUUUCAACAUCAGAUACAAGGAAAAAUGUGAUGUCUAUAAACUCAUUUGACAUCGGUUAUAUGUGAACUUACUGAUGUAAUUGUCAUAUACAUUUUUGAAACAAAAAUUAUACCAUGCAUAUAUGCAGCUUCUACACUCUUGCCAAAAACUAAAAGCACACUCUUGCCAAAAACUAAAAGCACACUCUUGCCAAAACUGAAAGCACAAUCUUCUUGCCAAUACCACAACAAACAAAACUAACCAGAAGAACAAUAAAUCUAAAAUUGCAGACACAAAAAAUAUAACCAAUGUACGUACUGAAAUUCACUUUCAUUGCCAAUUACUAACUUCCCAACCAACAAGUAAAAUUCAGCAGUACGUACGCAUCCAAAAUAUAUACCAACUCGAUCCCCAACCAACAACGUUAAAGCAAUUCCCGAACUACAAAGUGCUAGAGCUGACAUGCAACAUCCACAUAACAGCUCCUAUAUAUACCAGUUUAAUUAAUUACCAUUCAACAAAAGAAAUUCAAACUACAUCUUGUCCUCAAUAAAUUCGAGAGCCUCCAUACGGACCUCAUCCAGCUCCUCCUCUGUGUAACAGUUUCGAGACCUGACUGCCCACUGAAAAGAAAUAAUAUAAUUUUAAUUAGAAGUUUAAUAAUAUAUUUUCAUUUUAAAUAAAUCAACCUGCAUGCAAGGCUAUUAAAAUAAAUAUGCACCUUGGUCAUGAAAGACAUUUCUUUGUCCAUAACAAUGUCUCUCAUAUAUCUAAGGACCGUAUACCCACAUUCAGUUCCCCCUGGUUGCUUAGGCGAUCCCUUAAUUUGAGCAAUCGUAGUGAUACAAAUAUAUUAAUAAGGUCAUCCAUAGAAAUUAAAAUAAAGAAAAUGAAAUAUUAUAAUGCAGAUGCAUGACUUACCAUAAGAUAGACUACUUUGGGAGUUCUCUUUGCCCUUCCACUUUGAGCAUGGUAACUUGCCAAUGCACUACAAAAAGAUAUCAUGCACUGUAUGAGUAUCCACUUUGAGCAUGAUAACUUGCCAAUACAUAUUGAAUUGCUCAACUAGCAAGCAGAAAAAUCUAAAAUUACUCUAUUAGUCCUCGUUCCAAAUCUGGAAAACGGGUGUUGUGUGGCAAAGGAUUCAGAAUAUAGAGAUCGCCAUCCCAAAUUACAACCAAAAUCCAAUGGGCCCUGUUUUUAUUAUAAAAUACAAACUAAGUCAGAAUUUAAAUAUUUAGACUAAAAAUUAAAAUAUAACAACAACAAAUAUACGUACAUUUGAUUAUGUGGCAUGAGAUAUAGUCGAUAAUAAUUAUCCAUCAACCGUUUGACCACAGCAUUUUGAAAUUCUUUAUUGAGGGUAUAUGUGGAUGCAGGAUCCAAAAAGCCAAACAAGAGCGCGUCAUCCUUCUUCCGGUCCUUAUAACAUAAAUGAUGCAAGUACCUACAUCAUAUCGAAAAUGAAAAUAAUUCAGAUUGGACAAUAUGGUUGUCGAAUAUGCAAAGUGCAAAGAAUAAACAAAUAUGAAAAAAUUACUUACGCCAUAUAUGCACCAACCACAGAUUGUCCGAUCAUGUCAAACUCCAACAACGAGAUCAAAUUCUCUUGCAAAACAAAUAUUGUUUUCACAGCUCCAAAUACAUCAGCGUCACAUGGAAUUUGUACAGAAGCCCCGGUCGCUUUCAUAAAUGUGGACGCAUGUUUGUACAGAACUUUAUAUUUGCUCGGCACUUUUUUUCUUAACUUCACUUUAUGAAAUGAUUGUUGUAGUUUCUUCAGCUCACUAUCAAGUGUCUUUGGUUUUCCCUCUUCAUUUUUCUUUUUCUACAAAUAAUUAAGUAAUUAAUAUGCAAAAAUCAGCAAGGACACAUUUCAUAGGACACAAAAAUGAGUAAUUAAGUAGCUAUGCAUACCUUCGGAGAGGCUCUUCCAAAGAUAAUCAACUCCUCAGGCCAAGCAAGUUGAGAUCCAACCGCUUCACAAACUUUCUCUAUUUCACCUAUUUAUGAAGAUACCAAGUAUUCAAAAGAGAAAAUUGGAUGAUCGUGGUAAAUAUGUAGUGUACUUUGGAAGAGAGCCUGGUACAAAAGCCCAUCGAUUGUAUGACCCUGAAGAGAAAAAGAUUUUGGUCAGCAGAGACAUGGUAUUUGUGGAAGCAAAGACAUGGGGCUGGAAUGGUGUGACCGAGAAAGAAGAAGACACAAUUGAAAGAACUCAUACUCAUUUCAACUCCUAUUCAGUCACCGGUAUCAUCUCAGUCAAGUGAAGACAAUAUUGAAGAGUCGGACAAGAGCAGUACUCCAAAACAUCUCAGGUCAAUGAAUGAUAUUUGUGAUAAUACAAAGAAAAUAGAGGUUGAAGAGGAAUUAUUAUUUCUGGGUGUGGAGGAGCCAGAUACAUAUAACCUGGCAUCUAAAGAGAGUCCUUGGAAGGAUGCAAUGAAAAUUGAGAUGGAAAAUAUUGAAAGAAACAACACCUGAAAGCUUGAAGUAGGUAUAUAAAUUGAAGAAGAAUACUGAAGGAGAAGUUGUGAAACAUAAGGGGAGACUGGUUGCGAAAGGGUAUGUUCAAAAACAAGGUAUAGAUUUUGAUGAGGUUUGUGCACCAGUUACACGGAUCGAAACAGUGAGACUAUUACUGGCUUUCGAAGCAAAAAAUAGCUGGGAGGUCGAUCACUUUGAUGUGAAAUCAGCUUUCUUGAUUGGUGAUCUUCAGGAAGAUGUAUACGUAACGCAACCAGAAGGAUUUGUCAAACAUGGAAAGGAGCAUCUAGUGUACAAGAUGAUAAAGGUGUUGUAUGGACUUUGUCAGGCACCACAAGCCUGGUAUGCAAAAUUAAGCAAGUGUUUAGAAAUCCUGGGUUUCACACAAUGUCCAUACAAGCAUGCACUAUAUACAAAACGUGAAGGGAGCCACAAUUUGAUAAUUGGAGUAUAUGUAGUUGAUUUGUUAGUCACGGGAACAAGCAUAUCACUUAUCAAAAGGUUCAAGGAGGAAAUGAGGAAGAAAUCUGAUAUGAUUGAUUUGGGAAAAUUGUCUCACUAUCUGGGCAUAGAGGUCAUUCAGCAGGGAGAGUAUAUACUGUUGAAGCAGAUGUCUUAUGCAAGGAAGAUACUGGAAAGAUGGGGUACGACAAUAUGUAAGCCUACACAAGGAUGAGAACGGGAAAGCUGUGGAUUAAACUGAAUAUGAGAGUGCAGGACUCAAUUAUAUGGUUCAUACUCGACCAGAUAUAGCAUAUGCUGUUGGAAUUAUUAGCCGUUAUAUGUAAAGACCUACUGUUAUGCAUUGGAACACUGUGAAACGUAUAAUGCGCUAUUUGAAAGGCACAUUGAGUUAUGGGUUGUUGUAUUCCGCUCGAAGCAAUAAAAUAUGUUAUCAGGUUAUUCCGAUAGUGAUUUAGCAGGAGAAGUUGAUGACAGUAAAAGUACAAGAGGGAUGGUGUUUUAUCUAAAUGAAAACUUACCUGCAGGAUAUCUCAUAAACAGCGUUGUGUGGCUUUAUCAUCUUGUGAAGCUGAGUUCAUUGCAGCUACAGCAGCUGCAUGUCAAGGUAUAUGGUUACGCAAGAUAAAAAGAUUGGUCGAGUGUUAAGGAGAAAGGAGAACGUUCUAGAGAAUUGCUAACCAAAUCGUCCGUCCCGGAACACGGUUCCAUUCCAUACCAAGUCGAUGUGAUUCGCAUUCAGUUUGUCGAUUCCUGCGAUUCACUGAAAUUCCGACUACUUAGUCUUUUAAAAAGACAAAAUAAAGAAACAAGAAGAAGAGGUAAAUAGAAGGCUUAAAUAUUUAUUGAGAAAAGUAAAAACAUUAGAAAAAAGAUGGAGAAGAGGAGAAGACGAUGCCUCCAUUGUCGUAAAAGGAGUAAUUGAUUUUGCUUCAUGCAGUUCAGCGAUAUUCCUUUACUAGUUUAAUGGCCUUUCUUGAUUUAUGUGCAACACUGAAUGCCUAGUUUUGUUGGAGCCUACACCUCAUCAACAAUGACCAGAAUCUGUUUACAUUUUUAUUUUUGUGAAAUAUAUGUAGCCCGUUCAUAUUUUUACACGCAAACCAACAUAAGGUGUUUAAAUAACAUCUUAAUAUAUUAUUCCGUCCGUCCAAAAAUACAAUUCUCUUUUGAAAAAUUUAUGCAUAUUAAAGAAACAUUAAUUAGAUAAUAUUUUCUCACAUGUACCCCUAAAAAAUGCAUAAUUGUGACUUUUAUUUAACCGUCAUUAAUUAUUGUACAACUUUCAAGAAGUGUAAUUUUGGAAUAAUGUCAAUAUAUUUGCAUUGGAAACUACAAGUGGACAAGUAUUAUUGGAAAAAAAUUUCUUCCCUCUCAAUUCUUUACACUUUUUUUAUAUUAUAGCACGUGAAAAAUGAAAAUUACAAGUACUAGAUAUCAAAGCAUGAUUUAUAUAUAUAUAUUUACUACUCUCUCUUCCCUCUCAAUUCUUUACACUUUUUUAUAUUGUUCAACACGUAUUUCAAGACGCAUAUAAAACAUAGUUUCAUAACUUUUUUUAUAAAAAAUUCUUUUUGUAAUAAAAUUUAUAUAAUAAAUAUUUAUCAAACUAUAUUUUAUGAGAGCAGUAGAAUGCGUGCCUAGCCACGUCCCCAAUGUAAACAUUUGAGGUGAUGGAAUGAGUAGGCAAUCCAAAGAAAUUUUAGAAGGAAAAAAAAUUAAAGGCUAUGCUAAUAGAUAUCCUGUAAUUUUACUUUGAGGGUAACAAUAUAGAAAACGAUAAGAAUUAAGAGAAUGCUUCAAGGAGGCUUUUUAGUGACAAGUAUGUGAGUGAAAUUAGGGAUAGUGUGUAAUAUUAGAUGAUAAUAAAAUAUAUAUAUGUGGGCCAACAUCGGUUGUGAUUAAAAUAAAAAACAUAAUAAAAAUGUGCAUGCUUCAUAAAUCUAAGUGAAAUGAAACUCAUAACUAAGCUUCAAGAGGGUUUUGUUCUCCAAUAUAGUUCAACUUUUCGUAUUCAUUAAUAUUGUAGUACUUAAUGUUGUUUGGUUGGAGAGUGGUAUGGGAUUGGAAUCAGAAAUAGCACAAUAGUGGUAUGGGGUUGAGUUAUAAUUUUUGAUAUCAUGUAUUUUGUUGGGUGGUGGAAUAAAUGUGGUUGAAUUAAUUAUUUACAAAUUUAAACAGAAACAUAAAAGAUAAAUCACAAGCCAUAUAUAAACAAAGAAAAAUAAACUGGUACAUGAAAGGUAGCCAUGAGUCUUGUGUUUCAUAUAUAUUACUCAGUUUUACAACUAGAGCUAAAAAUCUAGUGUAUGGAAUAAUUACACCCUUGAUUGCUGACCAUUCUUUAAUACAAAUAAGCUAAGAGCACANNNNNNNNNNNNNNNNNNNNNNNNNNNNNNNNNNNNNNNNNNNNNNNNNNNNNNNNNCGUAUUUCAAGACGCAUAUANNNNNNNNNNNNNNNNNNNNNNNNNNNNNNNUCCAAAGAAAUUUUAAAACGAUCUAGCGCCCUAUUAAAAUCACCCAGUCAAUGUAAACGUUUGAGGUGAUGGAAUGAGUAGGCAAUCCAAAGAAAUUUAAAACGAUCUAGCGCCCUAUUAAAAUCACCCAGUCCAUUCAAAAUCAGUCAGUGCCCUAUUAAAAUCUAGCGCCAUAUAUUUUAAUCACCUCUGAUAUUGAUAUAUAAAAAAUUGAAAAUCAUUACCUCCCUAGUAGAUUGCUAUGGUUUAAGACAACCGUGCAUCCUAUAUCCCCGUUCUUUUGGCCACUAAGCACCGUGUUUUCUUCUAAACAGAACAAAAUGAAAAGAAAACAUACAGUUUAUCCCGAGCCAUGAAGGAGAACAGAUACAAAGUACAAACCCUGUGUUCCUGUAUAAGACUACUAGGAUAGGCUGGCCAUUGUAUCUUGACACAUUCUUCUAUGUAUCCCGAUUCUCAUUUUUGAUAUCUAUUGGACAAAUUAACCAAACUAAUUUUUCAAAAAGAAAAAUAUAAAAUUUUUUCACAUCAUCUUUUAUAUUUUGGUAUAUGAGAUCAAGUAGACAUUAUCAAACAUUAUAAUAGGGCAUGUAUCUCUCCUUAUAUGGAGCACAGUAUAUCUAGAUUUUUCAUUAUUUAUUUAUUUCUCUAAAAAAAUAUAUUUUCUUAAAAAAGUAUCCAAGACUGUUUAAGAUUCUCUACAUAUAUCUUGUUUAUAUUCAAAGGGUGUAAUCCAUUGGGAUUCUUUUGUGUUUUUAUUUUUUUUUGAAAUUCAUAUAUAUAUUCAGUUCGGAUUUUAAAAACACAUUGGAAUUUUGAGAUAUUCAACAAAUAUUUUAAAUUAUCAUGAUAAAAUCGUGUAGUAUUCAAUUAGUAUUUAAAAAUCUACUUAAAAACGAGAUGACAUUCAAUUGAGAUUAUUAAGAAAAUCUAUUAAUAUUUAUGACAUAUUGAGAUUAUUUAAUAUCCAUUAAAAUCUGACAAUAUAUUAAUUGAGAUUAUUGAGAAUUUAUUAAAUUAUGAUAAUAUUUAAAUAUUAAUAGACUUUUUUAUAUUUUUUAAAAAAUGGUGAUUUUGGAUUUUUUUGGGACUUUAUAAUGAUUUUUGUGAUAUUGUUGGUUUUAUUUUAUGUUUUCAUAAAACUCACCAGAAUUGACCAGAUUGUUUGCUUACAUCCAAAGAGUUUACAUAUAAUUUAUUCCACAUGCCCAAAACAGCGCAUAAAAUCAAGAUAGUUAUAAUUUUCUAAUUUAUAUAGAAAUUCAUUAAAANNNNNNNNNNNNNNNNNNNNNNNNNNNNNNNNNNNNNNNNNNNNNNNNNNNNNNNNNNNNNNNNNNNNNNNNNNNNNNNNNNNNNNNNNNNNNNNNNNNNNNNNNNNNNNNNNNNNNNNNNNNNNNNNNNNNNNNNNNNNNNNNNNNNNNNNNNNNNNNNNNNNNNNNNNNNNNNNNNNNNNNNNNNNNNNNNNNNNNNNNNNNNNNNNNNNNNNNNNNNNNNNNNNNNNNNNNNNNNNNNNNNNNNNNNNNNNNNNNNNNNNNNNNNNNNNNNNNNNNNNNNNNNNNNNNNNNNNNNNNNNNNNNNNNNNNNNNNNNNNNNNNNNNNNNNNNNNNNNNNNNNNNNNNNNNNNNNNNNNNNNNNNNNNNNNNNNNNNNNNNNNNNNNNNNNNNNNNNNNNNNNNNNNNNNNNNNNNNNNNNNNNNNNNNNNNNNNNNNNNNNNNNNNNNNNNNNNNNNNNNNNNNNNNNNNNNNNNNNNNNNNNNNNNNNNNNNNNNNNNNNNNNNNNNNNNNNNNNNNNNNNNNNNNNNNNNNNNNNNNNNNNNNNNNNNNNNNNNNNNNNNNNNNNNNNNNNNNNNNNNNNNNNNNNNNNNNNNNNNNNNNNNNNNNNNNNNNNNNNNNNNNNNNNNNNNNNNNNNNNNNNNNNNNNNNNNNNNNNNNNNNNNNNNNNNNNNNNNNNNNNNNNNNNNNNNNNNNNNNNNNNNNNNNNNNNNNNNNNNNNNNNNNNNNNNNNNNNNNNNNNNNNNNNNNNNNNNNNNNNNNNNNNNNNNNNNNNNNNNNNNNNNNNNNNNNNNNNNNNNNNNNNNNNNNNNNNNNNNNNNNNNNNNNNNNNNNNNNNNNNNNNNNNNNNNNNNNNNNNNNNNNNNNNNNNNNNNNNNNNNNNNNNNUAUAUAUAUAUAUAUAUAUAUAUAUAUAUAUAUAUAUAUAUAUAUAUAUAUGGGAUGGUUCAACGAGGAACCAGUAUAAUUGAGUAACCUGGUAACUAUGCAUAUCAGCCGCAGGAUUGUAUCCAGAAUAAGUUACUGUGCACUGUAACCUAUUAUAUAUAACUGUCAAUGUGUGUGAAACACGCGGCCCACCCAUCAAUCCCUUUUGUUUUUGUUUGAAUUUUUUAUAUUCUCUAUUUCAUUAUAUUUUAUUUUUCUUAUUAUAUUUUAUGUUUCAUAUUUUUUAUUAUCUUCUUUGUUCCUUAAAAAGUAUUAACACAAAAAUUUUAUAACAUAUAUAUCAAAGAUAAAUUAAAAAAAAUACUUUUGUGUUGUGUAAUUCUUUAUUAUAUUUUAAAAUAUAAAUUUUAAAAUUCAUUUGUAUUUUCUCGAAUUUACAGAACAUAAAAAUAUUAUAUGAUAGAUUAUAAUUUGUUUUCAAAAUACAGAACAUAUAAUGUUCGGUAAAAAUUUAUUAAAAAAAUUUCAAGAACACAGAACAUGAAAAGUAUAAAAGUUGAAAGAAUAAUGAAAAUACAGGAUACAAGAAAUAUAUUAAAUUGUUAAUACAGUAGUAGGUCUGAAUAUACUUAUUUGGUGUGUUUUUGAAGAACUUAGGAUACAUGUCACUAAAAUAUAUCAAAAUUUGUACUAAAAUGUAUAAAAUAUAAUAUAAUAAAAUACAGGACAUUGUUUUUGUUAUUUUUAUUCUUAUUUUGUUAUAUGAAAGAAUUUGUGUUCUGUAUUUUAUAUAAUUUUAACAAUAUCAAUUAAAAAUUAUAAUUUACAAUAUAGAAAUAAAUAUGUACUUUAUUUAAACUACUUACUAACAUAUUUUAUAUAACAAAAUAUAAAACAUAAAAAAAUAUUAUAAAUCAAGAAACAAUCAUGUCAUGGAAAUGGAAAUAUAGAGUAUAAAAAAUACAGGACAUGAUAUGUAUUUUUUAUUCUUCUUUUUAUGAGUACGUGUCUAGGGAACUUAUGGUACGUGUUUACUGAACAUGAUUAGGUUUAAAGACAAGCCUGUGUGUUCCUGUUUUCACGCCGCCUGUUUUUUAACUCAAGCGUCUUCCUAUUUUCACGCCGUGUAUCUUUUUAAGUGUUAUAGGAGUUCCCAGGUUAUUAUAUUAGUAGUUCAUAUAUAUAGAGUGGAGUUCUGCGGGGAUUAAAUCCUUUGGAGAUUUGGAGACCUAUCUUAGAGCCAUUGGAUGGAAACAAAAUCCAACGGUUCACUACUUUAAUCAUUAUUGGACAUUUUUUACAAACAAAAAAGGAAAAUAGAUAAUGGGUCUAUGCAGUUCCGUAUCUCCGAGUUGAGAGGUUAUCAAAAUCCCGCAAACAAUUCUCUGAAGCAAAUCCGUCGUUACGGAGCAAUCGCAGCACAAAAUCCGGCUUCCACCUUUCUUCUUCAAAGCACUUUCUUUGUCCUUCACUUCACAUUAACUUGUUCUGUGCGAACUAGUGCGGGACAUAUGACGACCGAGUCGAAAUACAGUACCAAGCUUUUGGGUUCUCGUAUAUUACCUUGAUUUUUUGUUCUGCAUCCUUCUGUGUGAUACCCAUUGUUUANNNNNNNNNNNNNNNNNNNNNNNNNNNNNNNNNNNNNNNNNNNNNNNNNNNNNNNNNNNNNNNNNNNNNNNNNNNNNNNNNNNNNNNNNNNNNNNNNNNNNNNNNNNNNNNNNNNNNNNNNNNNNNNNNNNNNNNNNNNNNNNNNNNNNNNNNNNNNNNNNNNNNNNNNNNNNNNNNNNNNNNNNNNNNNNNNNNNNNNNNNNNNNNNNNNNNNNNNNNNNNNNNNNNNNNNNNNNNNNNNNNNNNNNNNNNNNNNNNNNNNNNNNNNNNNNNNNNNNNNNNNNNNNNNNNNNNNNNNNNNNNNNNNNNNNNNNNNNNNNNNNNNNNNNNNNNNNNNNNNNNNNNNCUACUAAUAUAUAUAUAUAUAUAUAUAUAUAUAUAUAUAUAUUACAAAACUAAGCUAUGAUUUAUUUGUGUGUAGUAGUGUGCAAGGCACAAAGCCAUUCCACCAUAAAGGUGGUGGAGAGUGUUACAAAUGAUAACAAAAUCCAUGGGUAUUUAUAGACUUUUUCAUAAACUAACCAUGGUUAACGAGUUCGUCCUGGACGACUUGAGUUCGUCCUGGACGGAUUCAGAUAUCCAAAAUAAAUCUAACUCCUAUGAACACAAGAGAUUGGCGCCACUUUCAUAUACAUAUAUGUAUAAAUAUAUGUAUAGCUAAGUUGCGCUCUAUAUAUACUUAUAUGUAUAUUCCAGUGACUUCACUUGUGAGAGUCAAACUUGGCGCCCACCAGGUCAAGGUUUGCGCUAGUAACUCCUCCUGUAGCAAGACUUGAACAAUUUCCAGAAUACACAACCUUGCGCUACAGAGUGGAUGACAUGGAGUCGCAACAUUUGACUUGGUCAAAUGUUGCGCUCCAAGUGGAGUUGCUUAACUGUUGUACUCUCAGCUUAACUUAGAAAUAAUUGAAGUUUCUUGAACUUGCUUCGUGCUCUACAGUGUGCACUGUUAUCUCUCCUUAGACUGGAGAGUUGACUUGAGAUCGCACCUUGACUUAGUCAAAGGUUGCGCCUCCUUCCAUUGUAGAGUGAUAAAUCACUUAGAAACAUUUCCAAAAGUUAAACUUGCGCCAAGAGUUAUAUAUACAUAUAUAUACAUAUAUACAUAUAAUAAAACACUCUAUGGUCUCUCAAGUUCUUCUUUAUUCUUCAAGCUUUUAAGUCUAUAGAAAUACUGAUUAUUGUCAUGUUUUGAUUUAUUACCAUGAUAUUUUUAUCAUCUAAUUUCAACAUGUUGGGGUUGAUUUUAAGAGUUUAUUCCGUUUUGGGCCCAUGCUUUUGCCAAAAUCACUUUAUUACCUAUACGGGGUAGUUUGGGCAAUAUUAAAAAAUUAAUUAUAGAUGGAGCUUUAUUUAAUUUUUUUGACCCUCUACACAAUAUUUUUUGAAAAUUCUUAAAAAACGAAAGUCGUAUAGAACGAAAAGAUCCUUUUAAAACAAAUAAAAUUUAAAAUAUUGAAAUUUUUUUUGUAAUUUUUUAAUAGAUUAUAAAAAUUAGAGAUCUUGUAAAAAUUCGUAAUAAAUUCAAUUAAUUUCAGAUUUCGAUUUUUUGAUAAUUCAGAAAAACUUUCAAUUACUUACAACUUUCGUUCAUGAUGUCUCCUCAUAUUAUGUCUCGAAAUAUAUUUGAAAUAAUAAAAUGUAUUUAGAACUCAUGUUUUUAGGUAAUAAAGUGAUUUUGGCCAAAAUGAGUGGGGUGCAAAAUAGAAUAAACUCUGAUUUUAAUGAAUUUCUAUAUAAAUUAGAAUAUUAUAACUAUCUUGAUUUUAUGCGCUGUUUUGGGCAUGUGGAAUAAAUUAUAUGUAAACUCUUUGGAUGUAAGCAAACAAUCUGGUCAAUUCUGGUGAGUUUUAUGGAAACAUAAAAUAAAACCAACAAUAUCACAAAAAUCAUUUUAAAGUCCCUAAAAAAUCAAAUAUCACCAUUUUAUAAAAAAUAUAAAAAGUCUAUUAAUAUUUAAAUAUUAUCAUAAUUUAAUAAAUUCUCAAUAAUCUCAAUUAAUAUAUUGUCAGAUUUUAAUGGAUAUUAAAUAAUCUCAAUAUGUCAUAAAUAUUAAUAGAUUUUCUAAAUAAUCUCAAUUGAAUGUCAUCUCGUUUUUAAGUUGAUUUUUAAAUACUAAUUGAACACCACACGAUUUUAUUAUGAUAAUUUAAAAUCUUUGUUGAAUAUCUUAAAAUUCCAAUGUGUUUUUAAAAUCCGAACUGAAUAUACAUGAAUUUCAAAAAAUAUAAAAACACAAAAGAAUCCCAAUGUAUUACACCCUUUGAAUAUAAACAAGAAAUAUAUAGAGAAUCUUAAGAAGUCUUGGAUACUUUUUUAAGAAAAUAUAUUUUCAUAGAGAAAUAAAUAAAUAAUGAAAAAUCUAGAUAUAAUGUGCUCCAUAUAAGGAGAGAUACAUGCCCUAUUAUAAUGUGUGAUAAUAUCUACUUGAUCUCAUAUACCAAAAUCUAAAAGAUGAUGUUAAAAAAUUUUAUAUUUUUCUUUUUGAAAAAUUAGUAUUAGUUUGGUUAAUUUGUCCGAUAGAUAUUAAAAAUGAGAAUCGGGAUACAUAGAAGAAUGUGCCAAGAUACAAUGGCCAGCCUAUCCUAGUAGUCUUUAUACAGGAACACAGGGUUUGUACUUUGUAUUUGUUCUCCAUCAUGGCUCGGAUAAACUGUAUGUUUUCUUUUCAUUUUGUUCUGUUUAGAAGAAAACACGGUGCUUAGUGGCCAAAAGAACGGGGAGAUGGUAUCUAUUUCAUUCAUAUAGGAUGCAGGCUUGUCUUAAACCAUAGCAAUAUAUUAGGGAGGUAAUGAUUUUCAAUUUUUUAUAUAUCAAUAUCAAAGGUGAUUAAAAUAUAUGGCAUUAGAUUUUAAUAGGGCACUGACUGAUUUUGAAUGGAUUGGGUGAUAGUUUUAGAUCAGUAUCCUAAAAGUAUGAGUUUUUGAAGAAUUAUUGUAGUUUGAUCAUUGAUGUAUAAUGAAAUGACGACAAGCUCACCCUGCCUCUUGGUCUUGGUUGUUAUUUCAUGAAUUCUUUCCUUUGAUGUGAUACUGUGCUCUUAGUUUAUUUGUAUUAAAGAAUGGUCAGCAAUCAAGGGUGUAAUUAUUCCAUACACUAGAUUUUUAGCUCUAGUUGUAAAAUUGAGUAAUAUAUAUGAAACACAAGACUCAUCGCUACCUUUCUUGUACUAGUUUAGUUUUUUUUGUUUAUAUAUGGCUUGUGAUUUAUCUUUUAUAUUUCUGUUUAAAUUUGUAAAUAAUUAAUUCAACCAUAUUCAUUCCACCUCCCAACAAAAUACAUGAUAUCAGAAAUUAUAACUCAACCCCAUACCACUAUUGUGCUAUUUCUGAUUCCAACCCCAUACCUUUCUCCAACCAAACAGCAUUAAGUACUACAAUAUUAAUGAAUAUGAAUAGUUGAACUAUAUUGGAGAACAAAACCCUCUUGAAGCUUAGUUAUGAGUUACAUUUCAAUUAGAUUUAUGAAGCAUGCACAUUUUUAUUAUGUUUUUUAUUUUAAUCACAACCGAUGUUGGCCCACAUAUAUAAAUAUUUUAUUAUCAUCUAAUAUUACACACUAUCCCUAAUUUCACUCACAUACUUGUCACUGAAAAGCCUCCUUGAAGCAUUCUCUUAAUUUUUAUCGUUUUCUAUCUUGUUACCCUCAAAAUAAAAUUACAGGAUAUCUAUUAGCAUAGCCUUUAAUUUUUUUUCCCUUCUAAAAUUUCUUUGGAUUGCCUACUCAUUCCAUCACCUAAAAUGUUUACAUUGGGGACGUGGCUAGGCACGCAUUCUACUGCUCUCAUAAAAUAUAGUUUGAUAAAUAUUUAUUUUAUAAAUUUUAUUACAAAAAGAAUUUUUUUUAAAAAAAGUUAUGAAACUAUGUUUUAUAUGCGUCUUGAAAUACGUGUUGAGCAAUAUAAAAAAGUGUAAAGAAUUGAGAGGGAAGAGAGAGUAGUAAAUAUAUAUAUAAAUCAUGCUUUGAUAUCUAGUACUUGUUUUUCAUUUUUCACGUGCUAUAAUAUAAAAAAAGUGUAAAGAAUUGAGAGGGAAGAAAUUUUUUUCCGAUAAUACUUGUCCACUUGUAGUUUCCAAUGCAAAUAUAUUGACAUUAUUCCAAAAUUACCCUUCUUGAAGUUGUACAAUAAUCAAUGACGGUUAAAUAAGAGUCACAAUUACGCAUUUAUUAGGGGUACAUGUGAGAAAAUAUUAUCUAAUUAAUGUAUCUUUAAUAUGCAUAAAUUUUUCAAAAGAGACUUGUAUUGUGGGACGGACGGAGUAAUAUAUUAAGAUGUUAUUUAAACACCUUAUGUUGGUUUGCGUGUAAAAAUAUGAAACGGCUACAUAUAUUUCACAAAAAUAAAAAUGUAAACAGAUUCUGAUCAUUGUUGAUGAGGUGUAGACUUCAACAAAACUAGGCAUUCACUGUUGCACAUAAAUCAAGAAAGGCCAUUAAACUAGUAAAGGAAUAUCGCUGAACUGCAUGAAGCAAAAUCGAUUACUCCUUUUACGACAAUCGAGGCAUCGUCUUCUCCUCUUCUCCAUCUUCUUUCUAAUGUUUUUACGUUUCUCAAUAAAUAUUUAAGCCUUCUAUUUACCUCUUCUUCCUGUUUCUUUAUUUUGUCUUUUUAAAAGACUAAGUAGUCCGAAUUUCAGUGAAUCGCAGGAAUCGCCAAACUGAAUGCGAAUCACAUCGACUUGGUAUGGAAUAACCUCACAACGCUGUUUAUGAGAUAUCCUGCAGGUAAGCUUUCAUUUAGAUAAAACACCAUCCCUCUUGUACUUUUACUGUCAUCAACCUCUCCUGCUAAAUCACUAUCGGAAUAACCUGAUAACAUAUUUUAUUGCUUCCAGCGGAAUACAACAACCCAUAACUCAAUGUGCCUUUCAAAUAGCGCAUUAUACGUUUCACAGCGUUCCAAUACAUAACAGUAGGUCUUUACAUAUAACGGCUAAUAAUUCCAACAGCAUAUGCUAUAUUUGGUCGAGUAUGAACCAUAUAAUUCAGUCCUGCACUCACAUAUUCAGUUUAAUCCGCAGCUUUCCCGUUCUUAUCCUUGUGUAGGCUUACAUUUUGCCGUACCCCAUCUUUCCAGUAUCUUCCUUGCAUAAGACAUCUACUUCAACAGUAUAUACUCAAUGUGCCUUUCAAAUAGUGCAUGCUUGUAUGGACAUUGUGUGAAACCCAGGAUUUCUAAACACUUGCUUAAUUUUGCAUACCAGGCUUGUGGUGCCUGACAAAGUCCAUAACGCCUUUAUCAUCUUGUACACUAGAUGCUCCUUUCCAUGUUUGACAAACCCUUCUGGUUGCGUUACGUAUACAUCUUCCUGAAGAUCACCAUUCAAGAAAGCUGAUUUCACAUCAAAGUGAUCAACCUCCCAGCUAUUUUUUGCUUCGAAAGCCAAUAAUAGUCUCACUGUUUCGAUCCGUGUAACUGGUGCACAAACCUCAUCAAAAUCUAUACCUUGUUUUUGAACAUACCCUUUCACAACCAGUCUCGCCUUAUGUUUCACAACUUGUCCUUCAGUAUUCUUCUUCAAUUUAUAUACCCACUUCAAGCUUUCAGGUGUUGUUUCUUUCAAUAUCCUCCAUCUCAAUUUUCAUUGCAUCCUUCCAAGGACUCUCUUUAGAUGCCAGGUUAUAUGUAUCUGGCUCCUCCACACCUAGAAAUAAUAAUUCCUCUUCAACCUCUAUUUUCUUUGUAUUAUCACAAAUAUCAUUCAUUGACCUGAGACGUUUUGGAGUACUGCUCUUGUCCGACUCUUCAAUAUUGUCUUCACUUGACUGAGAUGAUACCGGUGACUGAAUAGGAGUUGAAAUGAGUAUGAGUUCUUUCAAUUGGGUCUUCUUCUUUCUCAGUCACACCAUUCCAGCCCCAUGUCUUUGCUUCCACAAAUACUAUGUCUCUGCUAACCAAAAUCUUUUUCUCUUCACGGUCAUACAAUCGAUGGGCUUUUGUACCAGGCUCUCUUCCAAAGUACACUACAUAUUUACUACGAUCAUCCAAUUUUCUCGUUUGAAUACUUGGUAUCUUCAUAAAUACACAACACCCAAAAAUCCUGAUGUGGCUCAUACCGGGUUUUAAUCCAAACCAAGCUUCAUACGGUGUAUAGCUUGAAGGAGCUCGUGUGGGUAGCCUGUUAAGUACGUACACGGACUCACUGCUUCACCCCAAAAUUCAGGUGGAACCUCCUUGGCCUUCAGGAAACUCCUCGCCAUCACCACAAUUGUUCUAUUUUUCCGCUCCACCAUGCCAUUUUGUUGAGGGUGGUAGGGAUCGGGGUAGUGCCUAACAAUCCCACUAUCCUCACAAAACGUUGUGAAUUGUGAGGAACAAAACUCAACACCUCUGUCAGUUUGCCUUAAUAUGUGCCAAGUUUGCCUCUCAUUUAAUCGUCUUAAUAUGUGCCAAGUUUGCCUCUCAUUUAAAAUUUCUAUCCGGUCGCCGCCUCUUGCAUUCUGCAUCAUAGUGCCCCAACACAUUGCAGUUGAAACACCUUACAGAACUCCUAUCACGUCGUGCACCCUAGGUUCAUGCAUUGUCAUCUGUCCCGUUCUGAUAGCCUCGUCCACUCAGUGCUUUAAAAUUUGACUGGCAAUAUCUCCUGACUCCUUGUUUGAUCUCUUGAUCGAGUCCUCUCGAGUGAGCAACAAUUUUUCUUCAUUCUAUUAUUUUGCUAUUUAUUGUCUGUUGCAUGUUUAUAUUUUACAAUUUUUAUGCUUUAUAUAUUUUAUUCAAACAAAAUAUUUGAAUAGGUAUAAUUUAUGCUAAAAUUUCCUUAUAUUGAGAUCCAAAUGUGUAGUAUGCUUAUAUAUCUAUAUUAAUAACUUCUUGAUGUUCAAAUUUUAUACAAAUAAACUAUAUACACUACUAGAAAUUUAUCAAUAUACAUCGGUUUAUGGCCGUUGUCUAUUGAACAUAGCAACCGAUGUUGCUGUCGGUGAUGUCUAUGUGAAAAACAAAAGACAUCGGUUUAUGGCCGUUGUCUAUUAGCCUCUUUUGAGCAAAAUAUGCAUGAUUACACAUUUGAAAAGUCUAUGUAAUGUGUUCUUGACUUGAAAAAACUUGUGAGGUUGAAGCGAAUAUAUGACAUAGACAUCAGUGUUUAAGUAUAACGUUGAUGUCUAUGCUUGUUAUCACAUCAUUUUAAUUUAUUAAACCGAUGUUUAUUUGGAUCUUUUGAGCAAAUUAUGCAUGAUCAAACUUUUAAAACUGCUAUGUAAUGUGGGCUAGACUUGAAAAAACUUGUAAUAUUGAAGUGAAAAUAUGAGAUAGACAUCAGGUUUUGUAUUUUAUAACAUUGUCUAGGCAAGCUUUAGACAUUGGGUAUUUUAAGGUGAAGAGAUGUUUAUGUAUUUGUAGACAUCGGUGUUAAGUUGGAAAUGUGUUGUCGUUAGCCCCUUUUCACAUCACUGUUUUAAAAUUUUACCAUUGUCUUUAAGCACCAAUAUACAUCGGUUUUACCAUUGUCUUUAAGAACCAAUAUACAUCAGUUUCAGUAAAAAAAAUGAUGUCAUGUCUGUAUAUAAUAAUGAAAAAAAUUGGAAUUAAAAACCCAGCCAAAUUGCACGCAUCCAAUUACAAAUAGCACCAAUCCAAAUUUCCAUUACCAAAAUAAACAUUUACCAUAACUCCAACAACAAAAAGUACCAUAAUUCUCCAAAACUCCAACAAAAACUACCAUAAUUCACCAAACUCCAACAAAAACUACCAUAUUCACCAAACUCCAACAAAAAUUACCAUUACUAGAUCAUGCCUACAUUCACCACCAUCUAUAAACCAUAAACUUCACCAUAACUCCACCAAUCCUACUGCAUUCACCAACACCAAGCAUAACUGUACUUAAUUUAGCCAAAUUCUAGAAUAUACACUUGAUAACCAAAUCUGAUUACUAACAGGCAAAGUAUACCCCAACCAUAUAUUAAACAUGAGAUUGAAUAAAUUCCAGGUUCUCGCACCGAACCUCCUCGAGCUCUUCCUCGUCGUAAGAUACACGACUCCUCUCUGACCAGUGCAAAUAACAACAGAAGGUUACAUUCCAGUCACUACCAUUUCAAAAUAUAUGGCCUUCACUCAGUAAUUUCUGACCACAGCCCCCAGUUACGAAAAGAAACAAAUUAUUACCUUAUCAACAAAAGAAAGACCCUCAUCUUCAGUAAUAUCUUUCAUAUACCGCAUCACAACAUAGCCAAAUUCAAGGCCCCCAGGCUGUUUUGGAGAUCCCUAUCAUCAUUUUGAAUAAAAUAUUAGUCCAGAUGAUGUACAAAUUCUGCAGGAUAACUAGAAGCAUGAGGACGACUUGCAGAAAAUUAAAAAUUACCGUAAGAUUCUUUACUUUGGGCACAUAGCCGCUUUUAUCGAUUUUCAUGUUAAAAGAACUUACGGCACUUGAAAGAAUUAAUCCAUGUCAAACUUGAGAAACAACCUACAUAAUUUAAAUUAUAUAAAAUAAUUUACCGAAAAAUCAAAAUACAUUGUUAAUGCCCUUUCAAGUGCUGGGAAGCGAAGUGGAUGAGACAUUGGAUUUAAAAUGUAAAUUUGACCUUCCCAGAUUAUAGACAAAAUCCAGUGCUUACUGUUGCCAUUAAAUUAUACACCAAAAUAUUUAAUAAAGAGAAGUUGUAUGUGACAAAAUCCAGUGCUUACUGUUGCCAUGAACUUAAAAAUAAUAAUAACAAUAAAUACAUACUUGUGAUUAUGCGGUAGGAAGAAAAUCCCAUCUACAUCUCCUUUAGCCGGCCGUUCGACAAUGUAGUCUUCAAAGUCAGCAUUGAGUUUAAAUGCUGGAUUCGGAUCACAAAAUGCAAAUUUCUCUAUAUCCUUAGAAUUGCUUAACUCAGUAUGCAAGUGCCUACGAUAUAAAAUUUGCAUUAGAAUCCAAUAUAUACCUCUCGUUGUAGAAUAGAAAAACAAAAAAAAUUAUAUUACUUAUAGCAUAAAGGUUGUUAUCACUGCUUGACCAAUCAUCUGAAACUCCAGCAAAGCUACCACAUUCUCAUUCAACAAAUAAAUUGUUAUUGGACGUCCAAAAACCUCAGCAUCACAAGGGAUUUGUAUCGAGGCCCCAGUAGCUUGCAUAUAAUUUGUUGCGUGUUUAUACAACAGCCUAAAGCGCUUUGGUACUUUCACACCUGGGUUUGCUCUAGAAAAAAAGCUCUUCAUUUUUUGCAAGUCGUCCGCAUUCAACUUAGGCACUGGUUUUUUCUUUGCAGUCUGAAUAAAAAUUAUCAAUAACAUUACUUAUCGAAGAUAGAAAAUAUGAAUAUAUAUAUAUAUAUACACACACACUAGAUUUUGUAAUAAAAAAUUACCACACGAUGAUCACUUGGGUAGCUAAUUAGCUCCUCAGGCCAAGCUACAUGAGAGCCAAGAGCCUGUAUGACUGUCUCCAUUUCACCUGGUACGGGAACCGGAAGCAGGGCAUCUGGUUUGCUAAAGCUAGCGACUGACACACGAAGGCAACCAAUAGGCAUUUCCCUUCCAUGUAUCUUACUCGAUUCCCCUUGAUAGUUAAUAACAUAACCAAAAGCAACCUUGUUCACUAUCGUCCCCACAGAUAGGUCACAUUUACGCAUAACCUACAAUUAUAUGUAAUACCAAGAUCAAAAGCAAAACUAAAUUAAACUAAUGAUACCUUAACAUACAGUUAUGUUUAUUAUUGUACCUGUUUUUCAGGUGGUGGAGUUGGCUGCUUAGUAACCACGCAUUCAUCAUCAAUUUCUUCAUCUACACCCUAAUCUGGAGGAAAUGAUGGUUUUACCAGAUUAUCUUCAUCUACACCCUUUACUUUGCCCGGAUUGAAACUCCCUCCGUCGGAUAUAAGAUUUGACUGAGAAUCUUUAGUUAAAGCUUUAAGUGCAGCGAUCUCUGACCUCAGCUCUGAGGUGGCCUUUUCCAACUCUUCCGACCUCUGUUUAUCACGGGCUAGCAACUCAGCUUUUGUAAUCCGACUACUUUUUGCUCUUGGCAAAUUGAAAAAAGCUUUAGGGGUGAUGAAGCCACCAACUGCACGAACUCUGCCAGAGUGCUCUAGAGUUUCUAAAGCGGCAGUCAACACGUCAUUGGUACUAGAUGGGUGAAAUUCACCCUUCUUCUUUUUUUUCCAGUAAUUCAUCUUAUUAUCAUAAGACUAUUUUAUAAAAUUCACAUAUGAAAAUAAUUGCAAUUCUUUCAAAGAAUAGACACUUACAAUUUUUUUAUUGAUCUCUUCUUGUUCUUUAGGAAUCGAACCUUUCUUUGGAACACGGGCCUUCUUCCAUAAAACAGCCCUAUCAACCUCUUCUCCAGCCUCUAUAUUUCCCGAAUUAACCUGUACAAAUUAAGUCAAAAAUUCAGCCACUAUUAUAAUUAGGUCUUCAUUUUAUUUAAGCACUACAUAAUUUAUUAGGCAUUAAUAAAGAUCAUACUUCUUCUUCUUUCAAUCCAAUAUAUCCUUUUCUUGACAAGCGGUGUGGAUAUUUACGCUUAGCUACUCUAUUACUUUGAUCUUCAUGAACUUUCUGCGAUAAAUGAAGUAGAUAAUUAAAAUUUCCUCAAUAUUACUAAGAACUGAAUUACUGACAAGCAAGGAAAAUUGCACUAUUACCUCCCAAUCCGCAACAGUCCUUUUGGCCACAAAUCUUUUCAUGUAUAAAAAAUUGAUACACAUUUUUACGGAACUGAAGAAAUUUAUCAUUUUAUUUUCAGCAGUGGAACCUUAAAAAUUAAUUUUUAAAAAGUAUAUUAGUUAAAUUAAUUUGACCUCUCAAAUAUUUUCCCCCUUUAGCCAAUAAUUUCAGAAAUAUUAAUUUUUUUCGGAAAAUAAAAUGAAAGAUACUAUGUUCAAAUACACUCUGACACGUGGUGUAAUAAGAGCCUCUUUUCAUAUAUCUAGUACGCAAUCCAAAGAAAUUUUAGAAAGAGAAAAAUUAAAGGCUAUGCUAAUAGAUAAAUACCAAUCUUUUUAGUCAUUAAAUUUCUUUGAUACAUAAUUAAAAGGAUCAAAGAUUGAUUUAACAAUAUGACUUAACAAUGUGACUAUUAUAAAAACAUAAACUAAAUUGCACUUAAAAACUGACACCACAAACAAAUUUCAUAUUUAACAAAAUAAGUUAUUCACAAUAGGCCAUUAAAAUAUUCAACUUUAAAAUCUUGCAACACUGAUACAACUUCAGUUGCUGCUCAAAAUCAAUUGGACCCAUACUGCGCAUUUUAAUCGAAGCACCACAUCCCUCAUCCCCCACCAAAGUGUAGAUAUCCACCAUACAAUCUGCAGAGCUUCAGUCAAGCACAAUCAAUGCAAGAUGAUCUGUCAUGUCCGCGAAUUUAUAAAUCAAAUCAUAAUUCUCUGGACUUGCCAAUAUAUUGGAGCGGAACUCAGGCAGCAACUUGAAUUUGUCACUUGUUGCAUCAAACUUUACUACACCCAAUGAUAAUAAAAACAUCUCAUUGCUCGAUAGUCCGGAACAUGUCCAGUAAGGACAAUCCUUUACAAUAGUAGUUGGAGUCCAUUUCUCAAGUGCAUUCUUAGAUAACAUGUUAUGAGGAACAAUUAUGUCAAUCCAGGAAUCUGAACGAGACUCGUAAACACUGGCAGACCUCUCUGACAAAACUACAACCUUGUAAUUAUCAUUUGCAUAAUCAUAACCAAGUCCCAUACUAUAACGAAAAUUAUAGUCACGGCUUGGUGGAAGUGUGAAUUCCUUAUACUGAUGAAUAGCCAGGUUCCAUAAGGCUAACUUUCGUCCAUUACCAAGACAAACUAAGGCAUUUAUUGAACCAAUUAAUUAUUAGUUACUUGCACGGAGUAAAUAUGUUUCUUUGUAGCGAGAAAGCAUAUAGAUUGUGUAGUACUUCUUAACUAUCACAUAGUCAUGCCCAUUAGGAUUUUGAGUUACACUACGAAUCAGGUGUUGUUUCACGAAUUUGGGUGCUGAGAGCGGUGAUUUCCAAUAUUUAGAAACGGUUUUAAAACGUACCACAUAUUUAUUCGGAUGAAGCAUCAGUAUUUCAUCGCAGUCCGCAGAUUAUCUCUUCCCGCAGUUCCGCCACCAUCUUCUUCCUCUCUUUCAUUGUAUUUUCAUCAACCAAAAACGAUAUCUUUUGUGACACUUCCGCCACCAUCUUCUUCUUCCUUUUCAUUGUAUUUUCGUCCAUCGAAAAAGAUACAACCUUUUCCGUCCGGAAUAAUAUCAACAUAAGAGUUAAUAUCCACGACAAUACUGGUUGUCAGUUAUAGUGAUAUGUUCGAGAAAUUUGUCUGUAUAAUGAUAUUUCCGAGAAUUGUGACAUUAUUCGUAUUUUGUUAUUGAUUUGAAUUAUCAAAGCUGUGAGUAUAACGAUAUAGUCGAGAAAUUUGUCUAAAAGGACAAUUUUUUUAUGAAUUUACAUUUGUAAUAUUAUGAUUUUUACCAGGGCGUUUUGAGAUACUUUCUUUGUCUAGAUUCUUCAUUCUUACUGAAUAUUGUGGAACAAAAAGUAUAGUUGGUGGCGUGAGUGUCUCGUUUAAUCACACAAGAUUUCAAAUAUACCGAGACACAAGUAUUGCAUCUGGAUAUAAGGUGGUUAACCCGCCUAACCCUUCAACUCUUGUCGGGUCUCUUCAAACCUAUAGUAUUCAUCAAAUAGUUGAAUAAUAGAGGAACGUAUAUGCACACAACAAUACAACUAAUAAAAUGAUCUAUAUAGGUCAAAAAGGUAAAAAAAAUACAAACUUUAUGUAUGUAUAUAUACUUACACUUUUAGGAACAAAUGUCCAUUUGUCUUUCCCAUUUUUUCUUUGAAGAGUUGAUGAGAAAUGAUUAAAAAGUGGGGUUAUAUUUAUUUUUGAAAAAUAAUGACAUUGGUUUAAUCAAAUCAAACUCCGGUAAAAAAUAUUAUAGGCAAUAUAUCAUAAUCACUUUGUUUUGAACAGGUUUUAAGUAUCCAUAAAACAAUAUCUAUUAACAUAAUUCAUCGUAACAAUAACAAACUUUAACAUAGGUGACGGAAACAGAGUAUGAAAUUUUAACCACACUAACAUAUAAGACAAGAAGAAAGUGGAACCUGAAGUCGAGUUGUGUUCUCGGUCUAAGGCAUCUCUUGCUCGCGAGUGUACCCGAAACUUCGUCGCUCCUCGAUCAAGAUUGGGUCGCGAUCAGUCCUUCCACCGAAGCCCUGAGAAUCUCGGCCCGUCGAUUUUUCAUAGCUUCUUAGAUCUUGACCAUGUGGUGGCCAUAUCUCACAGUCACCUCGCCAUGUGGGCACGGUUCUUGAUGUAGUUCUAACCUCCUCGGGCCUAUCAUCUAGUUCUCUGAUUAUGGCAUGUAGAUCUGCCUUGAUAACUCUGCCCUCGAGUCGAUCUGCCAGAGAGUCCAUCAUUCUUGUGGAUCUUCUGGUGAGUAUCAAUGGUGGCUUAUCUUCUUGAUGAACCAUAAUUUGAUGUCCCUGGUAUUUUCCAAUCGCCUAUCAUCUCCUCCAACCGUAAUCUGACCGUCAGAUGCAAACAAGUUAUGCGGAGUAAUUACGUGUCUUCUCCCGUCACGACAGCUUAACUGACUUCCUUCUUCAAGAGGUUGCUUCCCAGAACGACGUGUUGUUGGUAGGAAGACUCGAUUUUCCCUACUUGAUCCUUGAGUUCUUAAUAGUCUCUGGAUUGUCUCCUUAGAUAAUGCAACUCUCUGAGCAAUUCGUUGUUGCUCAUCAUGAUCGGUGGUUGUUGCGCUAUCGGCCGUCGUAGGAUGACAUUUUCUCCAUCCGUUAUAACAAGCGCUCGUUUUGGGGGGUGUUCUCGAUGACGGUGUUGUCGGUCCGACCGAUGUUGCUUGUCUUGUUGACGUUAUCUCCUCAGGACCUUGGAGUGGGUUGUUUGCUUCCGGUUGGGGUUGUAUUGCCGCGGUUUGACAUCCUUUCGUCUAGAUGCAAAUCUUGAAAGCCCCUCCUUCUAGAGCCAAUUUGUUAAAAAAGAUGAGGUUCGCAAUUCGAAUCAAGCUCUUUUGUGGAGGUAAUUCGUCGGAAAAUGUGGUGGUGAUAGUGUAUUUGGUGCAGAGAAGUGCCCUUGCAUUUGGGGUAAGUCUUGGGUGCUCGAGCGUCUACAAGGCCCAAGGCUAGGCCUCAUCGUACUGGCCCCUUUCAGGAAGACGACCGAAGGGGAAGCCUAAUCCAAUUAGGUUUUUUAGGUUAAUAGAACUACGUCUGCCUUGAUCCCGUAUAAAAAGGGGUAUGUAGGUAUGGACAAUUCUUGAGAGCUAGACGCUAGUGAAUAAGCCCUAGUUUUCUUCCCACUCACGAACCCUUUGCCUACAAUCUCAGCCACAUCCAAAUAAGCCAUCACUACCACAUCUUCCAACGAAUAACCGCCGCAACAGAUCUUGGUCCAGAUUGUGAAUACCAUCUUUGUUAACUAACAGAUUUCUCCGUUCACAAUAGUUAUUCCUAUUAAUACAGGAGGCUUUGCAUUGCUGCUUAAUACUUUAAUCUUUCAUAUUCAUUAGUAGUUAUUGAAUCUAUUAAACAUCAUUAAUAGACCUAUAUUUUUUGACACAUGUGAAAAGACUCAUAGUAAUGGAGUUUAUUAAAUUGUUGUAUACAAAUAAAUAUUUUUUCGACAACCUCACACGCUACUUGUUUGACACUACCCAUCAUCAAAUAAUAAUUACUAUCUUUAGCUUUAAGGUUUUUUUUAACUCUCAUACAUAACUUUUCCACUUUCGCUUCAAAGUUCUCCUCGUAUCUCGAGCACAUGUAAGCAAGUAAUUAAAAAAACCCUUCAAAUACAUCAAAAGUUUUCUUACAUAAGUUUUAUAGUCAACAAUGUGUAUAAGCGGACAAAUUUUAAAGGGCACAAUGAUAUUAAGCCUCAUCAUAAAUUAAACAAUCCAUUAUCAAUACAUAGUCUAUUUCCGUGAAAGAAAAAUAACAUUACCUUUAGAGAUGUGUCAUAGACAUAGUUCUCGUGGAACAUUUUCUUCAUUAUUUGCGGCAAGUAUUUCAUAAAUAUAUAUUAGUUGAACAUUGAAGAAUUUGGUAUGUGAGUUAAACCAAAAAAAAUCUAUCUUAAAUUAACUUAAAGAUAUUUAAAAUAUAUAUUUGUAAUUGUUAGGAUUUUGGAGACAACAUCAAUGUGUGCGACAAUAAAAUUGUGAGCUAGCUGCAAAUUAUUUCAAGAUUUUAUAUCAUAUCUAGUAAAUUGACAAUAUGUAGGGUCAUUUACCACUUGUACAUGACCCAUUUCCUCGUUUUCAAACCCCUCCUCCCUUCCACCAGAGGACCACCUUAGGAAACAUAAACAUACUAGAUUAGUCACAAGAUUAAACAAAGCAAACUGAGUUUGUACAUGAAAAUAAAGGAAGCAAUGAGUCUUGCCCUUCAAAAAAUCAUAAAAACUAGGCAUGAUAAGGAAACUAAGUUGUUUCAAGAUUCAAUUGAAAUUGAUUUUAAUCUAAGAUUGAUAAAAUUGUUAAAAUCUACCCAUAACACCUACUUGACAUGUAUUAGAAGGAUAAACAACAUAUCCAUCAUUCAUAACUGCAGCAACCUUGUGAAAGACAAUUCAAGUUGAUGCACUAGAAAUUUCUGAAAAUAGUAGAGGCACCUCAGACUCUUAGAUGUAUAUAUUGGGCUUUCUUCUAUAGAAGGCUCCUAAGAAUAACAAUUGCUUGUGAGUAUAUGUAGUGGGCUUUUUAAAUUUUGAGGUCCAAUGAUAACAAAAUUAUUCAGAAAAAAGUAUACCUUAUUUGAAUUAUAACAUAUUCUUUAGUUGUUUUUUUUACUAUAAUGGACAUUUAAAUUUUCUCAUCUUGUAAUAAAUAUAUACACAUAUGUGUGUGUAUGCUUGUGUGUCAUAGUAUAUCAUUAUCAAGUUUCUUUAUAUCAUCGAUUUAAUAAAAUAAUAUAUAUAUUUUUUAAAUAAUAUGGAAACAUUGUAAAUUUUUGCAACUUACAAGGCAUGAUCUUGAAAUUGGAGUUAUUUAAUAAAUAAUAUUUAAUUUUAAGUCUUUGUAUAUUUUUUUGAAUUACAUAUUUAGUAAUUCCUAGUUUUAUAAUUAAUUUUGUGUUUUAUUUAUAUAUUUUAGAAUUCUUAUGUGUUAUAAAUUUUAUGCAAAUAAAUUAUUUGAAUAGGCAAAUGGUUAAGGCUUCCAAAUAUUUAGACCCAUAUAUAUAUAUAUAUAUAUAUAUAUAUAUAUAUAUACACACACACACAUCGGUAUAUAUGUAUAUAUAUUUAUUACAAGAUCAGAAAAUUUAAAUGUCCAUUAUAUUAAAAAAAACAACUAAAGAAUAUGCUAUAAUUCAAAUAAGGUAUACUUUUUUUCUGAUUAAUUCUGUUAUCAUUGGACUUCAAAAUUUAAAAAGCCCAUUACAUAUCCUCACAAGCAAUUGUAAUUCCUAGGAGCCUUCUAUAGAAGAAAGCCCAAUAUAUACGUCUAAGAGUCUCAGGGUUUUCCUAUUUAGUCAUAGGGUUUACCUAUUUACCCUUUUGGUUGAGCCGCACUGCUUGUGCCUUUAACAUUUUCAGAAAUUUCGAGUGAAUCAAUUGGAAUUGUCUUUCACAAGGUUGCUGCAGUUAUGAAUGAUGGAUGUGUUGUUUAUCCUUCUAAUACAUGUCAAGUAAGUGUUGUAGGUAGAUUUAACAAUUUUAUCAAUCUUAGAUUAAAAUCAAUUUCAAUUGAAUUAUAAUACAACUUAGUUUCCUUAUCAUGCCUAGUUUUUAUGAGUUUUUGAAGGGCAAGACUCAUUGCUUCCUUUCUUUUCAUGUACAAGCUCAGUUUGCUUUGUGUAGUCUUGUGACUAAUCUAGUAUGUUUAUGUUUCCUAAGGUGGUGCUCUGGUGGAAGGGAUGAGGGGUUUUGAAAAGUGAGGAAAUAAGUUAUGUACCAAUGGUAAAUGACCCUGGACAUUGUCAAUUUACUAGAUAUGAUAUAAAAUCUUGAAAACAUUUGCACCUAACUCACAAUUUUAUUGUGGCACACAUUGAUCAUUUUCUCCAAACUCCUAACAACAAAUAUAUAUUUUAAAUAUCUUUAAGUUAAUUUAAGAUAGAUUUUUUUUGUUUAACUGACAUACCAAAUUCUUUAAUGUUCAACUAAUAUAUAUUAAUGAAAUACUUGCAGCAAAUAAUGAAGAAAAUGCUCCAUGAGAACUAUGUCCAUGAAACAUCUCUAAAGGUAAUGUUAUUUUUCUUUCACGGAAAUAGACUAUGUAUUGAUAAUGGAUUGUUUAAUUUAUGAUGAGGGUUAAUAUCAUUGUUCCCUUUAAAAUUUGUCCGCUUAUACACAUUGUUGACUAUAAAACUUGAAAAAUUAUGUAAGAAAACUUUUGACGUAUUUGAAGGGUUGUUUUAAUUACUUGCUUUCAUGUGCUCGAGAUACGAAAACUUUGAAACGAAAGUGGAAAAGUUAUGUAUGAGAGUUAAAAAAAAACCUUGAAGCUAAAGAUAAUAAUUAUUAUUUGAUGAUGGGUAGUGUCAAACAAGUAGCGCGUGAGGUUGACAAAAAAAUAUUUAUUUGUAUACAACCAUUUAAUAAACUCUAUUACUAUGAGUCUUUCCGGAUGUGUCAAAAAAUAUAGCUCUAUUACUGAUGUUUAAUAGAUUCAAUAACCACUAAUGAAUCAAGAUCUGUUGCGGCGGUUAUUCGUCGCAAGAUGUGGUAGUGAUGGUGUAUUUGGAUGUGGUUGAGAUUGUAGGUAAAGGGUUCGUGAUUGGGUAGAAAACUGGAGCUUAUUCACUAGCGUCUAGCUCUCAAGAAUUGUCAAUGCCUACAUACCCCUUUUUAUAGGGGUCAAGGCGGAUGUAAUUCUAUUAACCUUAAAAACCUUAUUCGAUUAGGCUUCCCGUUCUAACACCUUCCUCAAAGGGGCCCAGUACGAUAAGGCCUAGCCUUGGUCCUUGUAGACUCUCGAGCACCCAAGACUUACCCGAAAUGCAAGGGCACUUCUCUGCACCAAAUACACCAUCACCACCACAUUUUCUGAUGAAUAACCUCCGCAACAUAGCUUGAUUCUGAUUGUGAACCUCAUCUUUGUUAACUACGAGAUUUCUCCGUUAACAAAUUGGCUCUAGAAGGAGGGGCUUUCAAGAUUUGCAUCUAGACGAAUAGAUGUCAAACCGCGGCGAUACAACCCCAAGCAGAAGCAAACAACCCACUCCAAGGUCUAGAGGAGAUAACGUCAACAAGACAAGCAACAUCGGCCGGACUAACAACAUCGUUAUCGGGAACACCCCCCCAGGACCGAGCGAUUGCUAUAACGAAUGGAGAAAACAUCAGCUUACGAUGGCCGAUAGUGCAACAACCACCGAUCAUGGUGAGCAACAACGAAUUGCUGAGAGAAUUGCAUUAUCUAAGGAGACAAACCCCAAACUAUCAAGAACUCAAAGAUCGGGUAAAGAAAAUCGAGUCUUCCUUACCAAGAACACGUCGUUCUGGGAAGCAACCUCUUGAAGAAGGAAGUCGCUGUCGUGACGCGAGAGGACACGUAAAUACUCCGCGCAACUUGUUUGCAUCUGAUGGUUAGAUUAUAUUUGGAGGAGAUGAUAGGCGAUUGGAAAAUAUCAGGGACAGCGGAAGGCCUCCUCAUCAAGAAGAUAGUCCACCAUUGAUACUCACCCGAAGAUCCACAAGAACGAUGGACUCCCUGGCGGAUCGACUCGAUGGUAGAGUUAGCGAGGCAGAUCUACUUUCCAUAAUCAGAGAACUAGAUAAUAGGCCCGAGGAGGCUAGAACUACAUCAAGAACCGCGCCCACAUGGCGACGCGACUAUGAGAUAGGGCCACCACAUGGUCAAGAUCCAAGAAGCUAUGAAAAAUCGACAGGCCAAGAUUCUCAAGGCUUCGGUGGCAGGACUGAUUGGGACCCAAUCUUGAUCGAGGAGCGACGAAGUUUCGGGAACAGGCGCGAGCAAGAGAGGUCUCAGACCGAGAACACAACUCGACAACAGGUUCAAAUUUCUUCCCGUCUUAUAUGCAGUGGCGGAACCGGGACUUAAACUUAGGGGAAGCUCAAACAAUGUUGUUCACAGGUCGUUUGGGUACGAGAUAUGAGAUCGGGUACGUAAAAGGCUAGUUCUUAUGAAUCGGGUACGAUGAUCCUCAAAUCUAGUUCGCGGUUCGAUAUCUUAACCCCUUUUAGUGAUUUUUCACUAAACAAUGCAUAGUCUACUUAUGAUUUUCAUGAUUAAAAUAUUUAUUUUACCCGAAAAUAGAGAAGUAAGUUAAUCAGAAAAUGAACAAAAGGUAAGGACCUUCCAUACGUAUUUAUAAGGGGAUUUAAAUCUUUUUUGUAAGAAAGCAUAUCUCAAGUGUCUUUUCUUUCAUCUGUAUCAUCUUCCCAACUCCUUUCUUUUACUAAAGUACGUUUCUAAAAACAAUUAUAAUCAAGAUAGUGUCAAAUUAUCUUCCUUUGUUAUAUCGCUUAAGUUAAAGGUGGAUCGCCAAAAUCAGCGAAAGUGAACGUGAUCCCUGGUGAUCCUGGUUGAAGAGGAAUCGUGUUCCGGAACAUUUUUGAUUGAUACUUUUUAUCCAGAGUGGAGGAGCAUUUUUUAAGAUAAUACAAGCUGUUAGAAGAGGAUACAUGCACAUUUUAAUAUAUCAAAAGAGUAAUGUAAUUAUGUGCAAUUUUUUUUGAAAACAAGCAAGUGACCAUCAAAUUAUAUACCACUCGAUUGUUCAAAAUUCAAACUCUAAUUCUUGAGAAAUCCGUAACCCUCAAUUAAUAAUCUUUUUAUACAAAAUCACAGCAGAUACGAAAAGAUUAAAGAAUAACAAUUUAUCCAAUAAUCAAUCAAAAUAUCAUAUAUUGAAAUUUGGAAAGCAAGUCUCUCUCUAUUAUAUUGAUAAUCCAGCAAGGGCUAAAAAAAAUUAUAUUAAUAUCUCAAUAAUUCAACAGGGGCUGGAAAAAAAAUAUACAUUGUAUUUUUGAGGUCAGGGGCUCUAGCAUCCCCUAGUCCCCCUCUGGUUCCGCCACUGCUUAUAUGUUAAUGUGGUUUAAAUUUCAUACUCUGUUUCGGUCACCUAUGUUGAAGUUAGUUAUUGUUAUGAUGAAUUAUGUUAAUACAUAUUUUUUUAUGGAUACUUAAAACCUGUUCAUAAUAUUUUUUACCAGAGAUUGAUUUGAUUUAACCAAUGUCAUUAUUUUUAAAAAAUAAAUAUAACCCCACUUUUUAAUCAAUUCCCAUCAACUCUACAAAGAAAAUAUGGGGAAGACAAAUGGACAUUUGUCCCUAAAAGUGUAAGUAUAUAUACAUACAUAAAAUUUGUAUUUUUUUUUACUUUUUUGACAUAUAUAGAUCAUUUUAUCAAUUGUAUUGUUGUAUGCAUAUAGGUUUAUGUGUCAUUCAGCAAGAGACCCCACAAGAGUUGUAGGCUUAGAUAACUAAUUAAUUAUAAAUUAAUAAACAGUAUAAAUGUUACAACAUUAAGAUACAACCUCCCAUAACAUAUAAUAGUUUUAACAGUCUUGAAUGUUUGGUACCUAAAUGCAUAGUUAUUAUAAAUCUCUUAUAAUUAGGUAGAAAAAACCCAUGGUCGAUAAAAUAUGAAAAGAACAUGUGUUUGCGUGCAUAAAUCACAUUUUUAACAUCAAAAUAUUAAUUUAAAGUAUAAAAAACACUACAAAAAUAUACUGUAAAUAUAUAAAUAUAAAAUAAUAGAACUUACAUCAAUAUAUAAAGUAUAAAAAACACUUCAAAAAUAUACUGUAAAUAUAUAAAUAUAUAAUAAUAGAACUUAAAUCAAUAUUGUAAGGGAGUAGUAAAAAAAUAUUACAAAAGUUCAUGUUUAUUGAUGUAUAAUAGAGCAUGUUAAUUAAAAUUGAGAUUUUCAUCAAUUGAGUGUUUAUAUCAUAUACCAAUAUAUAUAUAUAUAUAUAUAUAUAUAUAUAUAUAUAUUUCUUUUCCUAAUGAAAAGUAUAAAUAUUUUCUUAAAUAAAUCCAUCAAUUUAAAUUCCUAUUUAAUAAGAGAAUUUACUAAUUAAAUUAAAAAUGAAUAGCUAGUACAACAUAUUAACUGCAAUAAAAGAUAUUGAUGAAGGAGGCAUUUAAGUCAUGUUGGAGAAAUUUCUUCAUUGUUUAGAAUAAUUCUUUCACAUAUACUGAAAUAAGAUGAACAUCAAAUUAUUUUUGCAAUAUAAAAUUUCAAGGACUAAUUUAAAAAUACAAUGAUAUAUGCAAUAUAUAAUUUUAAGAAAAGAUCGAACCAUAACAAAAAAAUAAAAGACGAUUGAAGUGUGUCAUGAUAAGACUUUUCAUGUAAUUAAAUCAUGACCACUUUAUGCUUUAUCAAAAACUUUAUAUCAUGGAUUCAGACUCAAUAAUCACAACCCAACAUUCCAUUAACCCCAAAUAUGUACAAAGAAAAACAAAUGUAAAAUAAGAUAUAAAUAUAUGAUAAAUCUUAUUAAAUAUGCAUGAAUCAAUCACAAAUCGUGAAAUAUAUGACAUAUUGAGAACAUCAUAACAAUGAUUGUUGUGGAUGGUGGUGUUAUUCUCCUUCUGUCCUAAUAGGUUCUUUAUCUUCUUUUUUGACACGCAUUUUAACAGUCCUAUAGUUUCAUAAUAAUUUUACGAAAUAUUUUGAAUAAAAAUUUGACCUUUAAAUUUUUAUAAAAAAAUUUAUUUAACUAUAGAGACUCAAAAUGCGUGCAAAUAGUGAACAUAAACAAUCAUGCCAAUCACGCCAAUCACAUGGCAUGGAGGGAGUGGUGUUUAUACUAAAAAGAUGAUAAUAAAGACUUUAUUGGAAACUUCAUAUAUUAGAUCGAAACUCAAAAAUCAUAACCAACAUUCAAUUAAACCAAUAUAUGUACAAAUAAAAAUGAAUCCAAAAUAAGAAGCAAAUAUAUGACAAUUACAAAUUAGGCAUGAAUUAAUCGGGAACAAAUCAUCAGAUUUAUGAUAUAUGGAUAACAUCAUAAAAAUGAUUGUUGUGGACAGUGGCGAUAUAGUGUUUACACUAAAAAAAAAAGAUAAAUUUAGGCUUAAUUGGAAAAUUUUAUCUUAGACUGAAAUCCAAAAAUAACACCACCCAUUGGAUCAAAUCCACAUAUGUAAAAUUAAAAAUAAAUCCAAAAUAAAAAUUAAAUAUAUGGCAAUGGCUUACGUAUUAGGUGUGGAUCGGGCACAAAUGGUCAGAUAUAUGAUAUAUUGAAAAGAUCAUUCAGAAUGAUUGUUGUGGAUGGUGGUGAUGUGGUGAUUACCCUAAAAGUGAUAAAUUAGUAAGAGACACUGAUAUGGGAGGAGGGGUGAAACGAGGAUUUGGAAUCCACAUGGCCUGGGAGACAGAACGGCAACGGCGGAGUAGGGGUGGAUUUAAUUGUGCACGCGGUGAAGAAUAGAGACAACAGAGGUUAUUAUCGGUUUAGUUUGGUGGAGAAGCAUAGCUGUACUGUAGAAUUAGGUUUUGAAUUUUUGGGCUACCUGGGCUGAAACUAUAUUGGGCCAGCAAUGAUAUAUAAAAAUUUUAUAAAAUAUUUUUUUGGUCGGGCUGCGGCCUGCCCUAGCCAUGGGCUAGUUCCGUCCCUCUACGUAAGAUAAUUUAUGAAACAGAGGCUGAUGCGGAAGGUGGAAUUUUAUAAAGAUAGAAUAAGGAGAUGAAGGGAUGAUUGUAUAAAGUCAUGAAUGUAGAAUGAUGAUUUUUUAUUUUCAUUAGAGAUUGAAACGUGGAAUCAUUUACUUUUCAAGCUCUUAUCAAAAUAAAAAAUCAUUCUACAUUCAUCACUUUAUACACUGAUCCCUUCAUCUCUUUAUUCUCUCUAUUUAAAAUUCCAUCUUCAGCAUCAGCCUCUCUUUCAUAAUUUACCUUCCGUACACGGGCGGAACUAGCCGAGGGCCGCAACCCGGCCCAUAAUUUUUUUAAUAAAUUUUUUAUAUAUCCUUGCUAGCCCAAUAUAGUUUCAGCCCAGGUAGUCCGAAAAUUCAAAACCUAAUUCUUUCUUUACAUUCCGCACAAUUAAAACCGCCUCUGCUUCGCCGCUCUGUCUCCCAGUCCAGGCCGAUUCCAAAUCCUGGUUCGGCCCCUACUUCGCUAUUAGUCUCUCUUCUUUAUUUAUCAUUUUUAGUGUAAUCACUACAUCACCACCAUCCACAACAAUAAUUUUGUUGAUCUUUUCAUNGCCUGCACAAUUAAAACGGCCGCUAAUCCGCCGUUGCCGUUCUGUCUCUCAACUGGAUUCCAAAUACUAGUUCCGCCCCUGUAUCAGUCUCUCUUCUUAAUUUAUCAUUUUUAGUGUAAUCACUACAUCACCACCAUCCACAACAAUAAUUUUGUUGAUCUUUUCAUUAUAUCAUAUAUGUGAUGAUUUGUGCCCGUUGCACGCCUAAUGGGUAAGCCAUUGCCAUAAUUUAUUUAUUUUUGGAUUUAUUUUUAAUUUUACAUAUUUGGAUUUAAUCCAAUGAUGGGUUUUAUUUUUGAAUUUCAAUCUAAGAUAUAAAUUUUCCAAUUAAGCCUAAAUUUAUUUUGUUUUAGUGUAAACAUUAUAUCACCACCGUCCACAACAAUAAUUUUUAUGAUGUUCUCGAUAUAUCAUAAAUCUGACCAUUUGUGACCGAUAAAUUCAUGCCUAAUCUUUAAGUCAUUACCAUAUAUUUACUUCUUAUUUUUGAUUUAUUUUUAUUUGUACAGAUAUUGAUUUAACUGAAUGUUGGAUUAUGAUUUUUGAGUUCCAUCUAAGAUAUGAAGUUUCCAAUAAAGUCUUAAUUAUCAUCUUUUUAGUAUAAACACUACUCUCUCUGUGCCAUUUGAUUGUUUAUGUUCACUGUUUGUCUUCUAUAAAGUAUAACGUUAAACUUUUAUUUAGGAAAAAAAUUUGGAAAUUAUUAUGAAACUAUAGGAGUAUUAAAAUGCGUGCCAAAAAUUAACAUAAUUAACCCGUUAGGACAUAGGGAAUAUAACACCCCUAUCCACAAGAAUCAUUGUUAUCAUGUUCUUGAUAUAUCAUAUAUUUGACGAUUUGUGCUUCAUUCAUGCAUAAUCAAUGAGCCAUUAUCAUAUAUUUAUAUCUUAUUUUGGAUUUCUUCUUCUUUGUACAUAUAUGGAGUUAAUGGGAUGUUGGGUUGUGAUUUUUGAUUCCCAAUAUAUGAUAUAAAGUUUUCAAUAAAGCAUAAAGUAAUCAUGAUAUAAUUACAUGAAAGUCUUAUCAGGACACACUUUAAUCAUCUUUUAUUUUUUUUUGUUAUUGUUCGGUAUGAAGCCUGUUGAUUUCUGUGCUCCACACAAAACCCUAAUGAGAGUCGGCCGCCAUUCAUAACUAUCAUCCAUCCUUCACCGCCCCUUUCUUCCAUCAAAACCACAUCAUCCCAUCCAUCCUCUCAUCCCAUUUCCUCCAUUUCUAUAUCUUUAAUUUCUACUAUAAUAGUUUUCAAUAAAAUCGAGAUCUAAGUCCUUUUGGGUGUGAUCUUGUUACCGUACCCAUCUUUUUGGGUUGUUGAUUGUCCCCAAUUUUUGGGUGUAUGUCUUGUUGCGUUUUUGAUUCGUUGUCAUGUUGCGUGAAGAAUGAUUUCUACGGUGUAUUGGGAGAUCUGGGCAACCCGCUUCAAAUCUGGAAUUGUGGUUAUCGCGAGAGCUCACCUCGCACAACAAAUGAUUGUUCAAUAUAUGGGGCAUCUGUACCCCCAACCUCAGUUGGUGUAACUGAUGGAUAUGAACACUGGUCUAUCACCGGUUUUUUAUGUGCGCAGGUCAAUUGUGAUUCUACUAUUUUCAGUGAUGUCGGUGUCGACUGGAUUGCUCGAGAAACUUUUGUAAUCAUUUUUAAUAUCAAGAAUAUUUAUAUUCUAUCUGUUAAGCAAUCUGAAAACAAAACGGCUAUUUGUUUAGCUCGAUUUUUGUUUCACAAUCAGGUUGUAGUUGUCAGUUUGGGGGUUUGUCCCGACUGUGUUCUUAAGUUCUAUGUUUAAUAAAAUCUUAUUGUUCGUCAAAAAAAAAUAAAAAUAAAAAUUAUAUAUGGCAUAUAUCUUUGUAUAUUAAAAUUAGUCCUUGACAUUUUUUAUUGCAAAAAUAAUUUGAUGUUCAUCUUAUAUCAGUAUAUGUGAAAUAAUUAUUCUAAACAAUGAAGGAAUUGCUCCAACAUGACUCCAAAUGCCUCCUUCAUCAUGUGCUAAGCAGGUAAUAUCUUUUAUUGUAGUUAAUAUGUUGUACUAGUUAUUUAUUUUUAAUUUAAUUAGUAAAUUCUCUUGUUAAAAUUUUAUCAUAGGAUUUUAAAUUGAUGGAUAUAUUUGUGAAGAUAUUUAUGCUUUUCAUUUGGAAAAUAAAUAUAUAUAUUUAAUAUAUGAUUAUAACACACUCAAUUGAUGAAAUUUUUAAUUUUAAUUAACAUGUUCUGUUCGGAAAUAAAUACAUAAAAAAACAUAAAUUUUUGUAAUUGUUUUCUUACAUUUCCCUUACAAAUUUUUUCAUACUUUUCCCUUACAAUAUUGAUGUAAGUUCUAUUAUUUUAUAUUUAUAUAUUUACACUAUAUUUUUGAAGUGUUUUGUAUACUUUAAAUUAAUAUUAUGAGUUAAAAAAUGUGACAUUAUGCACGCAAACACAUGUUCUUUUCAUAUUUUAACAACCAUGAGUUUUGCUACCUAAUUAUAAGAGAUUUAUAAUUACUAUGCAUUUAGGUGCAAAAAAUUCAUGACUUAAAAAUAUUAUUUGUUAAGGGAGGUUGUAUCUUAAAGUUGUAACAUUUAUAUUGUUCAAUUAACAUUAUAGUUCAUUAUAUAUAUGUGUGUGUAUAUAUGUAUAUAUAUAGAGAGAGUCGAUUUUUUGUAUUAUAUUUAUUCACAACAGUCCAACUCUAUUUUUAUUUCAUCAUUUAACGACAUAUUUGAUAAUAUAAUAUUUACUAGCAUAAAAUUAAAGUCAAUUAUGAUUGCUCAUAUUGUUCAAUUAACAUUAUAGUUCAUUAUAUAUAUGUGUGUGUGUAUGUAUAUAUGUAUAUAUAUAGAGAGAGAGUCGAUUUUUUUGUAUUAUAUUUAUUCACAACAGUCCAAGUCUAUUUUUAUUUCAUCAUUUAACGACAUAUUUGAUAAUAUAAUAUUUACUAGCAUAAAAUUAUAUGUAAACUCCUUGGAUGUAAGCAAACAAUCUGGUCAAUUCUGGUGAGUUUUAUGGGAAAAUAAAAUAAANNNNNNNNNNNNNNNNNNNNNNNNNNNNNNNNNNNNNNNNNNNNNNNNNNNNNNNNNNNNNNNNNNNNNNNNNNNNNNNNNNNNNNNNNNNNNNNNNNNNNNNNNNNNNNNNNNNNNNNNNNNNNNNNNNNNNNNNNNNNNNNNNNNNNNNNNNNNNNNNNNNNNNNNNNNNNNNNNNNNNNNNNNNNNNNNNNNNNNNNNNNNNNNNNNNNNNNNNNNNNNNNNNNNNNNNNNNNNNNNNNNNNNNNNNNNNNNNNNNNNNNNNNNNNNNNNNAUAUAUAUAUAUAUAUAUAUAUAUAUAUAUAUAUAUAUAUAUAUAUAUAUAUAUAUAUAUAUAUAUAUAUAUAUAUAUAUAUAAUAAAACACUCUCUAGUCUCUCAAGUUCUUUAUUCUUAGAGCUUUUAAGUCUAUAGAAAUACUGAAUAUUGUCAUGUUUUGAUUUAUUACCAUGAUAUUUUUAUCAUCUAAUUUCAAUAUGUUGGGGUUGAUUUUAAGAGUUUAUUCCUUUUUCCGCCCAUGCUUUUGGCCAAAAUGACUUUAUUACCUAUACAAUACUGCACUAUGCAUCCACGCGCAUCACUUUUCACCUUUUUAUUAAAAGACUCAGGGGUAGUUUGGGCAAUGUCAAAAAAUUAAUUAUAUAUGGACCUUAUUUAAUUUUUUUGACCCUCUAAAUGAUAUUUUAUGAAAAUUCUUAAAGAACGUAGAGAACUAAAAGAUCCUUUUAAAACAAAUAAAAUUUAAAAUUAUUGAAAUUUUUUAAUAGAUUAUAAAAUUAGAGAUCUUGUAAAAAUUCGUAAUAAAUUCAAUUAAUUUCAGAUUUCGAUGAUUUUUUGAUAAUUCGGAAACACUUUCAAUUACUUAUAAUUUUCGUUCAUGUUGUCUCCUCAUAUUAUGUUUCGAAAUAUAUUUGAAAUAAUAAAAUGUAUUUAGAACUCAUGUUUUUAGGUAAUAAAGUGAUUUUGGCCAAAAUGAGUGGGGUGCAAAACAGAAUAAACUCUGAUUUUAAUGAAUUUCUAUAUAAAUUAGAAAAUUAUAACUAUCUUGAUUUUAUGCGCUGUUUUGGGCAUGUGGAAUAAAUUAUAUGUAAACUCUUUGGAUGUAAGCAAACAAUCUGGUCAAUUCUGGUGAGUUUUAUGAAAACAUAAAAUAAAACCAACAAUAUCACAAAAAUCAUUAUAAAGUCCCAAAAAAAUCCAAAAUCACCAUUUUAUAAAAAAUAUAAAAAAGUCAAUUAAUAUUUAAAUAUUAUCAUAAUUUAAUAAAUUCUCAAUAAUCUCAAUUAAUAUAUUGUCAGAUUUUAAUGGAUAUUAAAUAAUCUCAAUAUGUCAUAAAUAUUAAUAGAUUUUCUUAAUAAUCUCAAUUGAAUAUCAUCUCGUUUUUAAGUAGAUUUUUAAAUACUAAUUGAAUACCACACGAUUUUAUCAUGAUAAUUUAAAAUAUUUGUUGAAUAUCUCAAAAUUCCAAUGUGUUUUUAAAAUCCGAACUGUAUAUAUAUGAAUUUCAAAAAAAAAUAAAAACACAAAAGAAUCCCAAUAGAUUACACCCUUUGAAUAUAAACAAGAUAUAUGUAGAGAAUCUUAAACAGUCUUGGAUACUUUUUUAAGAAAAUAUAUUUUUUUAGAGAAAUAAAUAAAUAAUGAAAAAUCUAGAUAUACUGUGCUCCAUAUAAGGAGAGAUACAUGCCCUAUUAUAAUGUUUGAUAAUAUCUACUUGAUCUCAUAUACCAAAAUCUAAAAGAUGAUGUGAAAAAUUAGUAUUAGUUUGGUUAAUUUGUCCAAUAGAUAUCAAAAAUGAGAAUCGGGAUACAUAGAAGAAUGUGUCGAGAUACAAUGGCCAGCCUAUCCUAGUAGUCUUAUACAGGAACACAGGGUUUGUACUUUGUAUCUGUUCUCCUUCAUGGCUCGGGAUAAACUGUAUGUUUUCUUUUCAUUUUGUUCUGUUUAGAAGAAAACACGGUGCUUGGUGGCCAAAAGAACGGGGAGAUGGUAUCUAUUUCAUUCAUAUAGGAUGCAGGCUUGUUUUAAACCAUAGCAAUCUACUAGGGAGGUAAUGAUUUUCAAUUUUUUUAUAUAUCAAUAUCAAAGGUGAUUAAAAUAUAUGGCACUAGAUUUUAAUAGGGCACUGACUGAUUUUGAAUGGACUGGGUGAUAGUUUUAGAUCAGUAUCCUAAAAGUAUGAGUUUUUGAAAAAUUAUUGUGGUUUGAUCAUUGAUGUAUAAUGAAAUGACAACAAGCUCACCCUGCCUCUUGGUCUUGGUUGUUAUUUCAUGAAUUCUUUCCUUUUGAGGUUCAAAAACGUAUAUUUUGAUAAUCUUUUGAUGUGAUACUGUGCUCUUAUUUUAUUUGUAUUACAGAAUGGUCAGCAAUCAAGGGUGUAACUAUUCCAUACACUAGAGUUUUAGCUCUAGUUGUAAAACUGAGUAAUAUAUAUGAAACACAAGACUCAUCGCUACCUUUCAUGUACUAGUUUAGUUUUCUUUGUUUAUAUAUGGCUUGUGAUUUAUCUUUUAUGUUUCUGUUUAAAUUUGUAAAUAAUUAAUUCAACCAUAUUUAUUCCACCACCCAACAAAAUCCAUGAUAUCAGAAAUUAUAACUCAACCCCAUACCACUAUUGUGCUAUUUCUGAUUCCAACCCCAUGCCUUUCUCCAACCAAACAGCAUUAAGUACUACAAUAUUAAUGAAUAUGAAAAGUUGAACUAUAUUGGAGAACAAAACCCUCUUGAAGCUUAGUUAUGAGUUUCAUUUCACUUAGAUUUAUGAAGCAUGCACAUUUUUAUUAUGUUUUUUAUUUUAAUCACAACCGAUGUUGGCCCACAUAUAUAUAUUUUAUUAUCAUCUAAUAUUACACACUAUCCCUAAUUUCACUCACAUACUUGUCACUGAAAAGCCUCCUUGAAGCAUUCUCUUAAUUCUUAUGGUUUUCUAUCUUGUUACCCUCAAAAUAAAAUUACAGGAUAUCUAUUAGCAUAGCCUUUAAUUUUUUUUUCCUUCUAAAAUUUUUUUGGAUUGCCUACUCAUUCCAUCACCUCAAAUGUUUACAUUGGGGACGUGGCUAGGCACGCAUUCUACUGCUCUCAUAAAAUAUAGUUUGAUAAAUAUUUAUUAUAUAAAUUUUAUUACAAAAAGAAAUUUUUUUAAAAAAAGUUAUGAAACUAUGUUUUAUAUGCGUCUUGAAAUACGUGUUGAGCAAUAUAAAAAAGUGUAGAGAAUUGAGAGGGAAGAGAGAGUAGUAAAUAUAUAUAUAUAUAUAUCAUGCUUUGAUAUCUAGUACUUGUAAUUUUCAUUUUUCACUUGCUAUAAUAUAAAAAAAGUGUAAAGAAUUGAGAGGGAAGAAAUUUUUUUCCAAUAAUACUUGUCCACUUGUAGUUUCCAAUGCAAAUAUAUUGACAUUAUUCCAAAAUUACACUUCUUGAAAGUUGUACAAUAAUUAAUGACGGUUAAAUAAAAGUCACAAUUAUGCAUUUUUUAGGGGUACAUGUGAGAAAAUAUUAUCUAAUUAAUGUUUCUUUAAUAUGCAUAAAUUUUUCAAAAGAGACUUGUAUUGUUGGACGGACGGAAUAAUAUAUUAAGAUGUUAUUUAAACACCUUAUGUUGGUUUGCGUGUAAAAUAUGAAACGGCUACAUAUAUUUCACAAAAAAAAAAAUGUAAACAGAUUCUGGUCAUUGUUGAUGAGGUGUAGACUCCAACAAAACUAAGCAUUCAGUGUUGCACAUAAAUUAAGAAAGACCAUUAAACUAGUCAAGGAAUAUCGCUGAACUGCAUGAAGCAAAAUCGAUUACUCCUUUUACGACAAUCGAGGCAUCGUCUUCUCCUCUUCUCCAUCUUCUUUCUAAUGUUUUUACGUUUCUCAAUAAAUAUUUAAGCCUUCUAUUUACCUCUUCUUCUUGUUUCUUUAUUUUGUCUUUUUAAAAGACUAAGUAGUCGGAACUUCAGUGAAUCGCAGGAAUCGACAAACUGAAUGCGAAUCACAUCGACUUGGUAUGGAAUGGAACCGUGUUCCGGGACGGACGAUUUGGUUAGCAAUUCUGUGGAACGUUCUCCUUUCUCCUUAACACUCGACCAAUCUUUUUAUCUUGCGUAACCAUAUACCUUGACAUGCAGCUGUUGUAGCUGCCAUGAACUCAGCUUCACAAGAUGAUAAAGCCACACAACGCCGUUUAUGAGAUAUCCUGCAGGUAAGAUUUCAUUUAGAUAAAACACCAUCCGUCUUGUACUUUUACUGUCAUCAACUUCUCCAGCAAAAUCACUAUCGGAAUAACCUGAUAACAUAUUUUAUUGCUUUCAGCGGAAUACAACAGCCCAUAACUCAAUGUGCCUUUCAAAUAGCGCAUUAUACGUUUCACAGCGUUCCAAUGCAUAACAGUAGGUCUUUACAUAUAACGGCUAAUAAUUCCAACAACAUAUGCUAUAUCUGGUCGAGUAUGAACCAUAUAAUUCAGUCCUGCACUCUCAUAUUCAGUUUAAUCCGCAGCUUUCCCGUUCUCAUCCUUGUGUAGGCUUACAUUUUGUCGUAACCCAUCUUUCAGUCCUGCACUCUCAUAUUCAGNNNNNNNNNNNNNNNNNNNNNNNNNNNNNNNNNNNNNNNNNNNNNNNNNNNNNNNNNNNNNNNNNNNNNNNNNNNNNNNNNNNNNNNNNNNNNNNNNNNNNNNNNNNNNNNNNNNNNNNNNNNNNNNNNNNNNNNNNNNNNNNNNNNNNNNNNNNNNNNNNNNNNNNNNNNNNNNNNNNNNNNNNNNNNNNNNNNNNNNNNNNNNNNNNNNNNNNNNNNNNNNNNNNNNNNNNNNNNNNNNNNNNNNNNNNNNNNNNNNNNNNNNNNNNNNNNNNNNNNNNNNNNNNNNNNNNNNNNNNNNNNNNNNNNNNNNNNNNNNAUUUCUAAACACUUGCUUAAUUUUGCAUACCAGGCUUGUGGUGCCUGACAAAGUCCAUACAACGCCUUUAUCAUCUUGUACACUAGAUCCUCCUUUCCAUGUUUGACAAACCCUUCUGGUUGCGUUACGUAUACCUCUUCCUGAAGAUCACCAUUCAAGAAAGCUGAUUUCACAUCAAAGUGAUCAACCUCCCAUCUAUUUUUUUUUCUUCGAAAGCCAAUAAUAGUCUCACUGUUUCGAUCCGUGUAACUGGUGCACAUGACCUCAUCAAAAUCUAUACCUUGUUUUUGAACAUACCCUUUCGCAACCAGUCUCGCCUUAUGUUUCACAACUUCUCCUUCAGUAUUCUUCUUCAAUUUAUAUACCCACUUCAAGCUUUCAGGUGUUGUUUCUUUCAAUAUCCUCCAUCUCAAUUUUCAUUGCAUCCUUCCAAGGACUCUCUUUAGAUGCCAGGUUAUAUGUAUCUGGCUCCUCCACCCCCAAAAAUAAUAAUUCCUCUUCAACCUCUAUUUUCUUUGUAUUAUCACAAAUAUCAUUCAUUGAUCCUGAGACGUUUUAGAGUACUGCUCUUGUCUGACUCUUCAAUAUUGUCUUCACUUGACUGAGAUGAUACCGGUGACUGAAUAGGAGUUGAAAUGAGUAUGAGUUCUUUCAAUUGUGUCUUCUUCUUUCUCAGUCACACCAAUCCAGCCCCAUGUCUUUGCUUCCACAAAUACCAUGUCCCUGCUGACCAAAAUCUUUUUCUCUUUAGGGUUAUACAAUCGAUGGGCCUUUGUACCAGGCUCUCUUCCAAAGUACACUACAUAUUUACUACGAUCAUCCAAUUUUCUCGUUUAAAUACUUGGUAUCUUCAUAAAUACACAACACCCAAAAAUCCUGAUGUGGCUCAUACCGGGUUUUAAUCCAAACCAAGCUUCAUACGGUGUAUAGCUUGAAGGAGCCGUGUGGGUAGACUGUUAAGUACGUACACGGACUCACUGCUUCACCCCAAAGGACAAGAAGGCCCAUGCUGAUUUAUAAGUUGCACUGAAUAAGAUGAUACAAGGGACUAGUGGAGCUUUUGCUAAUAUGGAGACCAAAUUUGAAAAGGUUGAGUCAAGGCUUGAUCAGAUGGCUUCAUCACAAAAGAUGUUGGAAGUUCAAAUUGGGCAAAUUGCUAAUACGGUUGGUGUUCGUGUGCAAGGAUCUCUCCCUAAUCAACCAGAUUUGAAUGGUAAGGAGCACUGCAGGGCUAUCACUUUCAGGAAUGGAAGAGAAUUUUUCAAAGUCGAGGCUGUCAAGCGUAAUGAGAAGGCCCCGUCAAAGAAAGACGAGCUAGUUGAAUUUGAAGCUAAAACUUUUUAAAAGGCAAAUGAUAAGCUGAAAAAAGAUGAAAUUGCACCAAAAGUACGGGUGAAACCAUAUGUUCCUCUAAUCCCUUUCUCACAAAGGCUGCAUAACAAGAAGUUGGAGAAACAGUAUGAAAAAUUCUUGCAAACCUCUGGGCAAUUGCAUAUAAAUAAUCCUAUUACCGAUGCUUUGGCACAAAUGCCAUUAUAUGCCAAAUUCUGAACCAGAUGUUGUCUAGAAAGCGGAAACUUGAAAAUGUGGAAACCAUUACUCUCAAUGCAGAGUGUAGUGCGGUUUUCAAAAAUCAAUUCGGCAAAAGUUAAUAUAUCCCAGAUGCUUUUCAUUGAGAUGUACUAUUGGAAAGAUGGAGAAUGGUAAAGCCUUAUGUGAUUUGGGGGCUAGUGGAAGUUUGAUGCCAUACUCUAUUUGCAACAGGCAAAUUUUUGCAAAUCUAAAAAUAUUAUCUAAAAUACUAGAACUCAGAAUCUUUCAUUUAGAUGUAAUACCAUUCAUAAAAAAUGCGCGAAACUCAAUAUAUAAUACUUUCAAAAUAUCGACUAACGAUAUAGUGAUAUUUUUUAUACAAAUUUUUCUAAUGAGUGUCUCAUUUGAGUCAAUUUGGGAAUCAGUGACUUAAUUGAUACCUUUGGACAGAGCGAGUGAACUACUUGAUAUUUAUCCCUUGGUCUUGAAGAGCUCAAAAAGACAAGAAUUUCACUUCUGUUGGCAGAUCGUACAAUCAAGCUUCCUUUGGGAUUCAUAUAGGAUGCACGCUUGUCUCAAACCAUAGCAAGCUACUGGGGAGGUAAUGAUUUUCAAUUUUUUAUAUAUCAAUAUCAAAGGUGAUUAAAAUAUAUGGCACUAGAUUUUGAUAGGGCACUUUUGAAUGGACUCGGUAAUAGUAUUAGAUCAGUAUCCUAAAAGUAUGAGUUAUUGAAGAAUUAUUAUGGUUUGAUCAUUGAUGUAUAAUGAAAUGACAACAAGCUCACCCUGCCUCUUGGUCUUGAUUGUUAUUUUAUGAAUUCUUUCCUUUUGAGGUUCAAAACCAUAGAUUUUGAUAAUCUUUUGAUGUGUGAUACUGUGCUCUUAGUUUAAAUGUAUUAAAGAAUGGUCAGCAAUCAAGUGUGUAAUUAUUCCAUACACUAGAUUUCUAGUUCUAUUUGUAAAAUUGAGUAAUGUAUAUGAAGCACAAGACUCAUCGCUACCUUUCAUGUACUAGCUUAGUUUUCUUUGUUUAUUUAUGGCUUGCGAUUUGUCUUUUAUGUUUCUGUUUAAAUUGGUAAAUAAUUAAUUCAACCAUAUUUAUCCCACCACCAACAAAAUACAUAAUAUCAUAAAUUAUAACUCAACCCCAUACCACUUUUACCCUAUUUCUAAUUCCAACCCCAUACCUUUCUCCAACCAAACAGCAUCGAAGUACUACACUAUUAAUGAAUAUGGAAAGUUGAACUAUAUUGCAUAACAAAACCCUCUUGAAGCUUAGUUAUGGGUUUCAUUUGACUUAGAUUUAUGAAGCAUGCACAUUUUUAUUAUGUUUUUUUAUUUUAAUCACAACCGAUGUUGGCCUGCAUAUAUAUAUUUUAUUAUCAUUUAAUAUUACACACUAUCCCUAAUUUCGCUCAUAUACUUGUCAGUGACAUACCAAGACUCCUUGAAGCAUUCUCUUAAAUCGUAUGAUUUUCUAACUUGUUACCCUCAAAAUAAAAUAAUAGGAUAAGUAAACAAAACAAACAUAAAACUCCCAAAACUAUCACUUAAUGAGAGAAGGGGUAGGAAUUGAUUGGUGGAAAGCUGUAGUGACAUAUCAUUACCUUUCCCAAUUAGUCAAAGAACUUCAGGGAACUAUUACUACAAAUUAAGAAGAGCUCUCCAGGUGUUUGUCAUCGGUUUCACUGUACCUAUUUUUUAUAUAAUUAAGCACACUCAUACACUCAUAUAAAUAGAACGCGGGGAUAUCACGUGACCUAUAAAUCAUUGGUCAAUUCAUUAUACUUGUUAUAGCUAGAAAUGAUUAAAUCCUACUCCCUUUAAUAUUUGUUCUCCACAGAUACAAGAAUAUGUAGAGGCUGGAACAUUGUGUAACUUCUGCGCACAACUGGGAGCCUUUUGAUGCUUGAUGAGAUUAAUCCACGCACUAUAUCUAUUAAGUGAUCCAUUAUCUAUUAAGUGAUCCAUAUGUUGAGUGUUGUUGAUUACAUACCGGGUCAUUAAAUUUGUUUCUAGGCCGCUAGGAUUUUUAUGCUUAUAACCUAUGGUCUUUUAAUUAAUCCGAUGCAUCAUUUCGUGUUUAUAUGUGUUGCCAACUAAAAGUUGAAUACUUUAAUGGCCUACUAUGAAUAACAUAUUUUGCUAAAUAUGAAAUUUGUUUGUAGUGUCAUUUGUAAGUGCAAUUUAGUAUUUGUUUUUAUUGCAGUCACAUUGUUAAAUCAAUCUUUGAUCCUUUUAAUUAUGUAUCAAACAAAUUUAAUGACCAAAAAUAUUGGUAUUUAUCUAUUAGCAUAGCUUUUAAUUUUAUUUCUUUUUAAAAUUUCUUUGGAUUGGAUACUAAAUAUAUGUAAAGAGGCUUGUGUGCUAUUAUUACACCACCCCAUGUGAGAGUGUAUUUGAACAUAUUUUAUUUUAUAUUCCCAAAAAUGUCAAUAUUCCCGAAAACAUUGGCUAAAGGGGGAAAUAGAUUUGAGAGGUAAAAUUAAUUUACCUAAUAUACUUUUUGAAAAUUAAUUUUUAAGGUUCCACUUCCGAAAAUAAAAUGAUAAAUUUCUUGAGUUCCGUAAAAUGUGUAUUAAUAUUUUUAUUCAUGAAUAUCAAAUAAUCUUUAUUAUUUCAAAAAAGGUGGGACAUAUAUAGUUUAUUUGUAUAAAAAUUGAACAUAAAUAUGUUAUUAAUAUAGAUAUAUAAGUAUACUACACAUUUGGAUUUGAAUAUAUGGAAAUUUUAGCAUAAAUUAUACCUAUUCAAAUAGUUUGUUUGAAUAAAAUAUAUAAAGCAUAAAAAUUGUAAAAUAUAAAUAUGCGACACACAAUAAAUAGCAAAAUAAUAGAAUGAAGAAAAAUUGUUGUUCACCGGAGAGGACUGGAUUAAGAGAUUAAACAAGAUGUCAGGAGAUUGCCAAUCAAAUUUUAAAGCACGGAGUGGACGAGGCUAUCAGAUUCGGACAGAUGACAAUGCACGAACCCAGGGUGCAGGACGUGAUAGGAGUUUUGUAAGGUGUUUCAACUGCAACUAGUUAUGAAACAUAAGGAGAGACUGGUCGCGAAAGGGUAUGUUCAGAAAAAAGGUAUAGAUUCUGAGGAGGUUUUUGCACCAGUUACACGGAUCGAAACNAGAGGACUGGAUUAAGAGAUUAAACAAGAUGUCAGGAGAUUGCCAAUCAAAUUUUAAAGCACAGAGUGGACGAGGCUAUCAGAACCGGACAAAUGACAAUGCACGAACCCAGGGUGCAGGACGUGAUAGGAGUUUUGUAAGGUGUUUCAACUGCAACUAGUUAUGAAACAUAAGGAGAGACUGGUCGCGAAAGGGUAUGUUCAGAAAAAAGGUAUAGAUUCUGAGGAGGUUUUUGCACCAGUUACACGGAUCGAAACAGUGAGACUAUUAUUGGCUUUAGAAGCAAAAAAUAGCUGGGAGGUUCAUCACCUUGAUGUGAAAUCAGCUUGCUUGAAUGGUGAUCUUAAGAAGAUGUAUACGUAAGGCAACCAGAAGGAUUUGUCGAACAAGGAAAGGAGCAUCUAGUGUACAAGCUAAUAAAGACUUUGUCUGGACUUCGUCAGGCACCACAAGCCUGGUAUGCAAAAUUAAGCAACUGUUUAGACGGGGUUUCACAAAAUGUCCGUACCAGCAUGCAUCACUACGCCAUAAGUGGCCUGAUGCAAUGGUUAUUGGAAAGCGUUACAAUCAUUUCCUUGCGGUAGGUAAGAAAUUUCUAUGAUAUNUCAGAAAUAAUUACAAUUAUAUUUUAUAUUAAUUAUAACUAUAAAAUGUCUUAUAAAUAUUACAAAAAAAUUUCAAAAUUUAUUAUCUUUCCUUUCAGAAAUAAUUACAAUUAUAUUUUAUAUUAAUUAUAACUAUAAAAUGUCUUAUAAAUAUUACAAAAAAAUUUCAAAAUUUAUUAUCUUUCCUUUCAGAAAUAAUUACAAUUAUAUUUUAUAUUAAUUAUAACUAUAAAAUGUCUUAUAAAUAUUACAAAAAAAUUUCAAAAUUUAUUAUCUUUCCUUUCAGAAAUAAUUACAAUUAUAUUUUAUAUUAAUUAUAACUAUAAAAUGUCUUAUAAAUAUUACAAAAAAAUUUCAAAAUUUAUUAUCUUUCCUUUCAGAAAUAAUUACAAUUAUAUUUUAUAUUAAUUAUAACUAUAAAAUGUCUUAUAAAUAUUACAAAAAAAUUUCAAAAUUUAUUAUCUUUCCUUUCAGAAAUAAUUAGAAUUAUAUUAAAUAAAAUAAGACAUUCAAUAUAUAAAAAAUAGUAAAAAAAAGUUUAUUAAAAAAAUUAAAAAGAAAAUACAGCGCUGGUAUCGAUGUUAAAUGUUUCCCCCUAAACUAAAACACUCGGUAUUGUUUCCCCCUUAACCAAAAACACUUCCGAUCGACCUCACCCACUCUGGUCUCCAAACACCACGACCUCACAUCACCCACUCUCCUAUCCCGUCUCUCUUCACUUCCUCCCAUACAAUAGCUAAUUUUUCAUUUUUCAAAUUGAUAAAGUGAAUAUAUUUUUAUAAACUAGAAUUAGAAUUAUAUUUUAUAUUAUUUAUAACUGUAAAAUAUCUUAUAAAUAUUAGAAAAAAAUUUCAAAAUUUAUUAUCUUUCCUUUCAGAAAUAAUUAGUACUACCUCCGUCUCUAAAUACUUUUCCUGUUUGUACUUUUCACGUUUGCCAACACACACUUUUGAUCGUUAAUAUAUUUCAUUUCGUAGUAGCAUUAAAUAUAAAAACUUCAUUAUAUUAAAAUACUUGUGAAUACGUAUCUAACAAGAUCACUCAUGAUUAUAUUUAGUUUUAUAGAUUAGAUGUAAAUUAAUAAUUUGUCUCAUGUUAUGAACAGUACCGACAUCACAAACAGGAAAAGAAAAAAGAAACGGAGGGAGUAUUAUAUUUAAAUAAAAUAAGACAUUCAAUAUAUAAAAAAUUGUAAAAAAAGGUUUAUUAAAAAAAUUAAAAAGAAAAUACAGAGCUGUUAUCGAGGUUAAAUGUUUCCCCCUAAACUAAAACACUCAGUAUUGUUUUCCCCCUUAACCAAAAACACUUCCGAUCGACCUCACCCACUCUGGUCUCCAAACACCACGACCUCACAUCACCCACUCUCCUAUCCCGUCUCUCUUCACUUCCUCCCUCUUUAGUCUCUCUUCACCCUCACUCUUCAAUCUCCCUCUCUAGUCUUUCACUCUCACCCAGUCUCUCCCUCAAUAGCUCCGAUUAGGGUUCAAACAUUAGAUCUCCCUCACUAGCUUCAUAUAUUGUCUCCUAAUGGUAAUUGAAUACACAAGCACACACAAUUUCUCCAAUUAGGGUUACUAACUUUCGAAUUUUCUCAAUUUGCAGGCUAGUUAGGGUUUCAUAAAUUGGGGCUUUUGUUUAUAAGGUAAAUACACACUUUAAUGGGGGCUUUUGACUCUUUUAGUUUCUAUAAACUGUUAUAUCUAAGAUAUUUUACUUUUUAUUUCAGGCGAUUUAAAGUUGUUGAGUUUUAAAGCGGUUUUAAGGUAAUUUCUCUGUAAUUUUAUGGGUAUAUGUUUGAUUUUAUGUGAGAUUUAUUUUUGUGUGUUAUUUAGUUAUUUGGAUGUAUUUUCAUGUAUGCUGUAUAUUAAUCUGAUUUUUUUUUGUGUUAUUUAGUUUUUUGAAUGACUCUUGCUGUUUAUGUAUUUGAGUUUUUGUGUUUUGUUUUUAAAUUUUUGAGGAGCUUAGAAUCUGAUUUUAAAUUUUUUUGUUAAAUGUUGAGGAGAUUUUCUACAGGUCUGGUGGGGUACAGAUACAGGGAAGUAGAAAAGAGAUUAUAUAAAGUUCCAUGAUGUUGAGUUUUAUAAAGUGAUUUUAUGGGUCUGGUGGGGUAGAGAUACAGGGUAUUAAUACGAGUUUCCUCUUGUUUUUAGCUUUGUACUUUCAUGUUUUAUAAACUUGGAUUCCAGAUUGUCUUGUGCUUGAUUAGUAACUAUCUUUGAGGUGAUUUAAAGCUAUUGAGGAUUUAAGUUGUUGAGGUUUGAAGUGAUUAAAGUCGAGUAAAGUUUAAAGCUGUUGAAAAUUGAAUUGAAGGUACUUUUUCGAAUUUUAUGUGUAUUUGUUUGAUUUUAUGCAUAGGUUUAAAAUUCUGGUGAUGUAUAUGCUUGCAUGAUUGAUUUUAUGUGUUGUUGAUUUCUUUUUGAUAUAUUUUUAUAUAUGUACAUGCAACAUCUACAUGUGAUGGUGAUAUCUUCUCUGGCUUGUAAAUUUCCCCUUAUAAAUUAGACUUUGUUGUUGACAUGGAGGUGUGGCUUGUUUUGCUUAAUAUAAUUGUAAUUCAGAGUAUAUAUUAUGUGUUGUUGAUUUUUUUUGUGAAUCUAUUUUUCAAGUAUGUAUUACUUUCAGCUUCGUGGCAUGAUAAUCUGUCAUUUUGUAUGCUAAUAACUUUGGUUGUUUUGUUAAUUGAGCUCGUGAAGUGUGAUACAUUGUUAAUUGGCGUUUUUCUCCGUUUGAUAGACCGGUAGACUUUAGACUAUUCUGGUGAUGUAUAGCAUGUUUCUAGCUACUUAUUAUCCCUCUAGUUCUAUUAGUAUAAAUUAAAACCUCUUAUACUAUUUUCUUAAAAACAGUACCUUACUUUUGUACAAGUUCAGAUAAAAACAUAAAAUUCAAGGCGUGAAAUAGCAAUUGUAACUAAGUACGAAUGUCAAUUAGUGUAAGUGUUUUUAAAUAAUAUAUAAGUAUGGUAUUAAUUUCAGCUUUAUAGGUGCAUUGUUCGAAUCUCUGAGGACCUAGGUUCACGAUGGAACAUGUUAAUGAUUAUAACUGGAUAGGACUUCCAAGAUACAGUAGCGAAUAUAAAGAAGCGAUAAAAGCAUUUGUGGAAAAGGCAUUUCCUCUUUUUGCCGUAGGUAAUGAAAUGAAAUGCCCCUGCAGAGAUUGUGAUGAUCGUAAGUGGAGUCAUCAAGAUGUAAUUUAUGGUCAUCUCAUCUGCAGAGGACCUUCCCUGUCACAAGUGCAAUUGAUUUGUAAGGUUUCAGAAGUCAAAGUAGGAAAUAGUAUUGAAUCUAAGGACUGUGAAGCGGGGGCUGGUUUCGGGGAUAACUUACACUACCGAUCAUGGUGAGCAACAAAGAAUUGAUCAGAGAGUUGCAUUAUCAAGAACUCAAAGAUCGAGUAGGGCAAAUCGAGUCUUCCUUACCAAGAACACGUCGUUCUUGGAAGCAACCUCUUGAAGAAGGAAGUUUGUUAAGCUGUCAUGACGGGAGAGGACACGUAAUUACUCCGCAAUACUUGUUUGCAUCAGACGGUCAGAUUACGGUUGGAGAAGAUGAUAGGCGAUUGAAAAAUACCAGGGACAACAGAGGGCCUCCUCAUCAAGAAGAUAGGCCACCAUUGAUACUCACUGCAAGAUCCACAAGAAUGAUGGACUCCUUGGCGGAUCGACUCGAGGGCAGAGUUAGCAAGGCAGAUCUACUCACCAUAAUCAGAGAACUAGAUGAUAGGCCCGAGGAGGUUAGAACUACAUCAAGAACCGCGCCCACAUGGCGAGGCGACUAUCAGAUAGGGCCACCACAUGGUCAAGAUCCAAGAAGCUAUGAAAAAUCGACGGGCCGAGAUUCUCAGGGCUUCGGUGGCAGGACUGAUCGGGACCCAGAACACAACUCGACAACAGGUUCCACUUUCUUCCCGUCUUAUAUGUUAAUGUGGUUAAAAUUUCAUACUCUGUUUCGGUCACCUAUGUUAAUGUUGGUUAUUGUUAUGAUGAAUUAUUUUAAUAGAUAUUUUUCGAUGGAUACUUAAAACCUGUUCAAAACAAAGUGAUUAUGACAUAUUGCCUAUAAUAUUUUUUUACUGGAGUUUGAUUUGAUUUAAGCAAUGUCAUUAUUUUAAGAAAAUAAAUAUAACCCCAGUUUUUAAUCAUUUCUCAUCAACUCUACAAAGAAAAUAUGGGGAAGACAAAUGGAUAUUUGUUCCUAAAAGUGUAAGUAUAUAUACAUACAUAAAGUUUGUAUUUUUUUUACCUUUUUGACCUUUAUAGAUCAUUAUAUAUUUUGUAUUGUUGUGUGCAUAUACAUGCGUGUUAUUCAACUAUUUGAUGAAUACUAUAGGUUUGAAGGGACCCGAAAAGAGUUGUAGGCUUAUGUGGGUUAACCACCUUGUAUCUAGAUGCAAUACCUGUGUAUCCAUAUAUUUCAAAUCUUGUGUGAUUGUGAUUACACAAAAACCUUUGGAAGACUCUUUGCUAGUAUUAGUUGAACAACAUGGGAGUCGGGGGAUAAGGACCCUGUCUAAAACCGGUUGUAUAUAUUAAUAAACGGCUGAAGAGAUUAAUCUUUUUGAUUCAUCUCAAGGUGAGAUGCUUUAAGGCAUAUUUUGUUUUUUUUGAGGUCAUAGGGUGGUAGUCUCUCUUGGUGCAAACUUUACUCCUCAUAUAUUGACGUGCAUCGUGUAGUAUCACUUGCAUUCUUAAUUACGACCAUUAUAUCUAGUAUUUCACCUUUAAAUAUUCAAUCUAUGCUUGAUUUCAGAAUGUCUCACUAAAUUUAAUGUCAAUCUCGAAAAGAGAGGCUAGGAUGGUAUGUGUACUUUCUAGAAGUGGUAUGGUGUCUUUUGUAACGUCAUAAGUUCCAUUGCAUGUUAAUUAUAAUGAGAUUCAUGAAGUGCCACAUCUUAAAUUUAUAAUUAUUUUUUGUAUAAAGUACAACUACAAUAGAAUAUAGACCAUAUAUUUUUAAGGAGAUAAGAUGAACUUUAGAUGAAAAUCUGGUAAGGAAAAAUUGUUUUGAUGAAUUUACAUUUGUAAUAUUAUGAUAGUAGCCGCGGCAUUUUGAGAUACUUUAUUAGUCGACAUUCUUUAUUCCUAAGGAAAAUGGUGGAACAAGCAUAGGUGGUGGUAUGAGUGUCUGGUUGGCAGGUCUAGCUGGACGUUUCAUAGGUGUAACUAUAGGUCAUCUAUGGUUUAUGUCCAUAAAAAAACCCUGUUUUUUGAAACCUACAAUUUAAAGAAAUCUUAUUAGUCCAAUUUUUACCGAUGGACUUGAAUUAGAUUUUUUAAAAGGUUAGGUUUCAAAAAUUUGGUGUUAUUUUAUUUAGAGAUUUUAAAUAAUAAACGAUCAAUAAUUCACAGAUGAAUUGAUUAAGUUUUUAUAAAAUAUUGAGAAACUCCUUUUGCAAAAGUUGUAUUCAAAGUGACACCCAUGACACGUCCAUCUCAAUCUGCCAACGAGACACUCACGCCACCAACUAUGCUUUUUGUUCCACAAUAUUCAUUAGGAAUUAAGAAUCCAGAUAAAGAAUGUAUCUCAAAACGCUCGUAUAUCCCUAUACUAACAGCUUUGAUAACUCAAAUAAAUAACAAAAUAUGAAUAAUGUCACAAUUCUCGGAAAUAUCAUUAUACAGACGAAUUUCUCGAACAUAUUACUAUAACUAACAACUAGUACUGUCGUGGAUAGUAACUCUUAUGUUGAUAUUAUUCAGGAUGGAAAAGGUUGUAUCCUUUUCGAUGGACGAAAAUACAAUGAAAAGGAAGAAGAAGAUGGUGGCGGAACUGUCAGAAAAGAUAUCGCUUUCGAUUGAUGAAAAUACAAUGAAAGGGAGGAAGAAGACGGUGGCGGAACUGCGAGAAGAGAUAAUCUGCGAUAAAAUAUUGAUGCGUCUUCCGAUUAAAUAUGUGGUACGUUUUAAAACCGUUUCUAAAUAUUUGCAAUCAAUGAUAGCUAAGACGUACUACACAAUCUACAUGCUUUCUCGCUACAAAGAAACAUAUUUACUCUCUGCAAGUAACUAUCAAUUAAUUGGUUCAAUAAAUGACUUAGUUUGUCCUGGUAAUGGUCGAAAGUUAGCCUUAUGGAACCCGGCUAUUCAUCAGUAUAAGGAAUUCACACUUCCACCAAGUCGUGACUAUAAUUUUCGUUAUAGUAUGCGAUUCGGUUAUGAUGCUGCAAAUGAUAAUUACAAGGUUGUAGUUAUGUCCGCUGAUCUGAGGUCUGCCAGUGUUUACGAUUUUCGUUCGGAUUCCUGGAUUGACAUAACUAUUGCUCAUAACAUGUUCUCUAAGAAUGCACUUGAGAAAUGGACUCCAACUAUUAUUGUAAAGGAUUGUCCUUAAUGGACAUGUUCCAGACUAUCGAGCGAUGAGAUGUUUUUAUUAUCAUUGGGUGUAGUAAAGUUUGAUGCAACAAGUGACAAAUUCAAGUUGCUGCCUGAGUUCCGCUCUAAUAUAUUGGCAAGUCCAGAGAAUUAUGAUUUGAUAUAAAUUUAUAAAUUAAAUCAUAAUGCUUUGGACUUGCCGAUAUAUUAGAGCGGAACUCAGGCAGCAACUUGAAUUUUUCACUUGUUGCAUCAAACUUUACUACACCCAAUGAUAAUAAAAACAUCUCAUCGCUCGAUAGUCUGGAACAUGUCCAGUAAAGACAAUCCUUUACAAUAAUAGUUGGAGUCCAUUUCUCAAGUGCAUUCUUAGAGAACAUGUUAUGAGCAAUAAUUAUGUCAAUCCAGGAAUCCGAACGAGACUCGUAAACACUGGCAAACCUCAGAUCAGCCGACAGAACUACAACCUUGUAAUUAUCAUUUGCAGCAUCAUAACCGAGUCCCGUAUUAUAACAAAAAUUAUAGUCACCACUUGGUGGAAGUGUGAAUUCCUUAUACUGAUGAAUAGUCGGGUUCCAUGAGGCUAAGUUUCGACCAUUGCCAAGAAAAACUAAGCCAUUUAUUGAACCAAUUAAUUGAUAGUUACUUGCAGGGAGUAAAUAUGUUUCUUUGUAGUGAGAAAGCGUGUAGAUUGUGUAGUACUUCUUAGCUAUCAUAUAGUCAUGAACGUUAAGAUUUUCAGUUGCACUACGAAUCAGGUGUUGUUUCUUGAAUUUGGGUGCUGAGAGCAGAGAUUUCCAAUAUUUCGCAAGGCCUUUAAAACAUACCACAUAUUUAAUCAAAAGACGCAUCAAUAUUUCAUCGCAGAUAUCUCUUCCGACAGUUCCGCCACCGUCUUCUUCCUCCCUUUCAUUGUAUUUUCAUCAAUCGAAACAAUAUCCUUUCUGACAGUUCCGCCACCGUCUUCUUCUUCCUUUUCAUUAUAUUUUCGUCCAUCGAAAAUGAUACAACCUUUUCCAUCUGGAAAAUAUUAACAUAAGAGUUAAUAUCCACGACAGUACUAGUUGUCAGUUAUAGUAAUGUGUUCGAGAACUUUGUGUGUGUAAUGAUAUUUCCAAGAAUUGUGACAUUAUUUGUAUAUUGUUAUUUAUUUGAGUUAUCAAAGCUGUCAGUAUAACGAUAUAGUCGAGAAAUUUGUCUCAAAUGACUAUUGUUUUGAUGAAUUUACAUUUGUAAUAUUAAUGAUUUUUACCAGGGCGUUUUGAGAUACUUCCUUUAUCUAGAUUCUUCAUUCCUACUGAAUAUUGUGGAACAAAAAGCAUAGUUGGUGGCGUGAGUGUCUCGUUGGCAGAUUGAGAUGGACGUGUCAUGGGAGUCACUGAAACAGCUUUUGCAAAAGGAGUUCCUGAAUAUUUUAGAAAAACUUAAUUAAUUCAUCGGUGAAUUAUUGAUCGUUUAUUGUUUAGAUCUCUAAAAUUAAAUAAUACCUAAUUUUUGAAACCUAAACUUUCAAAAAUCCUAAUUCAAGUUCAUCGGUAAAAAUUGGACUAAUAAGAUUUCUUUAAAGUUCAGGUUUCAAAAAAUAGGGUUUUUUUGUUUAUGGACAUAAACCAUAAAUGACCUAUAGUUGAAGCACCAAUGAACAAUUUUUUCCUAAAAUUUGCACAAAUUUCUUUUUCAAAACCUGUAUGUAAUGUUACACCUAUGACACAUCCAUCUAGACCUGCCAACCACAUACUCAUACAACCACCUAUGCUUGUUCCACCAUUUUCCUUAGAAAUGAAGAAUGCGGACAAAGAAAGUAUAUCAAAAUGCCGCGGCUAAUAUCUUAAUAUUACAAAUGUAAAUUCAUCAAAAUAAUUUGUCCUUACGAGAUUUUCAUCCAAAGUUACUCACAGUAGGCCAUUAAAAUAUUCAACCUUAAAACCUUAAAAGCUUUGCUAAAUAUGAAAUUUGUUUAUUGUGUCAGUUUGUAAGUGCAAUUUAGUAUUUGUUUUUACAUCAGUCACCUUGUUAAAUGAAUCUUUGAGCCUUUUAAUUAUGUAUCAAAGAAAUUUAAUGACUAAAAAGAUUGGUAUUUAUCUAUUAGCAUAGCCUUUAAAUUUUUUUCCUUCUAAAAUUUCUUUGGAUUGCGUACUAAAUAUAUGUAAAGAGGCUUGUGUGCUCUUAUUACACCACUGCAUAUGAGAGUGUAUUUGGACAUAGUAUCUUUCAUUUUAUUCUCCGAAAAAACUCAAUAUUCCUCAAAACAUUGGCUACAAUGGGAAAAAGAUUUGAGAGGUAAAAUAAUUUACCUAAUAUACUUUUUUAAAUUUAAUUUUUAAGGUUCCAUUGCCGAAAAUAAAAUGAUAAAUUUCUUGAGUUCUGUAAAAAUGUGUAUCAAUUUUUAUCAUCAGUAUAAGGAAUUCACACUUCCACCAAGUCGUGACUAUAAUUUUUGUUAUAGUAUGGGAUUCGGUUAUGAUGCUGCAAAUGAUAAUUACAAGGUUGUAGUUAUGUCCGCUGAUCUGAGGUCUGCCAGUGUUUACGAGUCUCGUUCGGACUCCUGGAUUGACAUAGCUAUUGCUCAUAACAUGUUCUCUAAGAAUGCACUUGAGAAAUGGACUCCAACUAUUAUUGUAAAGGAUUGUCCUUAAUGGACAUGUUCCAGACUAUCGAGCGAUGAGAUGUUUUUAUUAUCAUUGGGUGUAGUAAAGUUUGAUGCAACAAGUGACAAAUUCAAGUUGCUGCCUGAGUUCCGCUCUAAUAUAUUGGCAAGUCCAGAGAAUUAUGAUUUGAUAUAAAUUUAUAAAUUAAAUCAUAAUGCUUUGGACUUGCCGAUAUAUUAGAGCGGAACUCAGGCAGCAACUUGAAUUUUUCACUUGUUGCAUCAAACUUUACUACACCCAAUGAUAAUAAAAACAUCUCAUCGCUCGAUAGUCUGGAACAUGUCCAGUAAAGACAAUCCUUUACAAUAGUUGAAUUGCUCUCUAAGUUGGAUGAGAAUAAACCCAAGAUGGUAUUGUUGAAGGCUUAAUGACCUUUUAGUUAUGAGCAAUAAUUAUGUCAAUCCAGGAAUCCGAACGAGACUCGUAAACACUGGCAGACCUCAGAUCAGCCGACAGAACUACAACCUUGUAAUUAUCAUUUGCAGCAUCAUAAUCGAGUCCCGUAUUAUAACAAAAAUUAUAGUCACCACUUGGUGGAAGUGUGAAUUCCUUAUACUGAUGAAUAGUCGGGUUCCAUGAGGCUAAGUUUCGACCAUUGCCAAGAAAAACUAAGCCAUUUAUUGAACCAAUUAAUUGAUAGCUACUUGCAGGGAGUAAAUAUGUUUCUUUGUAGUGAGAAAGCAUGUAGAUUGUGUAGUACUUCUUAGCUAUCAUAUAGUCAUGAACGUUAAGAUUUUGAGUUGCACUACGAAUCAGGUGUUGUUUCUUGAAUUUGGGUGCUGAGAGCAGAGAUUGCCAAUAUUUAGAAACAGUUUUAAAACAUACCACAUAUUUAAUCAGAAGACGCAUCAAUAUUUCAUCGCAGAUAUCUCUUCCGACAGUUCCGCCACCGUCUUCUUCCUCCCUUUCAUUGUAUUUUCAUCAAUCGAAAUGAUAUCCUUUCUGACAGUUCCGCCACCGUCUUCUUCUUCCUUUUCAUUGUAUUUUCGUCCAUCAAAAAUGAUACAACCUCUUCCAUCUGGAAAAUAUUAACAUAAGAGUUAAUAUCCACGACAGUACUAGUUGUCAGUUAUAGUAAUGUGUUCGAGAACUUUGUGUGUGUAAUGAUAUUUUCCAGAAUUGUGACAUUAUUUGUGUAUUGUUAUUUAUUUGAGUUAUAAUGACUAUUGUUUUGAUAAAUUUACAUUUGUAAUAUUUAUGAUUUUUACCAGGGCGUUUUGAGAUACUUCCUUUACCUGGAUUCUUCAUUCCUACUGAAUAUUGUGGAACAAAAAGCAUAGUUGCUGGGGUGAGUGUCUCGUUGGCAGAUUGAGAUGGACGUGUCAUGGGAGUCACUGAAACAGCUUUUGCAAAAGGAGUUCCUGUAUAUUUUAGAAAAACUUAAUUAAUUCAUCGGUGAAUUAUUGAUUGUUUAUUGUUUAGAUCUCUAAAAUUAAAUAAAACCCAAUUUUUGAAACCUAAACUUUCAAAAAAUCUAAUUCAAGUUCAUCGGUAAAAAUUGGACUAAUAAGAUUUCUUUAAAGUUCAGGUUUCAAAAAAUAGGGUUUUUUUGUUUAUGGACAUAAACCAUAAAUGACCUAUAGUUCAAGCACCAAUGAACAAUUUUUUCCUAAAAUUUGCACAAAUUUCUUUUGCAAAACCUGUAUGUAAUGUUACACCUAUGACACAUCCAUCUAGACCUGCCAACCACAUACUCAUACCACCACCUGUGCUUGUUCCACCAUUUUACUUAGGAAUGAAGAAUGCGGACAAAGAAAGUAUAUCAAAAUGCCGCCGCUAAUAUCAUAAUAUUACAAAUGUAAAUUCAUCAAAAUAAUUUGUCCUUACGAGAUUUUCAUCCAAAGUUACUCACAGUAGGCCAUUAAAAUAUUCAACCUUAAAACCUUAAAACCUUUGCUAAAUAUGAAAUUUGUUUAUUGUGUCGGUUUGUAAGUGCAAUUUAGUAUUUGUUUUUAUAGCAGUCACAUUGUUAAGUCACAUUUUUAAAUGAAUCUUUGAUCCUUUUAAUUAUGUAUCAAAGAAAUUUAAUGACUAAAAAGAUUGGUAUUUUUUUAUUAGCAUAGCGUUUAAAUUUUUUUUCCUUCUAAAAUUUCUUUGGAUUGCGUACUAAAUAUAUGUAAAGAGGCUUGUGUGAUCUUAUUACACCACUGCAUGUGAGAGUGUAGUUGGACAUAGUAUCUUUUAUUUUAUUCUCCGAAAAAACUCAUUGGAAGAGAUGUUGUCUAAAAAGCGGAAACUUGAAGAUAUGGAAACCAUUACUCUCAAUGCAGAGUGUAGUGCGGUUUUCAAAAAUCAAUUCGGCAAAAGUUAAAUUAUCCCGGAAGUUUUUCAUUGCCAUGCACUAUUGGAAAGAUGGAGAAUAUUAAAGCCUUAUGUGAUUUGGGGGCUAGUGGAAGUUUGAUGCCAUACUCUAUUUGCAAAAGGCUUGGUCUUGGAGAGCUCAAAAGGACAAGAAUUUCACUUCAGUUGGCAGAUCGUACAAUCAAGCUUGCUUUGGGAUUCAUAUAGGAUGCACGCUUGUCUCAAACCAUAGCAAGCUACUGGGGAGGUAAUGAUUUUCAAUUUUUUAUAUAUCAAUAUCAAAGGUGAUUAAAAUAUAUGGCACUAGAUUUUGAUAGGGCACGUUUGAAUGGACUCGGUAAUUGUAUUAGAUCAGUAUCCUAAAAGUAUGAGUUAUUGAAGAACUAUUAUGGUUUGAUCAUUGAUGUAUAAUGAAAUGACAACAAGCUCACCCUGCCUCUUGGUCUUGAUUGUUAUUUUAUGAAUUCUUUCCUUUUGAGGUUCAAAACCAUAGAUUUUGAUAAUCUUUUGAUGUGUGAUACUGUGCUCUUAGUUUAAAUGUAUUAAAGAAUGGUCAGCAAUCAAGUGUGUAAUUAUUCCAUACACUAGAUUUCUAGUUCUAUUUGUAAAAUUGAGUAAUGUAUAUGAAGCACAAGACUCAUCGCUACCUUUCAUGUACUAGCUUAGUUUUCUUUGUUUAUUUAUGGCUUGCGAUUUGUCUUUUAUGUUUCUGUUUGAAUUGGUAAAUAAUUAAUUCAACCAUAUUUAUCCCACCACCAACAAAAUACAUGAUAUCAUAAAUUAUAACUCAACCCCAUACCACUUUUACCCUAUUUCUAAUUCCAACCCCAUACCUUUCUCCAACCAAACAGCAUCUAAGUACUACACUAUUAAUGAAUAUGGAAAAUUGAACUAUAUUGCAUAACAAAACCCUCUUGAAGCUUAGUUAUGGGUUUCAUUUGACUUAGAUUUAUGAAGCAUGCACAUUUUUAUUAUGUUUUUUUAUUUUAAUCACAACCGAUGUUGGCCUGCAUAUAUAUAUUUUAUUAUCAUUUAAUAUUACACACUAUCCCUAAUUUCACUCAUAUACUUGUCAGUGACAUACCAAGACUCCUUGAAGCAUUCUCUUAAUUCUUAUGAUUUUCUAACUUGUUACCCUCAAAAUAAAAUAAUAGGAUAAGUAAACAAAACAAACAUACAACUCCCAAAACUACCACUUAAUGAGAGAAGGGGUAGGAAUUGAUUGGUGGAAAGCUGUAGUGACAUAUCAUUACCUUUCCCAAUUAGUCAAAGAACUUCAGGGAACUAUUACCACAAAUUAAGAAGAGCUCUCCAGGUGUUUGUCAUCGGUUUCACUGUACCUAAUUUUUAUAUAAUUAAGCACACUCAUACACUCAUAUAAAUAGAACGCGGGGAUAUCACCUGACCUAGAAAUCAUUGGUCAAUUCAUUAUACUUGUUAUAGCUAGAAAUGAUUAAAUCCUACUCCCUUUAAUAUUUGUUCUCCACAGAUACAAGAAUAUGGAGAGGCUGGAACAUUGUGUAACUUCUGCGCACAACUGGGAGCCUUUUGAUGCUUGAUGAGAUUAAUCCACGCAAUAUAUCUAUUAAGUGAUCCAUAUGUUGAGUGUUGUUGAUUACAUACCGGGUCAUUAAAUUUGUUUCUAGGCGGCUCGGAUUUUUAUGCUUAUAACCUAUGGUCUUUUAAUUAAUCGGAUGCAUCAUUUGGUGUUUAUAUGUGUUGCCAACUAAAAGUUGAAUACUUUAAUGGCCUACUGUGAAUAACAUAUUUUGUUAAAUAUGAAAUUUGUUUGUGGUGUCAUUUGUAAGUGCAAUUUAAUAUUUGUUUUUAUAGUAGUCACAUUGUUAAAUCAAUCUUUGAUCCUUUUAAUUAUGUAUCAGACAAAAUAAUGACCAAAAAGAUUGGUAUUUAUCUAUUAGCAUAGCUUUUAAUUUUAUUUCCUUUUAAAAAUUCUUUGGAUUGGGUACUAAAUAUAUUUAUUACUAUGACCGAAAUUGGUCAUAUUAAUAAAUAUGACAGAACUCAUUAGGAUCAUAAGUACUCAUACGACUAGCCUCGGACAUAUUUAGGAAGUGACCGCCUGCGGUCAUAUUUAUUAAUGUACCUUAAUAAAUGUGACGUGCCUCGGACAUAUUUAGGAAGUGACUAUGUAUUGGACUUCUUUUCAUUACAAAUUACACUAUACAUUCAUAAUCCUCUAAGUAUAUUUAUGAGGGUCUUGUUAGUUGUACUCUAUUUAAUUUUCAGUUUUUCAAAAUAAUAAAUAUUUUGUUCUUUAUGCUUGGUCAAAAAUUGGUCAGUUUGACCUUUGAAAGUCAAAACAGGACACUUAAAAUGGGAUGGAGGGAGUAUUUAAUACUAUAUUGGAAAUAGUCCCCCUCCGUUUCAAUUUACAUGUCCAUUUUGAAGAAAAUUUUUUGUUUCAAAUUACUUGUCCACUUCAACUUUCAAUGCAAAAUCAUAUUUCCAAAGUCAAUUCUACUCCACAUAUCUCUUAUUUAUAUUUCCUAGAUCAAUCUCACUCCACAUAUUUUGAUCAUUUAAUGCAAUUAAUUUGUGAACAACAACUUUUCUUAAACUGUGUGUUUUUUUUAAAGUGGACAUCUAAUUUGAAACAGAGGGAGUAUAAAGUUUACAUGGAUUAAAGUGUAUGACACAUAUUUUGGAAUUUUUUUUUGGCAAAAUAGACACUUAAAAUGGGAUGGAGGGAGUAGGAACUUCUUAAAAAGAAAGUCAUGAAAUUUUUUAUUAAUAUUUAAAUUUUAAAAAUAACGUGUAGAAAUACGUUUUUGUUGCAUCUCAAAAUACGUGCAAAAAAUCAAAACGACCAUAUACUUAAUGUUUUCCCCCCUUUUUCACACCCGCAGUUUACAUUCACGCGGCUUCCUUCUAGGGUUUCCGAUUCUCUCUGCAGAAAUGCUCAACACAGCUAUUUCAGCUCAAAUCGAUGGCCAAAUCUCUGGUAAUAACCUCAAAUUAAAGAUUUCAGCUGUUUAUGUUGUUUGAAACCCAAAUGUGCAUGUCGUUAUAUGUGUUUGAACCUUUCUGUCUCAUAAUCUCUUCAGCUCACUCGUUUAUAUGUGUUUAUAUAUGUUUAUACUUUAAUUGACUAUGUGUGUUGAAGAUUUUAGAUGUGUAAUUGACUGGUAGAUGUCUAUUGAACUCGAGAUUAGCUUGUUUUGGUGGUGUUGUGCGUCGGUGGGUUAAGCUAGACUUUAGAGCUUGUUGAAGAAAUUGAACUUAGAUUUUGGGUCUUCCAUUUUAUGCCCCUUUGAGCAUUUUGCUGUCCGUUUGGGUUAAUAUUUCAAAAGUUGUUUUAUUUUUGUUAGUUAUUUCUGUGGAAGGAAAAGAGAUGGCAAAAAGAGAAGGCACUUUGGCUUCACAGUGCAAACUGUAUAUGCAUAUGCUAGUGUUUCUUUUGAUAUAUCUAAAAAAAACCAACACUGACUCCAAUUUAAGAGAUUAUGAUAUAGUAGUACUGAUGAUAUUACAGUUCAAACUCUUAUUCCUGGCCUAUUAAGAUGCUGAUUUGUUACACAAAUUAGUAGCUAAAGAGAAUGUUAAAUGUAGAUUUGAAUUUAUUCUUGCUGAUUUGUUACACAAAUUGUUGGUUCUGAUAUAAUGUGUAUCUCUUAUUAUAUUCAGGGAGCUGGUUCCAAUGGUGGUGAUGGAGGGGGGAGGGGAAGUAAAGCGGGUAGGGGAAGAGGUGGACAAGGAAAUGGUAGUGUUGUGGAGCUGGGGAACAACGGAAUAUCAGUGGAGCGGGAAUGGGUGAUCAAGGAGCAGAUAUUGAGCAAGAUGUCGAGCAUGAGGGUACUGGUGAUGAAGGGCAGCAAGAACAGGAAACACAAACACAGGAGAGUCGUGUUGUGUGAAGAGUCACAUAUGAGAGGGCCAACCGUAGCUUCUGUGUUGGUGAUUACCAUAAAAAACCAGCGAGGCCUGAAGAUAGGGGAAUUGUUCAUUUCCUCGAUGGAAGAAAGUAUGUUUUAUUCUCAGUUCUUACUCAUUUUCUCGUUUAAUCUAACACAUGUCAGCACUACACGCGUUCUAAUUGUAUUUUAGUUAUAUAGCAUCAGGGAGGCCAAGAAGAAAAAGACUAUCAGCUACAUUAUCAAAGUGAAUUGGGAUGAAAAUAGGCAUCAAUCAAAGGGACUGGAAUGUGAAGCCUUUUAUGACCGCUGUCUUAAGGAGUUCAAGGUUUUAUCUACUUUCUCUUUCAUUUUUUUUUCAGAUUAAUUCGCUGAGAUGUAUAUGUAAUCUUUUAUUCUUGUUUGACAGAGAUACUAUAUAUGCAUAUCCGGAGGAUAGUGAUCCAGCAGAGGGGGAUAGGGCUGUCAAAGAGUUUGUGAAAAAGAAUUGGAAGAACCUCCCUUAUCAGGAAAAGAAAAGGGCAGAGCAAUCAGCUGUAUAUGCAAGGAGGGGAGGUUUAAAAACUGCCACUCGACGUUCUUUCAGGCCUCGUUACUUCAGCCAACGCAUUUGGGACAACCUCAACUCGUAUUGGGGGUCUGACUUAUUUAAAAAAAGGUCUGAUAAUGCCAAGAAAGCUCGAGCGCAGGUGGAACAUAUUCACCACAGUGGGGCCAAGCCUUUCAGCGAGAGAAGGGAGUUAUAUUAUCUAUCGUGUGUGCCACUUAUGCAUUUUAUUUACUAUGAAUUUACUUGCAGCUUUAACUCAAAAAACUGUUUGUAUUUAGUAUCAUGUAACAUGUCCAACUUUACCAUAUAGGAACUCGAGGAAGAAAAAUAAGGGAAUAUUUUUGAUAUGGAGUUUGGUGACAAAAAAAUCUAUUUUCCCUAUUUUAACAUAUUUUUUAUGGGAUUUAUUUAUAGGAUUCUUUGUACUUGGCAUCUCUUGCACUGAUCCACUCUAAUGUUCUGAGAAUCCGAUAUGAAAGGCAUUAUUGAGUUUUAACUAUACACUUCUCCUUUUUAAUUUUCCUAUUAUAUAUACAAGGAUAACAGUUUUGGAAUAAGCACAUACUUUAUUAUAGAAAAAUAUAUAGGUUCCUUGCACUUAUCUGGAGGUCAUGGUUUGUUCUAUGGUGUGUAAAACAUGUAGCGGUUUGGCUUCCUCCACUGCUGGUCUCGCUUACUUUGGUAAUUCAUGUUUGUUUUUACUAUUUCAGGUAUACAUGACAGUGUUCUUGUCAUAGAAAAUUAUGGGAUAACUGAGAUUUGCUUUUUUUGAAUUUGUUUAUGUUUAUCGUUAGUUGAACAAGUCUUAGUUAGCCAAAGAGACUGUUAUAUAUGCUGCUUGAACAUAUAUGUUAAGUUGUCGAUAAAUUUUUUUGUUAUAUGUGCUGGCAUAGUCAAAUUUUAUAUGAUCGGAUUGGUGAACUUGAUAAAAAUUUUGAGCACAGAAGAAAAUCUAGAACUAUAUUAGAAAAUCUGGUAACGAGCAAUAAGAAUACAUGUGAAAUUUUGUACACUUCCUUAUUGUUUGGUACUUGUGUUGUCAAGUACUGUCUUCAUAUACUCUUAUUAUAUAUGGCAGGGAACUAGUAUUGAAAAGGCACCAAUAGAUCGUGAUACCUCUCGCAGCAAUGAUGAAGAUGAUGACGAAGAUGAUGAAGCGGAGGACUUCCCCCUUCAUUAACUGCACAAGGUUUAUCAACGACUUAACUUUUGGAACAAAUCUUUUGAGACUUGCCU